rnacentral:lncRNA from 1 species
UCCUCUAUUCCUUUCUUCUUCUCCUCUUCUUUUUCUUCUUUUUUCUUCUUCUUAUUUAUUUCUCAUCUUCUUCCUCUCCUCUUCUUCUCCUUUCUUCUUCUUCUUCUUCUUAUUUUCCUUUUUCCUCUCAUUCUUUUUCUUCUUCUUCCUUUCCUAGCUAGAUAUAUAAAACUUUUCUAAAAAUGUAACUUUUGCAUAUAUAAAACCUUUUCUUCUUCCUUCUGCUUCCUUCUAUUCCUUCUUCCUAAAUNNNNNNNNNNNNNNNNNNNNNNNNNNNNNNNNNNNNNNNNNNNNNNNNNNNNNNNNNNNNNNNNNNNNNNNNNNNNNNNNNNNNNNNNNNNNNNNNNNNNNNNNNNNNNNNNNNNNNNNNNNNNNNNNNNNNNNNNNNNNNNNNNNNNNNNNNNNNNNNNNNNNNNNNNNNNNNNNNNNNNNNNNNNNNNNNNNNNNNNNNNNNNNNNNNNNNNNNNNNNNNNNNNNNNNNNNNNNNNNNNNNNNNNNNNNNNNNNNNNNNNNNNNNNNNNNNNNNNNNNNNNNNNNNNNNNNNNNNNNNNNNNNNNNNNNNNNNNNNNNNNNNNNNNNNNNNNNNNNNNNNNNNNNNNNNNNNNNNNNNNNNNNNNNNNNNNNNNNNNNNNNNNNNNNNNNNNNNNNNNNNNNNNNNNNNNNNNNNNNNNNNNNNNNNNNNNNNNNNNNNNNNNNNNNNNNNNNNNNNNNNNNNNNNNNNNNNNNNNNNNNNNNNNNNNNNNNNNNNNNNNNNNNNNNNNNNNNNNNNNNNNNNNNNNNNNNNNNNNNNNNNNNNNNNNNNNNNNNNNNNNNNNNNNNNNNNNNNNNNNNNNNNNNNNNNNNNNNNNNNNNNNNNNNNNNNNNNNNNNNNNNNNNNNNNNNNNNNNNNNNNNNNNNNNNNNNNNNNNNNNNNNNNNNNNNNNAGAGGCACGGCGAGCUCGGGCAGCCUGGCGGCGUCGUCGGAGGGAUCGAAGAACUGACGAAAUUUUCACAAGUGCUGGCUUAUAUAGCAAACCCGUUGGUACCGGUUGGUGGCACAAACGGGUAUCAAUGCCACCUUUAGUCCCGGUUGGUGUCACCAACCAGGACCAAAGGCCUCUUUUCAGCAGCCCAAAGGGCGGGAAGCGGCGGCCUUUGGUCCUGGUUGGUGGCACCAACCGGGACUAAAGGGGGGGCAUUAGUACCGGUUAGUGCCACGAACCGGUACCAAUGCACCCAUUUAGUAUCGGUUGGUGCUACUAACCGGGACCAAAGGCCUUGUGCUGCUGCGCCCGCGUCGAAAGUUUAGUCCCACCUCGCUAGUUGAGAGGGGCGCGCAGUGGUUUAUAAGCCCCACUGCCGCUCCCCUCUCGAGCUCCUCUCCAUUGCAGGCUUACGGCCUAAUUGUCACUGCUAUACCUGAUGGGCCUACUGGGCCUUCUGCGGGCCUGAAUCCUGGCCCAUCGAUGGGUUUCUAGUCGUAUUUAGGCCGUGGUGGCCCAGUAGGUGGCAUAUUUUUUUUUAUUUUUUGCCUGUUUUUUUGUUUUAUUUUUUGCUUUAUUUAUUUUGUUUUGUUUCUAGUUACAACAAAAAACUUAUUUAUUUUAUUUUACUUUGUUUCUAAUUACUUAUUUAUUUUACUUUAUGAUAAUUCUUUUUUCUAUUAAAGUUUCUAACAAAAAAGUUCUUUAUGAAAAUUCUUUUUGCUUUCAAUGAUUUUGAACAGAAAAUACUUCGAUAAUUUUAGUUGCAUCAAUUUUAUAUAAUUUUAGUUUCAAUAAUACUAGAGGUUGCUUAUAAUGUUUUGAACAGAAAAUACUUUGAUAAUUUUAGUUUCAUAAAUUUUAUUUAUGUUAUUAAAGUUUAUUUUAUUUUGUUUCUACUUAUAUAUUUUAUUAAAGUUUAUUUUAUUUUGUUUCUACUUAUAUAUUUUAUGAAAGUUUAUAUUUAUGUUAUUAAAGUUUAUUUUAUUUUGUUUCUACUUAUAUAUUUGAUUUUUUAUUUAUUAUUUUUCAUGCACCAUUUUUCAUGCAUUUACUGAUUAUUUUGAGCUAUAAGACCCUAAAAUUGAAAAGCAUUUCAAAUGAACUCUGAAAAGGUUGAAAGUUGGCUUGGUAUCAUCAUUUCAUCCACAUAGCAUGUGCAAGAAAGUUGAGAGGGUUACGGCCAAAACUGAAACCCUUGUAAAGCAGGUGGGUGUGAAGGAUUUUCCGAUCAGAGUAAGACUUCGUAUUCCCACAUUUAGGGCAUGGACAACACAUAAAACCAUUCUGCUUGUUUGCCUCAGCCACUUCGAGAAAAUCAUGCACGCCCUUAAUGUACUCGGAGGUGUGUCUGUCACCGUACAUCCAUUGCCGGUUCUUCUGCAUGCAUUAUAUAUAAUUAAGUGUGUCAAAAACCAUUACAGAACAUCAUGAAUAGAUAAUUAAGUGACCAAAUUAAUAGAAGUUCAUCAUCACAUUAAAACCAAAGUACAUACAUAGUUCUCAUCUAACAACAUAUAGCUCUCCAGAGCAUCUAAUUAAUUAAACCAUACAUUGAAACUAUGUAAAACAUUUCAAUGCGAAAACAAAUGCGAUCAUAAUCGCAACCAAGGUAACAAUUGAUCCAACGACAUAAUGAUACCAAGCCUCGGUAUGAAUGGCAUAUUUUCUAAUCUUUCUAAUCUUCAAGCGCAUUGCAUCCAUCUUGAUCUUGUGAUCAUCGACGACAUCCGCAACAUGCAACUCCAAUAUCAUCUUCUCCUCCUCAAUUUUUUUAUUUUUUCCUUCAAGAAAUUGUUUUCUCCUUCUACUAAAUUUAACCUCGCGACAAUUGGGUCGGUUGGAAUUUCCGGUUCACAUACCUCCUAGAUAAAUAAAAUCUUUGUCACGUUGGUCGGCAUAAUUUUCAUAAACAAUAAAUGAACCAAUAGUUAUAAAGAUAAUAUAUACCACAUCCGAAUCAUAGACAGGACGAGGGCCGACGGCGGCGGAUACCAAAACCAUCACACUAUAUAAUAACAAGCAAUAAAAUAGUAAGAAAAUUAGACAAGUAUCUAUCUAAAGUAAGAAUUUUUUUCUUUCAGAAAGAAGAUAAGAACAAGAGGCUCACCACGGUGGUGCCGGCGACGAGAUCGGCGCGGGCGGUCGACGGCGGUGAAGACGGGAAUGGGACGUGACGGGCCGCUAAACCUAGACAAAUCUCGAGGAAAAUGGGGCUUUGAGGUCGAGCUUUGAGACGAGAAAGCUUAACUAGUGUGGCUCGGGCAUUUCAUCGAACACCUCAUGUGCAUAGGAGGUGAGGUAGAGCACCACAAAGCCCUCCCCUCGCCGGCCAGAGAAAAACGGAGCACUGGAGUGCUCUGCUCGCGGGUGAGGGGUAUAUAUAGGCACCUCAUUGGUCCCGGUUCGUGGCAUGAACCGAGGCUAAAGGGCAGCCUGUGGUUCCGGUUCAAGCCACCAACCGGGACCAAUGGUGGUGGGCCAGGAGCGACGCCCAUUGGUCCCGGUUUGUCCCACCAACCGGGACCAAAGGGGCCAGACAAACCGGGACCAAUGCCCCCGCGAGGCCCGGCAGGCCCCUGGCCUCACGAACCGGGACCAGUGCCCCCAUGGGUCCCGGUUCUGGACUGAACCGAGACUAAUGGGCUGACCCGACCUGAACCAAAGCCCUCUUUUCUACUAGUGCGAUUUCAGGGUCUGCUGGGCAACCAGGUGGGGAAAACCCACCUGGGCGCGUCAGGACGGGGGGGCGCCCUGGUGGGUUGUGCCCACCCAGGUGCCCCCCUCUGGUGGAUCUUGGUUCCAGAAAUUCUCUUUAUUGAUAUAAAAAUUCCUCGCAAAGUUUCGAAACCAUUCCGAGAACUUUUAUUUCUGCACAAAAACAACACCAUGGUAGUUCUGCUAAAAACAACGUCAGACUGGGGUUAGUUUCAUUCAAAUCACGCAAAUUAGAGUCCAAAACAAGAGGAAAAGCAUUAGGAAAAGUAGAUAGUUGGAGAGGUAUCACUUCCCCACACCUCUAACAUCAUUUGAGAUUCUAAAUAACAAGUCACUCAAGCAAGCAAUCAUAUCAGAAUUGUAUUUCAAUUGUUUAAUAACAUUUGCAUUGAAGUGAUCUUGCUUUCUAAUGUAAUUUUAGAACUCAUAAAGGCAUUGAGGGUGCAUAUUGUGAGGAUUGUCAUUAUCAUUGAAUUUCAUUAGAGAAUUUACCUACCACCUUGGGUGGUGGUGGUGUAUCGAGCCCAUGUAUUUCUUCAAUAGGAGGUAAAAAAUUUGACAUCGUCAGCUUUAAUACCUUUUUCGUUCAUAGAUUUCUUUGCCUCUUGCAUAUCUUCGGGAUUGAGAUAUAAGAUACCCCUCUUCUUUGGAGUGGUUUUAAGCGGUGGCGCAGGAAGAUUCCAAUCACCAUAAUUUUUCAAUAUGUUAUUCAAUAAUUCUUCAGCUUGCCCAAUAGUUCGUUCCCUGAAAACAGAACCAGCACAACUAUCUAGGAAAUCCCUAGAAGCAUCGGUUAGUCCAUUAUAGAAGAUAUCAAGUAUUUCAUUUUUCUUAAGAGGAUGAUGAGGCAAAGCAUUAAGCAAUUGGAGAAGCCUCCCCCAAGCUUGUGGGAGUCUCUCUUCUUCAAUUUGCACAAAGUUAAAUAUUUCCUGUAAGGUAGCUUGUUUCUUAUGAGCAGGGAAAUAUUUUCCAAACAAGUAAUAAAUCAUGUCUUGGGGACUAUAUAUACACACAACCAGGAGCAAGAGUAUUGUACCAAGCUUUAGCAUCAUCCUUUAAUGAGAACGGAAAUAAUUUGAGAAUAUAGUAAUAGCGAAUUUUCUCAUCAUGAGCAAAAAGGGUGGCUAUGUCAUUCAACUUAGUAAGAUGUGCCACAACAGUUUCAGUUUCAUAACCAUGGAAAGGAUCAGAUUCAACCAAAGUAAUUAACUCUGGGUCGACAGAGAAUUCAUAAUCCUUAUCAUCAAUAAAGAUAGGUGAAGUAGCAAACUUAGGAUCACAUCGCAUUCUAGCACUCAAAGACUUUUCUUUAUACUUGCAUAAUAAUUUCUCUAGAUCAUCUCUAUCCUUACAAGCAAGAAUAUCUCUAGUUGUCUCCUCAUUCAUAACAUAACCUUCUGGUACCUUCGGUAAUUCAUAUCUAGGAGGGCUAGUUCUAAUAGGUGUUUCAAUAUUUUCAGUUUCAAGCUCAUCAUCAGUUUCAACAAUAUCAUGCUGUCUUACUCUAGCAAUUUGUUCAUCAAGAAAUUCACCUAGUGGCACAUCAUCAUCAAGCAAGGUACUAGCAUCAUCAUAAGUAUCAUUCAUAGUAGAAGUAGCAUCAUCAAUAACUUGCGACAUAUCAGGAUUAAUAGCAUGUGGUGGUGUUGCAAGUUUACUUUUAACAACAGGUGAAUCUAAAGCAGAACUAGAUGGCAGUUCCUUACCUCCCCUAGUCUUAGAGGAAAAAAUAUUAGUCUUAGCAUCCUUCAGAUUCUUCAUAGUGAUAAAUUGAUAAUAAUCCCAAGUGACUCAACAAAUAUAGCUAUGCUCCCCGGCAACGGCGCCAGAAAAAGGUCUUGAUAACCCACAAGUGUAUGGGAUCGCAGCAGCUUUCGAGGGUAGAGUAUUCAACCCAAAUUUAUAGAUUCGACACAAGGGGAGCCAAAGAAUACUUGCAAGUAUUAGCAGCUGAGGUGUCAAUUCAACCACACCUGGAUAUUAAUUAUUUGCAGCAAAGUGAUCAGUAGCAAAGUAGUAUGAUAGUUUUGAUAAUAGUAGCGACUGCAAUAGUAACGGUAACAAUGACAACAGUAGUUUUGUAGCAAGUGUAACAGUAACAGUAGCAGUAGUAACUUAGCAAGAUCAAUAUGUAGGAAAAUCGUAGGCAUUGGAUCGGUAAUUUGUUGGAUGAUAUUCAUCAUGAGACAGUCAUAACCUAGGGCGAUACGGCACUAGCUCCAGUUCAUAAAUGCAAUGUAGGCAUGUAUUCCGUAAAUAGUCAUACGUGCUUAUGGAAAGAACUUGCAUGACAUCUUUUGUCCUACCCUCCCGUGGCAGCGGGGUCCUAUUGGAAACAAGGGAUAUUAAGGCCUCCUUUUAAUAGAGAACCGGAACAAAGCAUUAACACAUGAUGAAUACAUUAACUCCUCAAACUGCGGUCAUCACCGGGAGCUGUCCCGACUAUUGUCACUCCGGGGUUGCCGGAUCAUAACACGUAGUAGGUGACUAUAACUUGCAAGUUCGAAUCUAGAACAUGGAUAUAAUGGUGAUAACAUAAACGGUUCAGAUAUGAAAUCAGGGCACCCGGGCCCAAAGUGACAAGCAUUAAGCAUGGCAAAGUCAUAGCAACAUCAAUUUCUGAACAUAAUGGAUACUAGGGAUCAGGCCCUAACAAAACUAACUCGAUUACAUGAUGAAUCUCAUCCAACUCCUCACCGACCAGUGAGCCUAUGAAGGAAUUACUCACUCCCGGUGGGGAGCAUCAUGGAAUUGGCGAUGGAGAAAGGUUGGCGAUGACGAAGCACUACAAAAAAAGACACUUCCGUGAUGAUACGUGUUUGUCACAGUACGUCAUGUUUUCUGUCAUGCAUGUACAUCCAUGACGAUUUUAUAACAGAAUCAAGAUAGUCAUACCUGUGUUGUCGUAGAAGUGUUCCAUGACAUUACCAAAAUUAUCAUCACGGAAGUGUCCACUUCCAUGAUGAUAAAUCGCGCGUCAUAGAAGUGCUUUUGUCAAGGGUGACCGACACGUGGCAUCGACCGUAACGGCUCGCCGUUAAGCUAUCGGGUCCGGUUUUGGAUCUGAUAACCCGUUAACAGCCCGGACCAAUGGGGAUUUUCCACGUGUAAAAUUCUCAUUGGCCGACGGAACCACGCGUCAGCUCCUCGUUGGGACAGAUGUCAUCCACUCAUUGGACAGGAGGCGCCUAUGAUACGUCGACACGUGGCCGGCCCAAUAGAGGCCCAUUCCGGUGAAAAGGCCGGCCCACCUAAAGGCCCACCAUGUUUUUUCAGACACUAGUGGGCUGGCCCGUUAACAGCCUGCCAUGUUUUGGGUCAAAUUGAGGCCCAUAUCAGACCAGGCCCGUUCACAGCCUGUCGAGUUUUGGGCCAAAUUACGGCCCAUAUCGGAUCAGGCCCGUUAACAGGCCACUGUACCUUUGGGCCCAUUCUAAGACAUGUUUGUUUUUCAGCCUGUUAAAUGCCCGUUUACCUGUUCGGCCCAAUAAUAGUUUGGGCCUGUUAGUAGCCCGUGGAGUAUCUGGGACGUUGUCGGCCCGGUUUAACUUUAGGCCAUUUAACGGCCCACGCGGAAACUAGGCUAUUUCUAGUCCGAAGUAACUUUAGGCCUCUUAAUGGCCCGUGGUCUUCGUGGAUAAAUUUCAGCCCAACUGGCCUAUCGGCCUGUUAAUGGCCCGUGUAACACUUGGGCCUAAUUACAGCCCGCGUUGAAUCCGGCCUGCUUACAGCCCAUCUGAUAAUGGCCCAUGACACUUUUGGGCCUAUGGCCCGCAUGGAUACCGGCCUGCUUAAAGCCCAUAAUUUUAUUGGGCCAAACAGGCCCGAGAUAUAUUUUGUCCUGUUAACUGCUCGUCCUACUUGGGCCAAACAUGGGCCUUAGGCAGUUUCGGCCUGUAUUGGCCCAUGAAUUUUUCGGCUCAACACUAGCCCAAUCUAGGUUUUAGCCUGUUAAAAGCCCAUUGUAUUCUCUGGCCCAGCUGGCCAGAACUUUACUCGGCCUGUUAAAGGCGGGAAACAACCAUAAGGUUUAGACCUGCUAAUGGCCCGAGAUGAUUAUAGGUCCACGUUUUAGCCCAUAUGAGUAACGGUUCGCCCUGAAGACCGACAACACUGAGGUCCACUGAACCUUCCGGCCUAAAUUAGAACAUACCGACCAAGAAUAAACCUAGACUAUACAACAAAGAAAUUACAACAUAUUACAUCCCCUCGGCAUCAAGGUUCGCAACCAGUGAUAAUAAAGGGCAACCAAAGCAGCAGAUUACAUAAACUGGGCAGGUCGCCACCAGUGGAAGUUAACAGGCGGACAAAAUAAUAGACAGAACCGACAGCACUUCAACACAGUUCAAGAAAGGUUAGCCUGGCCCAGCAGCUGCAGCGCAAGCAGCUUAGCAACCUGAUGAGACUGCGCUCCUUUGGCGCUCAUAUCCACCCCUUUAAGCUGCAUAGCAUCAAUAAACAUCAUGUACUUACGGUUAAUCUUGCAUAGAGAUUGGAGUUCCAGUCGUAUUUGAGCGGAAGCAUGUAUUUCUGCUUGAAUUUCAGACUGAAGAAGUCAAACAGAUUCAGGCGGCGACUUCAUCGAGCUUGUGUCACUGAGUAAGUUUGACACUACAUCAAGAUGUGACUUCUUGGUUGUAUCCCUACCCUCAAUAUGUUUUGCCUUCUCCUCUGGAAUAUGUGUUAGAGGGACAAACAAUGGGUUCGUCUCACUAUCAUUGUGGCAGUUCUUCCUAGCAGCAGUGUUGUCACCCUGAAAGAGAAACAGGUAGGUAGAUAACAUGUUUUGCACGUAUAAGCAUCAGCGCUGUCAAUUCAUGUAAUUUCUUUGUCAGAAAUAAAGAGACACGGUUUAAAAUAUCAUUAACAUAAUAGGCAUUGUUCAUAGUUAAGACGGCAGGAAAUGGCAUUGUGCAGGAGCGGCCAGCUUCACCAGACCACUGGAUUACAGAUCAAGAACACAAGCAUAGAUGUAGUUCUAAACAACAUAUAAGCAUGAACGGUGAGUGUACAGUCAAUUUAUACCAUUUCAGAUUGGUAAAUAAAGAGACACAAUUUAAAUAACAUUAAUAUAAUAUGGCAUUGUUCAUAGUUGAGACAUAGCAGGAUAUGACAUUGUGCCAUUGUUGGUAGUCUCACCGCACCACUGGAUUACAGAUCAAGAACACAAGCAUACACAUAGUGCUAAAGAAGAUAACUUGCUAUGUUUAGUUUAAUUUACAUGGUACGAAUAAGGAACUAGAUUGUACAACUAAAGACUGAAAUUGAGAAUUACAAACUUAUGUUUAUGUACUUCUACUUUAUAAACUUUGAACAAGCAAUUUGAUGCAUACGACAAAAAUAAACAACAUUUGCACUCAUGGCUCUCCAAAUAUAAACAACAAAGUUUGAAGGCUCGAGGAGGACAAACUUACAUUAGUAGUGAAGAUAGGCUCUAUAAAGGCCUUCUCCAUAUUGAUGGGGGGGCAAUUCAAGAAGUUUACCUCACACUCUUCUUCAACAGUAUUGCCUUUAUUCUACAUUUUGUUAAGAGUAAAUAUAGAUGUGAAAAUAUAGGAACAAAUGGCGAUUAUUUAACUUAAGAUGCAGAGUACAAAUGUAAAUAUAGCAUACAGGCAGAAGGCACUGACAAGAGCAAUGUAGAGCUAAACUUCUUCAGUAACAUUGGUUUUAUUCAAUAUUUUGGCAAGAGUAAAUGUAGAUCUGAUGUGUAGAAAAAUGGAGGACAAGGGAAAAUAAGCUGCAAAGUGUACAUGAAGAACUAGCUGACAAAUAUAAGGACAACAGAUACCAAGAACAAUGCACAACUAAAUUUCUUCAUAGGCAUUGGGUUUAUUCUACAUUAAUUUAAGCAUUAAUAUAGAUCUGAUAAUUUGGAGCGAACAGUGGAUAAGCAAGCUAUAAUGCACAAUGAUGUCACAUAAUCCACUAGGUAUGAAUGUAAGGACAGCGAUAGGACAAUAGGUACUCACAAGAGCAAAGAAGCGACCAACAUAGUUGCGAUAUCCUAGGUUUUGUGGCGCUGGUUCUAUCGCCAAUAUACGUCGGGUGCUAUGUGAUUUCUCCGGUAGCACCACCUUUUUCAAGGACUUUGUUUGUACUCCUUCAGGUUCUGCAGUCACCCUCUUCCUUUUGGAUGUCUGAAACACAAGAACAGCAUUUGAAUGGAAAAACAUGGUAUGACGACAAAUGGAAUAGGUGUUGAUAAUGGAUGGGCAUGGCAUCGUCACAUAUAUCAUGAGUAAACUAAGCAGAUGGCGGUGCAACGAAGCAAAAGAAAUGCAGGACACCUUAUGCAAGAUAUGUGCAACCAAUAAAACCUUGCCAAAUUAGAACAGGCACCUUAUUGGGUGAACAGGAUAGGCCAUCUGCCUUUGACUCCUUGACCUCAGAAUAGUCAUUAGGAUCAUAUUCUGAAUACGAAUCUAUAGGUUGGGAGUAUAUAUGUGGGUUUCAUUGCAUCCACAAUGGACCUCAAUCCCUUGAUGCCAAGUUUGUUACCCAUUGAACUGUUCCGCAAUAUUCUUCUGAUGUGCGCAUUCUAAUAUUCAUUGUGAUUACGUACAAUAUCUGUAAAGCAUGAAAACACAAAUAGUAGUGAGAUUAUCUUUGUAAUGCAGAGGAUAUUGUAAUAUAAUCUGGCACAACUACCGUAUAGAAAGUUUAUUGCCAAACCAUGAUAACGAGAGCGCAGAGCCAGUAGGCAGAUCGUAGUGUAGAUAAUAGGGGUACACUAUAACCACCAUAAAUAAAUCGGGAAAGCAGAACUGGCUGGAAAACAUAGGGUUUUUCCGCUACUAAUAUGCAGCCUAUCGAUCACCUACAGGCCAGCUCUAUUCAUCUGAAGGCGCACAGCUGUUACUAUCAGUUUAGUCUAUCAAAGACCGCGCGGCUCCCACCAUUUCCGGGGUAUUAUGGCAGACCAACUCGAAGUGCAAAAUCACUUAGCAGAACCAGCCCAAUAGAGGUGUCGACUGCAGAUGUCCCUGCUCCCCUUCCUGACAAGGAACAUACUGUGCUUCCCAUAUAGAACACCGCACGGGCCGCCGGCCGAACCAUCGGCCCCCACCGCCUGUGUUCCUCCGCCACCACACCCCCACCCCCGCCCCCACCCGCGUUGAGUUUUCUUCGUUCGGCGAGGCCCCACCACCGCCCCCCACAACCACCGUCCCCACCCGAGCCCCUUCCUUCGCACCGGCAAACUCUGGCGAGCUUUCAAAAAUCGACUGACCCAAUUUUGAAAUUUAGUCUACUGUCAUUUAACUAGUGUGGAAUAUAAAAAGGGGAAAACCAUAAGCAUUGCGAGUAUAGUGUUGAGCGUGCCAUGGCGGAUCUGAAGGUGCAAACUGGACAAAGGCAACUUCACAACCAAUGUUUGCUUUCAACUAACAAGUAAGUGAUGGACAAGAAAUCAGAGUAAAGCAGUGGCCAUCUAUUUUCUUGCUGCGAUAAAUAAGUUGAGCAGAUACGAAAGAGUACCGCCUCUAGUGCAGCGCCGUGUAUGCAUCUGCUGAGAAUUUGACGGUGCUGCGGUAGCGAUGGCUGUCGGCAGCGUGGAAGCAGAUCUAGGAAGGUAGACGGUGGCGGCGGGGUGCGGUGGAUGAGACGGUCGUGGGAGCAGCGCCGGCAAGGUGGACGACGGCGGGGAUGAAGCGAGAGGAUGAUAGCCCACAAGUAUAGGGGACGUAGCCUCUUUCGAUAAGUAAGAGUUUCGAACCCAACAAGGAUCUAAAGGUAGAACAAAUAUUCCCUCAAGUUCUAUCGACCACCGAUACAACUCUACGCACGCUUAACGUUCGCUUUACCUAGAACAAGUAUGAAGCUAGAAGUACUUUGUAGGUGUUGUGGGAUAGGUUUGCAACAAUAUAAAGAGCAGGUAAGAAAAAUCUAGGGGCUGUUUAGAUAAAGACACAAUAAAGUUAGUAUAGCGAGUGUGGAAAAGUGGUGGUAGGAUUUGCGAAAUUGUUCCUAAGCAAUUGAGUACUUUACUAGACUGAUAGCAAGUUUUAUGUGGGAGAGGCCACUGCUAGCAUGUCAUCCCUGACUUGGAAUUCUAUGCACUUAUGAUUGGAACUAUUAGCAAGCAUCCGCAACUACUAACGUUCAUUAAGGUAAAACCCAACCAUAGCAUUAAGAUAUAUUGGUGCCCCUUCAAUCCCGUAUGCAUCAAUUUCUAUGCUAGGUUGAAGCUUCUGUCACUCUUGACCUGCAAUACAUAGUCCUACCAACAUACAACUAACCCUAUGGUGUGAUCCAGGUGCGCGCUCAUAUGAUGGGCACCAAAGGACAGCAACAUAACCCCAAGCAAAUUAAACCAAUCAUAGCAAUUCACCAAUUACCGAUAGGACAAAGAAAGUCUACUCAGGCAUCAUAGGAUGGCAACACAUCAUUGGAUAAUAAUAUGGAGCUUAAAGCACCAUGUUCAAGUAGAGGGUACAACGGGUUGCGGGAGAGUGGACCGCUGUAGAUAGAUGGGGGAAGGUGAUGGAGAUGUUAGUGAAGAUGACAGAGGUGUUGGUGUAGAUUGCUGUGAUGAUGAUGGCCCCGACGGCAUUCCGGCGCCACCGGGAGAGAGGGGGAGAGAGCCCCCCUUCUUCUUCUUCUUCUUCUUCUUCUUCUUCCUUGACCUUCUCCCUAGAUGGGAGAAGGGUUUCCCCUGUGGUCCUUGGCUUCCAUGGCAUGGGAGGAGCCAAAGCCCCUCCAAGAUUGGAUCUAUCUCUCUGUCUCUCUCUGUUUCUGCGUUCCUCAUUCUGCCCUUUCACCGUUUCUUAUAUUCUUGGAGAUCCGUAACUCCGAUUGGUCGAAAAUUUGGACACGAUUUCUAUCCGAAUAUUGGCUUUCUUGCGGCGAAAGAAGGGCACAAACCGCCUUAGGCUAUGGCCACGAGGGCCCAGGGCACGCCCCUCACCCUCAUGGGCCCUUGGGCAUCGUCUCGCGUUGAUUCCACUUCCCAAAAUUCACAUAUAUUCCAAAAAAAUCUUCGUCAAUUUUUAUCCCGUUUGGACUCCGUUUGAUAUGGAUUUUAUGCGAAAUAAACAACCUGCAACAAAUGGGAACUGGCACUGGGCACUGGAUCAAUAUGUUAGUCCCAAAAAUAGUAUAAAAAGUUGCCAAAAGUAUGUAAAAGUUGUAGAAUAUUGGCAUGUAACAAUCAAAAAUUAUAGAUAUGACGGAGACAUAUCAGCAUCCCCAAGCUUAAUUCCUGCUCGUCCUCGAGUAGGUAAAUGAUAAAAAAGAUAAUUUUUGAUGUGGAAUGCUACCUAGCAUAAUCUUGAUCAUGUAAUCUAAUCAUGGCAUGAGUAUUAAGAAACGAGUGAUUCAAAGCAAUAGUCUAUCAUUUGACAUUAAGACAAUAGUACUUCAAGCAUACUAACCAAGCAAUUAUGUCUUAUCAAAAUAACAUAGCCAAAGAAAUCGUAUCCCUACAAAAUCAUAUAGUUUGGCCAUGCUUCAUUUUUGUCACAGAAAAUGCUCCCAUCAUGCACAACCCCGAUGACAAGCCAAGCAAUUGGUUCAUAUUUUUUAACGCGCUUCAGCCUUUUCAACCCUCACGCAAUACAUGAGCGCAAGCCGUGGAUAUAGCACUACAGGUGGGAUAGCAUAUGAUGAUGGGGGUUAUGUGAGGAGACAGAAAAAGGAGAAAGUCUCACAUUGACGUGGCUAAUCAAUGGGUUAUGGAGGUGCCCAUCAAUUGAUGUCAAUGCGAGGAGUAGGGAUUGCCAUGCAAUGGAUGCACUAGAGCUAUAAGUGUAUGAAAGCUCAAACUGGAAACUAAGUGGGUGUGCAUCCAACUUAUUUGCUCAUGAAGACCUCGGGCAUUUGAGGAAGCCCAUCAUCGGAAUAUACAAGCCAAGUUCUAUAAUGAAAAUUCCCACUAGUAUAUGAAAGUGAUAACUCAAGAGACUCUCUAUACGAAGAACAUGGUGCUACUCUGAAGCACAAGUGUGGUAAAAGGAUAGUAACAUUGCCCCUUCUCUCUUUUUCUCUCAUUUUUUUGUUUUGUUUUUUUGUUUUUUUGUGGGCUUCUUUGGCCUCUUUUUUUAAAGUCCGAAGUCUCAUCCCGACUUGUGGGGGAAUCAUAGUCUCCAUCAUCCUUUCCUCACUUGGGAAAUGCUCUAAUAAUGAUGAUCAUCACACUUUUAUUUACUUACAACUCAAUGUCUACAACAAAGUAUGACUCUAUAUGAAUGCCUCCGGUGGUGUACCGGGAUGUGCAAUGAUCUAGCGUAGCAAAAGAUAUCAUAAAAUGGACAAGCCAUGAAAAUAUCAUGCUAGCUAUCUUACGAUCGUGCAAAAAAAUAUGACAAUGAUGGAGCGUGUCACAAUAAACGAAACGGUGGAAAGUUGCAUGGCAAUAUAUCUCGGAAUGGCUAUGGAAAUGCCAUAAUAGGUAGGUAUGGUGGCUGUUUUGAGGAAGAUAUAAGGAGGCUUAUGUGUGAUAGAGCGUAUCGUAUCACGGGGUUUGGAUGCACCGGCGAAUUCUGCACCUACUCUUGAGGUGAGAAAGGGCAAUGCACGGUAACGAAGAGGCUAGCAAAUUGCGAAAAGGUAAGAGUGCGUAUAAUCCAUGGACUCACAUUAGUCAUAAAGAACUCAUAUACUUAUUGCAAAAUUUAAUUAGCCCUCGAAGCGAAGUACAACUACGCAUGCCCCUAGGGGGAUAGAUUGGUAGGAAAAGACCAUCGCUCGUCCCAGACCGCCACUCAUAAGGAAAGCAAUCAAAGAACACCCCAUGCUUCAAAUUUGUCACACAACGUUUACCAUACGUGCAUGCUACGGGACUUGCAAUCCUCAACACAAGUAUUUCUCAAUUCCACAAUUACCCAACUAGCACGACUCUAAUAUCACCAUCAAACAUAUCAUAUUUAGUGAUCUACAAGUUUUAUGUAGGAUAUUAUGACUAACCAUGUGAAUGACUAAUUCCUGCCAUCUCUCUAAAUAGAGAUAAGUGAAGCAAGAGAGUUUAAUUAUUUUCACAAAAGAUAUGCCCAUGCUCUAACAAAUAUAAGUGAAGCAAAAGAGCAUUCUACAAAUGGCGGUUUUCUUUGUGAAGAGGAACAGGCAAUCCCAACUUCAAAUGAUAUAAGUGAAGCACAUGAAGCAUUAUAUAAAGCCAUACUCAAAAGAUAUAAGUGAAGUGCAAAGAGCAUUCUAUAAAUCAACCAUGGACUAUCUCAUACCAGCAUUGUGCAUCAAAGAAAAGUGAAAACUAAGUGCAAAAGACGCUCCAAGAUUUGCACAUAUCACAUGAACGAAACGAAACCGAAAAUUUACCGAUACUUGUUGAAGAAAGAUGGGAUGCCUUCCGAGGCAUCCCCAAGCUUAGGCGCUUGAGUCUCCUUGAAUAUUUACUUGGGGUUCCUUGGGCAUCCCCAAGCUUGAGCUCUUGCCUCUCGUCCUUUUCCUCAUAUCGAGACCUCCUCGAUCCUCGAACACUUCAUCCACACAAAACUCAACAGAAAGCUUGGUAAGAUCCGUUAGUAUAAUAAAGUAAAUCACUACUCUAAGUACUGUUGCAAACCAAUUCAUAUUUUGUUUUUGCAUUGUAGCUACUGUAAUAUAACUUUUCCAUGGCUUAAUUCACUAAUAGAAAUUGAUAGUUUCAUCAAAACAAGCAAACUAUGCAUCAAAAACAGAAUCUGUCUUAAACAGGACAGUCUGUAGUAAUCUGAACAUUCACCAUUCUUCUGUUAAUCCAAAAUUAUGGAAAAAUUAGGAAAAAUGAAAAAUUUGUAUAGAAAGACAGUGCAAAAAGUUUCAGAACCGGUUGACGUUCCAGUAAAAAAUGUAAAAUCGCGCACUACAGACAAAGUUUCUAUUCUGCACCGCACAAACCAACAAGCAAUGUAAACAUCCUAAAGGCAAAUCUUGGCACAUUAUUUUUAUAAUACAAUGGAAUUGUACAAGGGGAUAAUUAUUUUUGUUGAAAAUUUUCUGUAAUCAAGAUUCACAAAGUUUCCGUGAGCAUGAACAAAGUUCAAGGAGCUCCCCCACUUCAACAAUGCUUGUCUCUCUCACUUUCCCUUUCUUUUUGAAAAGUUUUGGGUUCCCUUCUUUAUUUUUUUAUUUUUAAACUAUAUAAAAGCACACAACAGAAAUAAAUGACUCUCUAAAACUUCCGGGUUGUCUCCCUGGCAGCGCUUUCUUUAAAGCCAUUAAGCUAGGCAUAUAGUGCUCAAGUAAUGGAUCCACCCGGAUCCCAAGGUAUAUCAAAGCCAAUUUUAAUUAACAAUGAUUUAGAAUUUAGUAGUGAGCACAAAGAAACAUAUAUCAAGCAAUGAUGAAGUCUAACUCUCUUCCUAUGCAUCGGGAUGUCAUACAAGAACAAUUCAUGCACAUCAAGUAAAGGCCAAUGCAUAGCAUAAGCAGUUUCUUGCAAUUUUAUCGUGUUGGAAACAUAGAGAGGUGGAGAUAUAGUUCCUCUCUCAUAAUAAUUGCAAGUAGGAGCAGCAAUCACAUGCAUAUUAUAUUCAUCAAAAUCAUCAUGUGCAACGGUAAAAGGCAACCCAUCAAUAUAAUCCUUAACGAGAGCAAACUUCUCUGAUAUAGUGUAGUCGGGAGAAUUCAAAAAGAUAAUAGGACUAUCAUACGUGGGUGCAAUAGCAACAAUUUCAUGUUUAACAUAAGGAACUAUAGCAAGUUAAUCUCCAUAAGCAUCAUUCAUAUUGGCAUCUUGGCCACAAGCAUAGCAAGCAUCAAGUUCAUCAAAAAGGGAUAUUUCAAAUGAAUCAACGGGAUCAUAGCAAUUAUCAUAGCAUUCAUCCUUCGGUAAGAACGAAGGGGCAUUAAAUAAUGUAUGAGUUGAAGAGUUACUCUCAUUAGAAGGUGGGCACGGGUAGCUAAUCCGCUCUUCCUCCGUUUGUUCUUCGCUCUCCUCAUCAUUUUUUCCAUCCAAUGAGCUCACAGUUUCAUCAAUUUCUUCCUCCAUAGACACCUGCAAAAUAUUAGUCUCUUCUCGGACAGCGGAGACUUUCUCAAUAAAUUCAUCAAUAUCAUAAUUGUAUUUAUAAUUCUCAUAGCAAUAUUGAAGGAUAGCUAAAUUUUCAGGUCUAUAAACUGAAUCAUCAAAAUCUUCAAACUCUUUAAACAAAGAUUCAAUUUCACAAGCACCCUUAAAAGCAACAAAUUCUUCUAUUCGUUCCACAUCAUAGUAAUCAUAUAUACCAUUAGCAUAAGAAGCUAAGGAUUCAUUAUCAUUAAAUUUGCAUGAAAAGGGAAGGUGUGGAGCCUUCAUCCUAGAGCAACAAGUAUAAUCAUAUCUCAGGCAUAGUUGCCUAGCAUACCAAUACAACAUAUAAAUUUGAUCCCACAAUAGUUUCCCUUUUUUAGUCAAGCGAUAAUCCCUGAAGUAUUCACGUUGUUCCAACGUGUCUCCCAUAACAUAAUUGAAUGGGGUUUUCUCAGGAUUAUUGAAGUAGUACAUAAUAUCUUUCACAUAAUGAGCAUCGAGGGUUUUAGGAGGUUCCCCAUCUCCAUGAAUAGCAAGUAAACCUAAUUUUUUUGGUAUUAGUGUUCCAUAUCCAUAACUAAAGAUAGAGAACAACUUAGAACAGCAAAUAAAAAUUAAUUAGUGAUAAGCAAACAAGCACACACGAGAAUAUUCACCCAACGCUAUCUGUCCCCGGCAACAGCGCCAGAAAAAGGUCUUGAUAACCCACAAGUAUAAGAGAUCAAUUGUAGCCUCUUUUGAUAAGUAGAGUGUCGAACCCAACGAGGAACUAAAGGUAGAACAAAUAUUCCCUCAAGUUCUAUCGACCACCGAUACAACUAUACGCACGCUUAACGUUCGCUUUACCUAGAACAAGUAUGAAGCUAGAAGUACUUUGUAGGUGUUAUGGGAUAGGUUUGCAAGAAUAUAAAGAGCACAUAAAUAAAUUCUAGGGGCUGUUUAGAUAAAUACACAAUAAAGUUAGUAUAUCUAGUGUGGAAAAGUGGUGGUAGGAGUUGCGAAAUUGUCCCUAAGCAAUUGGCUACUUUACUAGACCGAUAGCUAGUUUUAUGUGGGAGAGGCCACUGCUAGCAUGUCAUCCCUGACUUGGAAUUCUAUGCACUUAUGAUUGGAACUAUUAGCGAGCAUCCGCAGCUACUAACGUUCAUUAAGGUAAAACCGAACCAUAGCAUUAAGAUAUAUUGGUCCCCCUUCAAUCCCGUAUACAUCAAUUUCUAUGCUAGGUUGAAGCUUCUGUCACUCUUGCCAUCCAAUACAUAGUCCUAUCAACAUACAACUAACCCUAUGGUGUGAUCCACGUGUGCGCUCAUAUGAUGGGCACCAAAGGACAGCAACAUAACUAGAAGCAAAUUAAACCAAUCAUAGCAAUUCACCAAUUACCGAUAGGACAACGAAAAUCUACUCAGACAUCAUAGGAUGGCAACACAUCAUUGGAUAAUAAUAUGAAGCAUAAAGCACCAUGUUCAAGUGGGUAUAGCGGGUUGCGGGAGAGUGGACUGAUGUAGAUAUAUGGGGAAGGUGAUGGAGAUGUUGGUGAAGAUAACAGAGGUGUUGGUGUAGAUUGCGGUGAUGAUGAUGGCCCCGACGUCAUUCCGGCGCCACCGGGAGAGAGGGGGAGAGAGCCCCCCUUCUUCUUCUUCCUUGACCUUCUCCCUAGAUGGGAGAAGGGUUUCCCCUCUGGUCCUUGGCUUCCAUGGCAUGGGAGGGGCGAGAGCCCCUCCGUGAUUGGAUCUGUCUCUCUGUCUCUCUCUGUUUCUGCGUUCCGGAUUCUGCCCUUUCACCGUUUCUUAUAUUCCCGGAGAUCCGUAACUCCGAUUGGGCUAAAAUUUGGACACGAUUUCUAUCCGGAUAUUGGAUUUCUUGCGGCGAAAUAAGGACACCAACCUCCUUACGGAGUGGCCACGAGGGCCCAGGGCGCGCCCCUCACCCUCGUGGGCCCCUCGGGCACCGUCUCGCGUUGAUUCCACUUCCCAAAAUUCACAUAUAUUCCAAAAAAAAGUCCCCGUUAGUUUUUAUCCCGUUUGGAGUCUGUUUGAUAUGGAUUUUCUGCGAAACAAACUACGUGCAACCAACAGGAACUGGCACUGGGCACUGGAUCAAUAUGUUAGUCCCAAAAAUAGUAUAAAAAGUUGCCAAAAGUAUGUAAAAGUUGUAGAAUAUUGGCAUGGAACAAUAAAAAAUUAUAGAUAUGAUGGAGACGUAUCAGAGGAUGGGAUGCAAGGAUCCCGGUACGAAGCCGUGGAUGAGCGAGGUCGAUCUCUUGUAAUGGCCGACAGCGUCGGGGUAUCAGCUCCGGCAUGGUGGAGGAGGACGGCGGUGGAUGGGGUGGCGGACGGAUGAGGCUGGGGUGGAGAGGGUGUUUUGGCGCCCACGGAGUACGAAUGGGGAAAUGGAGGGAGAAAGGAAGGGGGAACCAUGUCUUCAGGGCGCGCUUGUCUCAAAUGCAAGGAAAUUUACAAACUUAGCCCCCGUUUAAAAUUUCCUACAUCACAGCAAUAUUAGUCGGUUGGGGAUAAGACGUAAUCUCGCAUACACCGAAUAUUUGCCGACGAGAGUUUGUUUUUGGCGCCCACCGUGUAUGAAUCGGGGAAGGAGUCAAUUUCGGCCGAGGAGACACUGCGUUUUGGCGCCCACCGUGUAUGAAUCCGGGUGAGAGGCGGUUAUGUCACGUUUGAGUGAAAUUACAAACCUACCCCUAUCGAAACCUAUAGAAAUUGAGCCGAUAGGCUUUGCGUGGCAGGGAUAGGCUGUAAUUUCCAUCUCGCAGAUUUUGGUUUCGGGCGGUUAUUGCGACUUUCCCUGCUUCGUUCAAGUUUUUGCAGAGCAAGAGUGCACAUUUACCAUGCCAACUCAAUUCGAAUCCAGUUUGUAUUCUAUUUUUGUUCGGGCAGGGUCCAUUUUCGAUUGGAAUAAAAUUCUAUAUACAUCAUUUUUUAUAUAUAUACUUUCAAAAGCACAACACCCUUUAUACAUAAAUAUGGUUUACAAAUGGCAUUAUCUCAGAUUCAUAAGGCUGUAUCCAUCUUAAUUUGGAUAUUCAAAUAUUUGAAACCACUUUAUGUUGAAAUCGAAUGUAUGCAUUCCUCGCUAACUGUCUCCAAUUAAUGUGUUUCAUGCGGGUUUUUAUUUUUUUACUUCUCAAACAUGUAUAAUGUGUUUCACACACGCAACAUAUAGUGUAAUCCCGUUUAGACAUUAAUUGCAUAUAAGCCAUGCAUUGUCUCUAAUUAAAGAAUCUAUGGAUCACUAAUAUUGAUAAACUAUAUGACAUUACACGUGUCCCCAAAUUCAAAUGAAUAUGCAUGUUUGAUACCAAUUUGCGUUAUGAUAUUAUCGAUGUUGUGAUCUCCAGUUUAAAUAUUUGAAUCCCCUUUAAUCCAGAUAUUCGUCUCAUAUAGCUAUCACUCAUGCUUAUAUAGGAGUAUCUCUCUAGACCUAUACGCGUUCAUCGUCUCUCGGGUAUCUCUCAUGCUACCUGUAUGUCGACAAUGAUCUUUUAUCUUCGUAACACACUGACGGUACUCUCUCUCUCAACCUCCAUCACUAUAUCUCUCUCUAAGUAUAUCUCGCUCCCUGCUAUGUGUCUCUAACUAUGAUUCUCCAUGUGAAAUCUCUUUCUCUCACACAAGCACAAACUUCGUCUCCCGGGGUCUCAUUUCUCUCUACUAUUCCCCUGUGUGCCACUCGCACACACCCUCUCACACAAAGAUGUCUUUCGCUCCUUAGGUAUGAGAAGCUACGACUCUUCCUCUUAAAUAUCUCUUUCUCACACACAAACACAAACUCUGUCUCCCAGGGUCUCAUAUCUCUCCACCAUUCUCUUGUAUGUCGCUCACACACACUCUCUCUCCCUAGAGAUAUCUUGCGUUCCCUCAUAUGUCUCUGUAGCUAUCACUCUCAUUAUGAAAUAUCUUUCUCUCUCGCAGACACAAAACUCCGUCUCUCGAGAUCUCUUUCUCUCAGAUAUUUGUUUGUAUGUGAGUCAUCUCUCUCACACCCACACAGAUAACUCAGCCUUCUGAUCCACUCGAAUCCUACCUCUAAUGCACACUAGCUAGCAUCAUUAUCUUUCUAUUUAUCUGUUUCUCCAUCAACCUUCUUUCUCGCCCUCACUCUUGCUUCCUACCACGCACACUAUGUAUGUUUCUCUCUACAUGCAGUCAAGUGCCCUCUUUUUAUCUUUCUCUCACACACACAUAACUUCACCUUCUGAACCACCCGGCGGUCAUCUCCAACACUCAAACUAGCCGAUGUCCCUCUAGCUAGCAUUUCCAUCUCUGUAUCUAUCUGUAGUUUCUCCAUCAACAUUUCUUUCUCGCACGCACUCUUGCUUCCUAUCACCCACACUAUAUAUGUCUCUCCAUACAUGAAUUUAUAGGUUGAUCUCUUUUGCGCAACCGUUGUGUCUCACUCCCUCGGCUCGCCAUAGAUGCAUGCUCCAGUCCACGCCACUAUCUCUUAAAGACAAAAACACAUGCUCAAUUGUCGGGCCUUCUUCCCUGCACUCUCACAUGCAUGCAUAUUGUCAUACCGAUCCGUCUCUCCCAUGCCGUUGAUCUUAUGACUUAUGUCUUCUUUCUUUUAUCUCGAUCAUGCGCGCGCGCGCACACACACAUCCACGUAUACAUGUAUACCUCUCACACAUGCACGUUCAAGGUCUCUAUGUCUCCAUACGUAGUUAAUUACCCUCAACCCUAACGCCACAUCGAAUCGUUCUCUUCUUGUGUGCACAUAACUUCCGUAUGGAUGGGUAAAACACACACUCACACUUAACAAUAUCCUUCUAGCUACCCCCUCUCACUCUUCCCCUAUAUCCCCGAAACUAAUACGACCAUCCCUUCGUUUAAUUCCUGCCUACAUGCACCAUCGAUAUAUAGUAGUCUUCCUUGGUGUCUCUCAAACAAACACGUUCUCUCGAUGUCGACUCCUCUCAUGCGCACACACCUUGUCUUCCCUCUCUACGGGCCUUUUCUCUCUCGCACCCCAUCGUUGGUGGACUUUGCCAUACACAUCACCUCUCUGUGAUGAAGCCACAACACUUAAAUUACAUCCGCCACCGAGGACCCCACGUCACNNNNNNNNNNNNNNNNNNNNNNNNNNNNNNNNNNNNNNNNNNNNNNNNNNNNNNNNNNNNNNNNNNNNNNNNNNNNNNNNNNNNNNNNNNNNNNNNNNNNNNNNNNNNNNNNNNNNNNNNNNNNNNNNNNNNNNNNNNNNNNNNNNNNNNNNNNNNNNNNNNNNNNNNNNNNNNNNNNNNNNNNNNNNNNNNNNNNNNNNNNNNNNNNNNNNNNNNNNNNNNNNNNNNNNNNNNNNNNNNNNNNNNNNNNNNNNNNNNNNNNNNNNNNNNNNNNNNNNNNNNNNNNNNNNNNNNNNNNNNNNNNNNNNNNNNNNNNNNNNNNNNNNNNNNNNNNNNNNNNNNNNNNNNNNNNNNNNNNNNNNNNNNNNNNNNNNNNNNNNNNNNNNNNNNNNNNNNNNNNNNNNNNNNNNNNNNNNNNNNNNNNNNNNNNNNNNNNNNNNNNNNNNNNNNNAAGACUCCAUCUCACACACACAUGCUCUAGGUGGAGCAUUUGUUCCUACCACCCUUCGUCCAACCUUACCCGUAUGAUAAACAAUCACCUUAAUUUACUUGUAUAACAUGGACAAAUUCCAUUUUCCUUUAGUAGUUAGAAAACUUAUCAUCUCUACUCUUAUAAAAAACCGAGUUGGUGAUGAUGGUGUGCCUACCAUCUUGUAAUAUAGACCGUCCGAUCUAUAUCUGACGGAUAGAAAGGAAACUAUGAUAAUUUUACAAAAGAUACCCGCACCUCUCUCCACAUUCUUAUCUCCCACAACAUCAUUGCUGAGUAAUUAAAAAAGGAAGUCUCUGGAACAAUCUAGCAUGGUGGCCGCUGCCGCCUGCCGGCGCCGUCCAUCCCCAUGCCUCCGCCCAGUCCGACCACCAGUCACCACCAUGCUCCACUCUUCCUCACAUUAUCUCUCAUCUUUCAUUUUUUCGAUGAAAUUCUCGAGAUACCAGUUUUCUGAUAAAUUUCUCGAGAUAUCAUUAGUUUUUACACAUGGGAUUACUCCUGCAUGGGUCAAUCACAAUAGGUGUUUUGUAAAAAAAUGCAUAUUGUUGUUCCGUGCAAUGCACGAGCAUCUUGCUUGUAAUUAUAUAACGCAAAUCACGAGCAGGAAGUUACAUUUUUUUACACAACCACGUUAAUAUGGCCAGGUAAAUCACUAGCUAAAGUGUAAUACCAUUAUACUUAUAUCCCGAUGCAAAAGGUUGAGUACAUGUCUGAAGAGUAGAGUCGCACACACGCACUCUAUCUCUCAUAAUCUCACACACACACCAGUUACGUGACGCCCACUUAAGCAGACACGUACGUUACAAUUUGUGCACCCGCAGGUACACGUGAUGGUGCGCAUUUAUUUAAGCCGGACGGUGAACCCAAACAAUAGCUGCAUUCAUUCCCCUCCUGCCGCCACUUCUCUGGUCGCCGUCGUCCGGUAGCCAUGUCCCGGCCAAAGGUAACGACAUACGCCAUACUCCCGCCGGAGCGGCGCUUUAAUCUGGAAUUUUUAGUGCUCCUGCAUGCAUCUUUUUGUGCUAGCAGUCCUAUGUAAGGGUUAACUGGUCGCUUCAUGCGGACGUGCGCGGGCGGUGGAAGAGGAAGGAGAAGGGAAGCGGGCUAUGGAGUAAAGUUUUUUACCACAAUUUCUUAGGAAACUGAGUGCAAUAAUUGAGUAGUUUUGCAAAUUACCAGUACUACACCUGAAAUGGUUCAAAACCAAUACUCCCUUGUCAGCGCGCACUUCCCGCAUAAAACGGUCAGCAUCACCCUGGAGCGUCAGUGCCGCAUUAAUGCCCGGCCAGAGCGGAGGCAACCUCUCACUGGCGCCGGCGUUGAAGCAGCGCGACGGCCGAGAGAGUGCCGCUUCCCGGUGCACGCGACUGCUCCGCGUUGAGGCUGGCCAUAGUUUGGAUGAGUCUCCAUCAUGGGGAGCCACACUAACUGCGAUGAUAUGGAUCGUUCCAUCUAUGAAGAACACGUGGGACUGGAACUACGAGACGGACAUGUACCCAGGAGUGGACGUACAAACCUAAGUAAUGUAGCGCAGUAAGUGAAGUAGAAAGGCACAAAUAGUAUGAACAUGCGUGGCAUAUAGGCAUUUGUCUACUACGUACCAAUAAAUGUUGUACGUGCAAGGCAUGGUGAUGUUAUGGAGUACGUGCCUAAGUACUCUACUACUACUACUAUAUUAAUUGGAGGCACAUAUUAGGUUUUAUAUUUGUUUACGUGUAUGCCCCAAGACCUUCCAACUAGACGUGUCGUUGUCUCCGGGUCGCACUUUGUAUCAUUCAUACCACUAGUACUACUACGUGUGGUCUCCGACCCAGAAGUGGAAGAAGUGGAGACGCUCUACCACGCUGUUCAUGUCCCACUCCUUUCGCUGACGUGUGGGACAUCCAACACGUGUCGUGUUUGGCACUCCUUCGUCGUAAGAGUUGAAACGCUAGCAUUCAUCAGAAAAAAAUAAAUAAAUCAGCAGUGAUACUAUACCACGCGGUUUCCUUGCUCCUCGAUACCAGAAAGAAUACUUCCGUUCACCAACAUGUGGGACAUCGACCAUCCUGAUCCACUUGCCAUGCACGCAGAACUCCAAGGAAGAGUCACCCCGGUCGUCGCGCCGCAGUAAUAAUGACUAAUGAGCCGUCAAAUCACAGGCCCAACAUUUCCCACUGUGAAGUUGCUCGGACGAAGGAACCAUCAUGACUUCGUUGAAUUCCACUUCUUCAAGAAAACUACUGUACCAGCAGUACUGCUAGCUACAGUAGUUACUCCAGCAGAGGCCUCCUUUUUUUUGAAACAAGGCAGAGGCCUCCUUUCGUUCACAGGAUCGGAAUUUUAUAGGAAUAUGAAAAUCAUAGGAAGUGAGAUGACAUGCAUCUUAGUUCCUAUAGAGAAAGAGAUGCCAUUUGAUGCAUAGGAUAGGAAUUUUCCAUUGAGUCUAGGCUAAUGUACUGGUAAUUUGCUCUAAAAACUACAGUAGUAAAUAGUAGUACCGGUACAUGCUCGUACUCAGACACAAACACACACACUAACUACUAGUAGUACUACUACUUCUCACAUGCUGGCCAGACGUUGUCGUUCUCCUUCCCGGCUUUGUCGGCGACACCCCACCGUGCUUGGAUCACCGCCGACCUCUCCGCAGCAGCGCGUGCGUCCUCUUCUUUCUUGCGGCGGCGGGCCUUUCUUUUCUUUAGUGCUUUUUGACUUCUCCGCUUCCUCUGUGCGGCUUUGGCCGCCUCUUGCUCUACCGCCCAUUCGGCCUCGGCAGCUUCAAAUUGUGCCCCACGUAGGUGUGAGGUCGCGAGCGGCGAUGAACUCAGCACGGCAGGAUGCCAUCGCUUCCCUACCAUUUUGUGUGCGGUUGUGGGGGGCGAGGAACUCGGUGCGGCGAGAUGCCAUUGCUUCCUUACCGGUUAGUGUGCGGCACGGUGGCAUGAACGACGCUUGGUGAGAGCUGUGGGGUGGAGUGGCCGGACAACCGUAUAGUGCAUUGGCUUGUCAAGAGCUCAAGAACAGAAGACGAAGGAAAUUUGGAUUCCCCUUCAAUCCUGGUCAUUUAUUACCGAGUAAAAUGCAUUGGUGGUCAUCGAACUUGUGUUGAUAGCUCACUUUGAUCAUUAUAUUAUACGUGAUGCACACAUUAGCGCACACCAUACAUAGAGGCAAGUAGCAUGUACGCGUGCAAACACUCACGCUCAUGCUGUCAAAGCAUGCUAAUGCAUGCACGUCGCCCUCUCAAUCAAAGUCCUGCUCAUGGUGCAACGCAAACGGCGAGACGCGCCCCGGCGGUGCCUGACAUUACUGUUUAGACAUUUGAUGGAGGCCUCCGCGAAUGCCGAGCAUGUAUUCACCUAACUCAACACCAACGGUCAUACUCGGGACUCGGCGCCUUGCUCAUGUAUAUCGUCCAUCACAACGACAAUAUAUAAAAUAGCCUAGCUAGAGAGGGUACUACGGUACGGAGUAUGUACUAUCGUCAGCGAACGAUCAUAGUGCCACUGCACACGAGUGUGUGUCUGAUCGAUUCGUCCAUUAUUCGAAAGUUAUGCAUGGUUGUGUGGUGUCUAAUGGUGGUCGUCGAAGGCUACCUGGCAACAAGACCGGUUGCAUGGACGCCUGGUUGUCAAUAUGUGCUGCAUACACUUCAAAGGCUCGUCAUCCAUGAGUUCACAUUUUACCACCACGCCAGCGUCUGACCGCCCUGGCCUACCGAAACCCCUUCCAUCGCUAGCGCGCGCUUCCCGCCUGAAACGGUCACCGUCUGUCUAGAACGUCAAUGCCGCAUUCACCGGACUUAACUGCAGGUGCAGUUGGUGUGUCACUGACAUGCGGGCCAGAUGCCCGUUGGGCCCACAUGUAAGUGAGCCAACACACUGCAGUUAAGUCACUGAAGCAGCGUCCGCAUUCACACCCGAUGAACCUAGUCCCGUGCCAGCCGUCCAUCCGUCUGCCGCGGCUCAUUGCCAUUCGCCCGCUAUAUUAACUUGAGCCCCAGCUCCCAGCCAUAGCCAAAGACCCACACUCAUUCUCCUCCAGUCCCUUCCUUCUGUCGGCACCACUCCAACCAUGGCCUCCUAACGCUCCAAAGCUCUCUUGGACGUACUGCCGCAGGAGCAGAUGAAGGACAUCGGCGGCUCCGCUCCAGGCGUGCUCCAAAGCUCUCUUGGACGUACCGUCGCAGGAGCAGACGAAGNNNNNNNNNNNNNNNNNNNNNNNNNNNNNNNNNNNNNNNNNNNNNNNNNNNNNNNNNNNNNNNNNNNNNNNNNNNNNNNNNNNNNNNNNNNNNNNNNNNNNNNNNNNNNNNNNNNNNNNNNNNNNNNNNNNNNNNNNNNNNNNNNNNNNNNNNNNNNNNNNNNNNNNNNNNNNNNNNNNNNNNNNNNNNNNNNNNNNNNNNNNNNNNNNNNNNNNNNNNNNNNNNNNNNNNNNNNNNNNNNNNNNNNNNNNNNNNNNNNNNNNNNNNNNNNNNNNNNNNNNNNNNNNNNNNNNNNNNNNNNNNNNNNNNNNNNNNNNGAUCGCCGGUCCCCCCCCCCCCCGCUGCCCUCCGCCGCCACUACCACGAAGCCGGCGCGCGUGAGCGGGCGCAGUCGGCAGCAAGGAAGAGUAGUACACCUUAGGUGAUAACCCACAAGUAUGGGGGAUCGCAACAGUUUUUGAGGGUAGAGUAUUCAACCCAAAUUUAUUGAUUCGACAUAAGGGGAGCCAAAGAAUAUUCUCAAGUAUUAGCAGCUGAGUUGUCAAUUCAACCACACCUGGAUAACUUAGUAUCUGCAGCAAAGUGUUUAGUAGCAAAGUAAUAUGGAAGUAAUGGUAAUGGUAGCAAAAGUAAUAUUUUUGGGGUUUGUAGUGAUUGUAACAGUAGAAACGGAAAGGUAAAUAAGCGAAGAACAAUAUGUGAAAAUCUCGUAGGCAUUGGAUUGGUGAUGGAGAAUUAUGCCGGAUGCGGUUCAUCAUGUAACAGUCAUAACAUAGGGUGACACAGAACUAGCUCCAAUUCAUCAAUGUAAUGUAGGCAUGUAUUCCGAAUAUAGUCAUACGUGCUUAUGGAAAAGAACUUGCAUGACAUCUUUUGUCCUACCCUCCCGUGGCAGCGGGGUCCUAGCGGAAACUAAGGGAUAUUAAGGCCUCCUUUUAAUAGAGUACCGGACCAAAGCAUUAACACAUAGUGAAUACAUGAACUCCUCAAACUAUGGCCAUCACCGGGAGUGGUCCCGAUUAUUGUCACUUCGGGUUUGCCGGAUCAUAACACAUAGUAGGUGACUAUAGACUUGAAAGAUAGGAUCAAGAACUCACAUAUAUUCAUGAAAACAUAAUAGGUUCAGAUCUGAAAUCAUGGCACUCGGGCCCUAGUGACAAGCAUUAAGCAUAGCAAAGUCAUAGCAACAUCAAUCUCAGAACAUAGUGGAUACUAGGGAUCAAACCCUAACAAAUCUAACUCGAUUAUAUGAUAAAUCUCAUCCAACGCAUCACCGUCCAGCAAGCCUACGAUGGAAUUACUCACGCACGGCGGUGAGCAUCAUGAAAUUGGUGAAGGAGGAUGGUUGAUGAUGACGAUGGCGACGGAUUCCCCUCGCCGGAGCCCCGAAUGGACUCGAAAUCAGCCCUCCCGAGAGAGUUUAGGGCUUGGCGGCAGCUCCGUAUCGUAAAACGCGAUGAAUCUUUCUCUCUGAUUUUUUCUCCCCGAACACGAAUAUAUGGAGUUGGAGUUGAGGUCGGUGGAGCUCCAGGGGGCCCACGAGGCAGGGGGCGCCCCCCCUACCCUCGUGGCAAGGGUGUGGGCCCCCUGGCCUUGAUUCUUUCACCAUUAUUUUUUAUUAUUUCCAAAAAUAAUCUCCGUGGAGCUUCAGGUCAUUCCGAGAACUUUUGUUUCUGCACAUAAAUAACACCAUGGAAAUUCUGCUGAAAACAACGUCAGUCUGGGUUAGUUCCAUUCAAAUCAUACAAGUUAGAGUCCAAAACAAGGGCAAAAGUGUUUGGAAAAGUAGACACGACGGAGACGUAUCAACUCCCCCGAGCUUAAACCUUUGCUUGUCCUCUAGCAAUUCAGUUGAUAAACUGAAAGUGAUAAAGAAAAACUUUUACAAACUCUGUUUGCUCUUGUUGUUGUAAAUAUGUAAAGCCAGCAUUCAAGUUUUCAGCAAAGAUUAUGAACUAACCAUAUUCACAAUAGCACUUAGGUCUCAUGUUUGCUCAUGUCAAUGGCAUAAUCAAUUAGCGAGCAAUAAUAAUAAAUCUCGGAUGACAUCACUUUCUCAAAACAAUCAUAAUAUGAUAUAACAAGAUGGUAUCUCGCUAGCCCUUUCUGAGACCGCAAAACAUAAAUGCAGAGCACCUUUAAAGAUCAAGGACUGACUAAACAUUGUAAUUCAUGGUAAAAGAGAUCCAGUCAUAGUCAUACCCAAUAUAAAUUAAUAGUAAUGGAUGCAAAUGACAGCGGUGCUCUUCAACUGGUGCUUUUUAAUAAGAUGGUGAUGACUCAACAUGAAAGUAAAUAGAUAGGCCCUUCGCAGAGGGAAGCAGGGAUUGUAGAGGUGCCAGAGCUCAGUUUUAAAGCAGAGAUAAAUAAUAUUUUGAGCGGCAUACUUUCAUUGUCAACAUAACAACCAAGAGAUGGCGAUAUCUUCCAUGCUACACACAUUAUAGGCGGUUCCCAAACAGAAUGGUAAAGUUUAUACUCCCCCUCUACCAACAAGCAACAAUCCAUGGCUUGCUCGAAACAACGAGUGCCUCCAGCUAACAACAGUCCCGGGGGAGUUUUGUUUGCAAAUAUUUUGAUUUGAUUUGCAUAAAGCAUGGGACUGGGCAUCCCGGUGACCAGCCAUUUUCUCGUGAGUGAGGAGCGGAGUCCACUCCUCUUGAGAAUAACCCGCCUAGAAUGGAAGAUACGGACAGCCCUAGUUGAUACAUGAGCUAUUCGAGCAUACAAAACAGAAUUUCAUUUGAAGGUUUAGAGUUUGGCACAUACAAAUUUACUUGGAACGACAGGUAGAUACCGCAUAUUGGAAGGUAUAGUAGAAUAAUAUGGAAUAACUUUGGGGUUUAGGAAUUGGAUGCACAAGCAGUAUUCCCGCUUAGUACAAGUGAAGGCUAGAGAAAGACUGGGAAGCGACCAACUAGAGAACGACAACAGUCAUGAACAUGCAUUAAAAUUAAUAAACAUUGAGUGCAAGCAUGAGUAGGAUAUAAUCCACAAUGAACAUAAAUGUCAUGAAGGCUAUGUUGAUUCUGUUUCAACUACAUGCGUGAACAUGUGCCAAGUCAAGUCACUUAAAUCAUUCAAAGGAGGAUACCACCCCAUCAUACCACAUCACAACCAUUUUAAUAGCAAUGUUGGCACGCAAGGUAAACCAUUAUAAGCUCCUAGCUAAUUAAGCAUGGCAUAAGCAACUAUAAUCUCUAAUUGUCAUUGCAAACAUGUUUAUUCAUAAUAGGCUGAAUCAGGAACGAUGAACUAAUCAUAUUUACCAAAACAAGAGAGGUCGAGUUCAUACCAGCUUCUCCCAUCUCAAUCAGUCCAUCAUAUAUCGUCAUAAUUGCCUUUCACUUGCACGACCGAACGAUGUGAAUAACAAUAGUGCACGUGCAUUGGACUAAGCUGGAAUCUGCGAGCAUUCAAUAAACAGGAGAAGACAAGGCAAUAUGGACUCUUGGUUAAAUCAACAAUAAUGCAUAUAAGAGCCAUUUUAACAAUUUAAUCGUGGUCUUCUCCUAUCGACCCCAAAGAAAAGAAAAGAAAUAAAACUAUUUACAUGGGAAAGCUCCCAACAAGCAAAAGAAGAACAUGAAAUCUUUUUGGGUUUUCUUUUUAAUUACUACUACAGCAAGAAAGGUAAACUAACUAAGCGUUACAACUAAAUUUUUUUGGUUUUCUUAAGGUGUUUCAAACACAGAAGAAGAAAGCAUAAAAAGUAAAAUAAACUAGCAUGGAUAUUAUAAUGAAAAAGUAUGAGCACCGACAACUAGCAUGAGUGUGUGAACAUGAAUGUAAUGUCGGUGCGAAAUACGUACUCCCCCAAGCUUAGGAUUUUGGCCUAAGUUGGUCUAUUGCCACGGAUGGCCUGGCGGAUAUCCAAAGUUGUAGUUGGGGUCGUACUGAGAUGUAGCAGUUAUUGCAUCAUGGGCUGCAGCUUGGAGGCGAGCUAUCUCAGCCCUCCUCUUAUACUCUUCCGCCUCCUCUCUGGUUAUAAAAUAUAUCCCUUUUUCCUGAAAGUCAAAGAAAGUAGAAGGAGGGAGUGCGACGUGAUAGGUGCGUCGUUUGUCAAAGAUUAGUCGGUACUGGAGGAACUGAUCGUUCUUCUCAACAAAAAGAUGAUGAACCAUAGCCUGAUAAUCUAAAUAAAUAGAAGGCAACUCAAUAUCAUCCUCACGUAUGGUCACACCAAGAAAAUUAGCUAAACGGGUUGCAUAAAUUCCACCAAAGAAAUCUCCAUUAAAUCUAUUAUGAUGCAACCUACGUGCAACAAUGGCUCCCAAAUUAUAAUGUUUAUCUCCUAACACAGCACUCCUGAGAACACUGAGGUCAGGGACACACAUGUGACAUGCUUCAUCCUUACCAUUUAUGCACCUACCUAUGAAGAGAGAAAAAUAAUGUAGAGCAGCAAAAUGAAUGCUCCCUAUGGUAGCUUGUGCUAUGUCUCUAGAUUCCCCCGCAGUUAUACUAGCAAGAAAAUCUCUAAAUUCAGAUUUGCGAGGUUCACUAGUACUAACCCAUUGUGGAAGUUUGCAAGCAGUGGUAGAAUCCUCAAAGUCCAUAGUAUAAGAAUUUUCAUGAAGAUCAAACAGGACAGUUUGAGAAUUGUGUGAAGAUGAAUAUUCAAACCUCCUCACAAAGGAACUAGUGAGAUAGUGGUACUGACGACACUUAUCUGCCUCAAAGCUCUCAAGAUCAGCAUUACGCACAUAUGCGUUAAAUUCUUCCUUGAUUCCUGCUUGAUCCAUGAAGUCCUCUGAAGGCCAUUCACAAGCCCGUACUGGAGCGUCUCUUGGUGGUUCAUCAUCAGCAUCGCGCAUUGCAAGCCUGGGUCCUUGCUUCCUUGAAGAACCACCUUGGUACAUUUUCCUAAACACAUUUCUUCCUCAGGGAACAAUCCCCCAAAGCAGUUUUGUGAGAGGUGCUUUGAGCAAGGAGAUCGAAAAUCGCAGCAAAAUGAGCUAGAACACAUGCUUGAGCUGGAUGGUGAUUUUUUUGGGAGGAGGAAGAAAUGUGUGGUGCAGGAAUAAGUGGAGGGGAGCCACCGUGGGCCCACGAGGCAGGGGGCGCGCCCAGGGGGGUGGGCGCGCCCUGGACCCUCGUGCCCAGGUGCUUGCUCCCCCUGAUGUGUUCUCAGUGCCAGAUAUUCUCAAAUAUUCCAAAAAAAUCAUAUUAAAUUGGCAGGGCAUUUGGAGAACUUUUAUUUUCGGGGUAUUUUUAUAUUGCACGGAUAAUUUUAGAAAACAGACAGAAAAUACUAAUUUUACUUUAUUUCAACUAAAUAACAGAAAGUAAAAGGAGGGUACAGAAGGUUGUGCUUUCUAACUUCAUCCAUCUCAUGCUCAUCAAAAGGAAUCCACUAACAAGGUUGAUCAAGUCUUGUUAACAAACUCAUUCCGACUAACAUGGAACCGGAGAAAUUUCGAAUAACACUAUGUUACCUCAACGGGGAUAUGCACAUCCCCAAUAAUACGAAUAUCAUAUUUCUUCUUGACAGUAGGAAGAGGAAAUUCAAUACCUCCAAAAAUAAUCGAUGGAAUUUUUCCAAUAGAAUUGAUACUGUGGACUUGAGGUUGUUUCCUCGGAAAGCGUAUCGUAUGCUCAUUACCAUUAACAUGAAAAGUGACAUUGCGUUUGUUGCAAUCAAUAACAGCCCCUGCAGUAUUCAAAAAGGGUCUUCCAAGAAUAAUAGACAUAUUAUCGUCCUUGGGAAUAUCAAGAAUAACAAAGUCCGUUAAAAUAGUAACAUUUGCAACCACAACAGGCACAUCCUCACAAAUACCGAUAGGUAUAGCAGUGGAUUUAUCAGCCAUUUGCAAAGAUAUUUCAGUAGGUGUCAACUUAUUCAAAUCAAGUCUACGGUAUAAAGAGAGAGGCAUAACACUAACACCGGCUCCAAGAUCACAUAAAGCAGUUCUAACAUAAUUUCCUUUAAUGGAGCAUGGUAUAGUAGGUACUCCUAGAUCUCCAAGUUUCUUUGGUAUUCCAUCCUUAAAAGUAUAAUUAGCAAGCAUGGUGGAAAUUUCAGCUUCCGGAAUCUUUCUUUUAUUAGUAACAAUUUCUUUCAUGUACUUAGCAUAAGGAUUCAUUUUGAGCAUAUCAGUUAAUCGCAUACGCAAAAAGAUAGGUCUAAUCAUUUCAGCAAAGCGCUCAAACUCCUCAUCAUCCUUUUUCUUGGAUGGUUUGGGAGGAAAAGGCAAGGGUUCCUGAACCCAUGGUUCCCUUUCUUUACCGUGCUUCCUAGGAACAAAGUAUCUCUUAUCAUAAUGUUGAUUCCUUGAUUGUGGGUUAUCAAGAUCAACAGCAGGUUCAAUUUCUACGUCAUUAUCAUUGCUAGGUUGAGCAUCAACAUGAACAUCAUGAUUAAUAUUAUCACUAGGUUCAUGUUCAUUACCAGAUUGUGUUUCAGCAUCAGAAAUAGAAAUAUCUUUGGGAUUCUCAGGUGGUUCAGCAAUAGGUUCACUAGAAGCAUGCAACGUCCUAUCAUUUUUCUUUUUGUUCUUUUUAGAAGGACUAGGUGCAUCAAUAUUAUUUCUCUGAGAGUCCUGCUCAAUUCUCUUCGGAUGGCCUUACAAAGGUUCCUGAGUCAUUUUACCAGUUCUAGUAGCACUCUAACAACAAAAUCAUUAUUCUUACUAUUCAAUUCAUUGAGCAAAUCAUUUUGAGCUUUAAGUACUUGUUCUACUUGAGUGGUAACCAUAGAAGCAUGUUUACUAAUGAGUUUAAGUUCACCUUUAACUCUAGACAUAUAAUCACCCAAGUGUUCAAUCAUAUAAGCAUUGUGUUUCAAUUGUCUAACAACAUAAGCAUUGAAAUUUUCUUGUUUGACCAUAAAAUUAUCAAACUCAUCCAAACAUUGGCUAGCAAACUUAGUAGGAGGGAUUUCAGCUUUAUCAUAUCUAUAGAGAUAAUUUACCUUUACUACCUGUGUCGGGUUAUCAAGACCAUGAGUUUCUUCAAUAGGUGAUGAAUUAAGAUCAUAUAUUUCUUCAAAAGGCGGUAAAUUAAGACCAUGUAUUUCUUCAAUAGGAGGUAAAUUCUUAACAUCUUCAGCUUUAAUACCCUUUUCCUUCAUAGAUUUCUUUGCCUCUUGCAUAUCUUCGGGACUAAGAAAUAGAACACCCCUUUUCUUCAGAGUUGGUUUAGUAAUAGGCUCAGGAGUUGGCUCAGGAAGUGUCCAAUUAUUUUCAUUAGUCAACAUAUUAUUCAAUAGAAUUUUAGCUUCAUCCGGUGUUCUUUCCCUGAAAACAGAACCAACACAACUAUCCAGGUGGUCUCUGGAAGCAUCGGUUAGUCCGUUAUAAAAGAUAUCAAGUAUUUUAUUUUCCUUAAGAGGAUGAUCAGGCAAAGCAUUAAGUAAUUGGAGAAGCCUCCCCCAAGCUUGUGGGAGACUCUCUUCUUCAAUUUGCACAAAAUUAUAUAUUUCCCUUAAACCAGCUUGUUUUUUAUGAGCGGGGAAAUAUUUAGCAGAGAAGUAAUAAAUCAUAUCCUGGGGACUACGCACACAACCAGGAUCAAGAGAAUUAAACCAUAUCUUAGCAUCACCCUUUAAUGAGAACGGAAAUAUUUUAAGGAUAUAAAAGUAGGGAGUGCUUUCAUCAUUAGUGAAUAUGGUGGCUAUAUCAUUUAAUUUAGUAAGGUGUGCCACAACAGUUUCAGAUUCAUAACCAUAAAAAGAUCAGAUUCAACCAAAGUAAUUAAUCAGGAUCAACAGAGAAUUCAUAAUCCUUAUCAGUAACGAAGAUAGGUGAAGUAGCAUAAGCAGGAUCGUAUUUCAUUCUAGCAUUCAGAGUUUUGUUUCAGCUUAGCUAAUAAUUUCUUAAGAUCACUUCUAUCAUUGCAAGCAAGAAAGUCUCUAGCAGUUUCUUCAUCCAUAACAUAGCCCUCAGGCACAACAGGCAAUUCAUAUUUAUUAGGAGAGUCUUCAUCAUCACUUUCUUCAAUAUUAUCAGUUUCAAUAAUUUCAUUCUCUCUAGCCCUAGCAAGUUGUUCAUCAAGAAAUUCACCAAGUGGCACAGUAGUAUCAAGCAUAGAAGUAGUUUCAUCAUAAGUAUCAUGCAUAGCAGAAGUGGCAUCAUCAAUAACAUGCGACAUAUCAGAAUUAAUAGCAGAAGCAGGUUUACGUGUCGCAAGCUUACUCAAAACAGAAGGUGAAUCAAGUGCAGAGCUAGAUGGCAGUUCCAUACCUUCCCUCGUAGUUGAGGGAUAAAUUUUUGUUUUCUCGUCUUUCAAGUUCCUCAUAGUGACCAGCAGAUAUAAAUCCCAAGUGACUCAAAGAAUAGAGCUACGCUCCUCGGCAACGGCGCCAGAAAAUAGUCUUGAUAACCCACAAGUAUAGGGGAUCGCAAUAGUUUUCGAGGGUAGAGUAUUCAACCCAAAUUUAUUGAUUCGACACAAGGGGAGCCAAAGAAUAUUCUCAAGUAUUAGCAGCUGAGUUGUCAAUUCAACCACACCUGGAUAACUUAGUAUCUGCAGCAAAGUGUUUAGUAGCAAAGUAAUAUGGAAGUAACGGUAACGGUAGCAAAAGUAAUAUUUUUGGGUUUUGUAGUGAUUGUAACAGUAGCAACGGAAAGGUAAAUAAGCGAAGAACAAUAUGUGAAAAGCUCGUAGGCAUUGGAUCGGUGAUGGUGAAUUAUGCCGGAUGCGGUUCAUCAUGUAACAGUCAUAACAUAGGGUGACACAGAACUAGCUCCAAUUCAUCAAUGUAAUGUAGGCAUGUAUUCCGAAUAUAGUCAUACGUGCUUAUGGAAAAGAACUUGCAUGACAUAUUUUGUCCUACCCUCCCGUGGCAGUGGGGUCCUAGCGGAAACUAAGGGAUAUUAAGGCCUCCUUUUAACAGAGUACCGGACCAAAGCAUUAACACAUAGUGAAUACAUGAACUCCUCAAACUAUGGUCAUCACCGGCAGUGGUCCCGAUUAUUGUCACUUCGGGGUUGCCGGAUCAUAACACAUAGUAGGUGACUAUAGACUUGCAAGAUAGGAUCAAGAACUCACAUAUAUUCAUGAAAACAUAAUAGGUUCAGAUCUGAAAUCAUGGCACUUGGGCCCUAGUGACAAGCAUUAAGCAUAGCAAAGUCAUAGCAACAUCAAUCUCAGAACAUAGUGGAUACUAGGGAUCAAACCCUAACAAAUCUAACUCGAUUACAUGAUAAAUCUCAUCCAACCCAUCACCGUCCAACAAGCCUACGAUGGAAUUACUCACGCACGGCGGUGAGCAUCAUGAAAUUGGUGAUGGAGGAUGGUUGAUGAUGACGAUGGCGACGGAUUCCCUCUCCGGAGCCCCGAACGGACUCCAGAUCAGCCCUCCCAAGAGAGUUUAGGGCUUGGCGGCAGCUCCGUAUCGUAAAACGCGAUGAAUCUUUCUCUCUGAUUUUUUUCUCCCCGAACACGAAUAUAUGGAGUUGGAGUUGCGGUCGAUGCAGCUCCAGGGGGCCCGCCCAGGGGGGCAGGCGCGCCCCCACCCUCGUGGCAAGGGUGUGGGCCCCUGGCCUUGAUUCUUUUGCCAGUAUUUUUUAUUAUUUCCAAAAAUAAUCUCCGUGGAGUUUCAGGUCAUUCCGAGAACUUUUGUUUCUGCACAUAAAUAACACCAUGCCAAUUCUGCUAAAAACAGCAUCAGUCCGGGUUAGUUCCAUUCAAAUCAUACAAGUUAGAGUCCAAAACAAGGGCAAAAGUGUUUGGAAAAGUAGAUACGAUGGAGACGUAUCAGUAGGUCGUCGCCGCUCUGGUCCCAGGAAGGCCACUGCUCCUCCACUCAGUCGACGCCAAGCUUGGUGGGAUAAAUAUCGGCGGCCGAUUAGCCGCUUGACAGCGACGUGGAGGCAGAAAUCUUCAGAACCUUGUGCCCCGGAGGAGGAGGUUAUCGAGGCGGAUGAGGAGAAGGCAAAGGCAAUGGCCGGCUUUCUCGGGUUCAUGGACGGACAUGGUGGUCGGGUGCCGGCGAUCGUUUAGAUUAGGUUUACAGUAGGUUUUAGUACGGUUUUGUGCGAAAUAUGUAAUGAAUUUCAUCCAGUUUGUAGGAAAAGUUUUCAAAAUGUAAUGAAUUUUAUCCGGUUAAUUUGAAAUUUGCUUUGUUUGCACGAAUUUCGUCCGGUUAGUUCAUAUAGUUGUCGAAAGGUAUGCGGGCAGCAUUGGAUGGCAUCCAUCAGUGUCCUCGGAUAGAUGCCGGUGUAAAUUUGUGGGCCAGCGCUGGAGAUUAACAGUGCUCCAUUAUUUGGCAGGGAAAAGUUAUCCCUCGAUCAAAAUCAGAUCCGCCGUGUUUCGCACUCCUCCCACGUAAGAGUGUAAACUCUUGCUUACAUAAAAAUGGAGCAAGUGGACGGCACUGUAGCACGUCAUAUCACUCAAACUAGCCCGCCUAACGCGCGGGAAAGCACCGCGCUCGUCAUUUUGUUCUGGAUUUCUAUCGAUUGAUCGCACGAAAAUGUUUCGCUUUGCAAGUUCAAAAGAAAAGGUGGCACACUUACGACUCGUACGCGUCGCACCCACGACAGUCCGUCUCGCACGCCGCUCACCAGAAGGGACAUGCGUUGUAUUGCAAUUUCACUGACAUGUGGGACUGCAAUUGAAUAAACCGUCGAUAGCCGAAAUCUAAUCGUUCGCCGGGCGUCGGCUAAGAAGAGAUCGGUUGGGGAGGGAGAAGAGAUCGCCCGCCCGCCGCGCACGGACUCCAAGAAAUAUAUGGUGAUAAUGUGAGGUGGGCCAUGCGGGAGUCCGGACCGCUUCCAAGCCCUCCCCCCUCAGACGCCAGCUGCCCGCAUUCAUAGCAAGUAGUACCAGUAAAAUACUGGCCUAUAAGCCUGCCUAUGUGGAGGAGAGAGAGGCAUUGACAAAGUGAAGGAGUGGGCUCUGCAAGAGCCCGUCUCUACACGUGCUCCUAGGUAUAAAAAAACUAAUUCUAAAAAAAGAGGCAUAAAAAAACAAUUGUGUCUAAAAAGAAGAAAGGUAAAAAACAUUUGAGAGGAAAUAGAUAGAGAGAAUGUGAGAAAAAGUUGUAACCUUUAUAGCCAAUCUUAUAGUCAACACUAUGGUAGUAGUAUUACAUGAGGAAGGAGGGAGUGGUGCACAUGCCCAGUUCACUGGGCUGCCGUGUUUCACACUCCUCCGUCGUAACAGUGCAGACAAUAGCUUUCAUAAAAAUAAACAAUGAAUACUCGUUGCUCGUCCUCUAUAUCGGAAAAGAAUACUUUCCAUUCGCCGACAUGUGGGACGUCGACCAUCUUGGUCCACCUGCCAUGCACAAAAUUAUCCUGGUCCACCCCGGUCGUAGCGCAGGCCCAACCUUUCCCGCUGUAAGUUGGUCAGAUGAAGGAACCAUCAUGACUUCGUUGAAUUCCGCUUCUUCAAGAAGACUUACUAUACCCGCAAUACUGCUACCACACGCGAAGACUGGACGACACUGUACCACGUCAUAUCACUUAAACCCACUAGGCCAAACUAGCCCGCCUAGGAUUUGUACUCCCUCCGUUUCAAAGUUAGUAGUACAAAGUUGAUUCAUCUAUUUUGGAACGGAGGGAGUACGUCUCUGUACUGCUGUGAUUUUGUGUUGUGCGUCUCUGUACUUUUGCUACGAUUUUCCUACCCUAUGAACCAAAUGACGCCUGAAUGUAUCCGUGUCGACUAUUAUCUGAUCGAUCGCUAAGCCUACAAUUUUAGGAGCUUGGGCUAUUGGCCGAUCGACGACGGAUAAGUAUAAGCAUACCACGAGCUCAUCAGCCCCAAUGUUUCUCUUCGGUGAGUGUUUUGCAAGUACUAUAGCUGGCACAGUAGCUAGCCUACUAACAGCAAGAAUCAUCAAACAAGCCCUGCUGAUAUGCACUACAAGAAAUAUGUCAACUUGUGACCCUCACUAUUGGCCGCUAAAAGGUCAUAUUUUUUCAUUUGUGACCUUUUUGUGACCAAAAACAGAAGGUCAAAAGCUGGCGGUCGUAAACUGAAAUUAUCGACCUUCUCUUUGAGAAGGUCAUGGAAUUCCACGACCAAAACAAAAGGUCAUUGAUUCUAUGACCUUCUGUUUUGGUUGCUAGCUCUCUGCCCAGGCCACGUCGGAUCCGACGUGGCAAUCUGACGUGGCAAAAUUGCGACCAAUUGAAAAGGUCGUUGAUAAGAUUCAGCCCGGUCCAAUUCGACGCUUUACAUGGGCCGAGCCCACUAAUACAGCCUUUUACUGUAUAUUUGUUCUGUUAAUUUUCUCUAGCUACAUGGGCCUAGCCCAACAAUUUGGCCUUUUUAUUUUCUGGGCCAUGGCCUUUUGUACAAACAGCUUAAGUUUUCUUUUUUAUAAAAUGGGUCCACUAGUCAAACAGGUCCCACUUGUCAGGUUAUGAUAAGUGGGUCCCAACUGUUAGGCUGAGAUUCUUCAUAUUUCAAUUUGACAGUAAAACAAUAACCAAUAUUUAAAUUGGCAAGCAGAAAACACACAAAAUACUUCAAAUAACAAUAGCCAGAUUCAGUACAAGCUCUACAAAUAACACAUAAUACAAGUUGUAACAUAUACCCAGAUUCAGAACAAGCUCUACCAAUAACACAUAAUACAGUACUUCACAAGCUCUACAAGUGUAAUAACUAGAUACAAGCUCUACAAGUAUUCUCUUGAAAUGUUCUCUUCUUCAGCAUGGAGCUCCUUCACCAACGAUCAAAUGUCGGACUCGCGGAUAGCCAGUCAGGACUGGGCUAAUGGAACGACAACAUGCCUUCCACGGUCGCCCUGUUACAUGAAUCGGCUGAGAAGAAGCAGAAAAACUGGAGCCAAUAUAAUAUGAACAUUCCAUUCAAAAAAAGUAGUAAAGGAGUACAGGACAAUUCUUUAUAUAAUGAUAAACAGACUUCAGCUAGUACCGAGCUUUUUUAGCCGAGCUAGUUAAAAUGAGAUAUUCAUACAAGACAAUAGAGACAAUAUGACUGCAUGGCACAAGUGCAGGUCCUAGUUACUGGCUACACAUGUAACACCAAUAAAAUGGAUAGAACAAUAAUGGGAACAACUCCAUAUUACACACAAAGCUCUAUCCAUAGUGCCAGCUAUGCACACUCCCAACAGAACUUAGUCACACGGUAUAAUUCUGACUAUACUAUAACCAGAGAACUAAAGAUUGUCACACAUUAUAAUUCUGACUAUAAUAUAACCAGAGAACUAAAGAUUCUACGUACUUAGAACUCAACUAAUAAGUGGGAAUGAUCUGAUUGUAUGCAAAUAAUAUUUUUUUAUUUGUUUAUAUUACUAAAGCAGACAUAUCUUCCUUUAUGUGAAGAAUUCUGCUUUCUUCUUUAGUUAGUAUAGUAAUCGUUCCAUGCAAAUCAACCGUGUAUGUAUGCUUGAUCAUGGUUUGUAGGUUACACGCAUAGAGGAACAGAAUCCUAAACAAAAUAGUAUCAAACAACGGUGGGUGCUCAACCUAUUUGCCACACACAAGCAACACUUAAACCAUAGCAUGUGCAUAUACUUGUGUCACAUCAGGGGGUUUAGAAUGUACUCAAUAUAUUCUAAUAAAAAGGAUUGGGAGUAGAGGGAGAGGGAGGUGGAGAUGGACGUGCAACCUGUUGCGGCGGUGGUGCCUCUUGGUGGUCGUGCUUGAGCUCCUCCUAAAGAUGCUCACUAACCUGCAGGAAAAACUAGACCAUGGGUGAGCUGCAGCACAGGCACAUAGAUUAAGUGAAGAUAAGGAGAAGAACCUGGAAAAAGAGAGGUGCUCUGUCCUCCUCCGUCCGUGCCUGUCCUCCUCCUCUGGAAAAAGAGAGGUGCUCUGUCCUCCUCCGUCCGUGCCUGUCCUCCUCCUCCAUGCCGAUGUCAAACAGCCUCCGUUCGUCCCUAGCGAGCACCAUGCGCCUUGGUUGGCCAUGACGCCCUUGUCCUCUGCUGCACGGAUGAAAACCAAAGCAUCAGUAUAGCUACACUGGCACAUACUACAGACAUGGUAUCACAGACAUUCUCUAAUUGACUAGCACCCAAAUAUAUACAUGCACCAGUUAUUAUACGCUUAAGCCUCCUUGGUUUAGUGAUCAUUUACCCAUACAAUUUUUCACCAAGGAUUGCACCAGUACGUCGUGAUUCGUUGAGAUCUACUAAACUACAUCAUCACAGGAACGACGAGCAGUUUUAGAUCUUACAAACUAAUGUUCCACGCAUAUCUUAGUGCUCCAUCAAAGAAUCAACUAAAUUUUGUCUCAAGCAUACAAAUAAAGUUUAGGGAAAACCAAACAUGAACAAGCACUUAUUGUGCAGGACACAUAGCUAUUUCAUAAUCACUCAGUGUGGAUAUGUCUGCUAAAUGUAUUUUGCACAAAAAGGUGAGGCUCCCAACAGCCCAAUAUUAUGACUACUACAGUUCGGAUUUUGAUAAUAAAACCAACAUGUGUAAUCAUAUAGCUAAGAAGAUACAUGGCACAAUAUGAGUACAUCUCCAAACAGCUAAUAAAUCCCAUAGUACCACAAGGACAUGCACUGCCGUAUAUCUUGCAAUGCAGGUUUUUGACUUAACAGUAACAUCCCUUGCAUAGUAGUAACUAGGGAAUUAAUAAAUUUGAAUAGAGAUUCUGAAACUAAGAAUUUCAGAUUGAAAUAAUUUUCCAGAAUAAGAUUGCAAAGCUGAAAAAGCAAGGACAUCAGAGAAUAUUUGAUUGCAACAUUCCACAGGGUUGGAAAGCAGCUCGACAUGUUUCUCAGACAAGAAAAACAUUACAAGUAAUUAAUCGCUGCUCUAAAACAAGCACACAUGCUACUGAUGCAUGACAAUAUUUGUGUCAGAGUUUCUGCAAGAAGUUACUCCUAAUGCUACUGAUGCAAAACUACUCCUAAUGGAUUGCUACAGCUAUACUGCAAGAAGUUACAGCUAUACUCCAUGUACUGCUGUCCAGGAGUAUUCCAAUUCAUCUUUUAAAAAAUGUUCAAGCACCGACUGAAAAAGGAAUGCAAAAAGAGAUGCAGUACCCAGCUGUACUCCAGUGGAGAGCAUCCGCCCAAAAGAAAACAAAGAUAAUGGCUGAAAAAAUUACUCUAGUUUAUACUCCUCUUUUAGCAGUACACAUUAUAGCUAAUGCAACAUCAUGGGAGCUGAUGUCGAGGAGUAUUUGCAAAUGAUACAACAUCAUGGAGUAGGAUAACAUGUUUUAGCUGUACAGGUUAUAGAGUAAGAAAGCAAGCAAUCAUGGGAGCUCAUGCUGCCAGUUAAUAUCAGCACAUGACAAGACAAAAACCAUGGCAUCAACACAAGCAUCAACAGCAUACUAACACCUAAACUGAUACUAAAUUGAUGGAGUCCCAUCCAUCCAUGAGAGAAGAAAGUGCCUUUGGUUGAUAAAGAGAAGAGAACACUUCCUCUUGCUGGGAUCAAACCAGAGGAUACCAACCCAUCCACCAAUUUGCAGGUUGUGUGGCUCGAGGUCAUGGUGCCGGACACCACGUCCGUGGCAAAAAGCAACGCCCUUGCAAAGCUGGUACACCAUGAUCAACGUCCGCGUCCGUGAGGUGCGCCUUGGCGCUCCCGGCCUCCACGUACUUGCCAAAAGACCCAUUCAGAAUUCAGAUCACACCUACACACGACGAACCAUUCAAAUUCGAACCAACUCAAAGCAGAGCAGGACACAUUGGGUACACUACAAUAUAGUUGAGAUGCAAAUACCAAGUCCUAGUUCACUUCUACUCAAAGAGAAAGACAAUGAUACAUAUUUUAAGCUUAGCCUCCCUGUUAUAUUAGUCUUAAAAACAGAUUGUAAGCUUGGCUGGCAUGGUACAUAGAGUCAACACCGCUGACUUCCCUUUUUAUUUGAUGAGACCUGGACCAGCAAGGAGCAAGUGAUACAAACAGAACGUGCACAUUUCUCCGACGAGAAGAGAUACAAAAUUGCUAAACGGCACUACAAUUAGUAGCAUGCACGCUAUUUCCUCUAAAACAUAGCAACAGUCCUUCUCCACAACACAUAUUAGACAUCCGGAGUGUACAGAGUAAAACAAACUAGCAUCUAUUCCCGAAAUCGAAGACAGCAGUAGAGAUGGAUGCACACCCAGAGAUCUGUAGCGCCCGCCCCAGUGAUGGCAAACGGCAGUAGGAUUUAACCAACCGUCGGAUGGAGAAGAGGCUCGUACCUUGCAGCCCAAUGGUCGGCGACUGCAGGGGGCGGAGCGGAGUCGCAGCAGCAGGGAAGGUGAUGUCCCGGCGAGGGGAAGCGGGCGGGGUAGAGGCGACGCCAAGGUAUGGGGCGGCGAUGCCAACCAGAGCGACUCACCAUGUCCUCGCGCUUGCUCUUGAGGGCGUAGGUGACGCAGGGCAACCGGAUGGCCACCAGCGCAUCCCGCCGCCGCCUCCCCCCUCGCCGACUUCCGCAUCCUCGCCCUCGUCAUCCUCCGCGGGCAGAAGGUGGGGGGGCCGUCAGAUCUUGCCGGAAGAGAUGGAGGAGGCCAGUGAAGCAGGGGCGGCCAGGAUCGACUGCUAUGGUGGGGAACAGCGAAGCAGAGCGCACACCAGCCUGAGCUUGUAGCUGCUGGGUUGGAUCUGGAGGCCGGUGGCGGGGCUCGUUGAGAGCAGGUCGCCGCCGGCAGGUGGGAUCGGGAGAGAGGAUUGGAUCGAAUCAUGGGAGCCACCCCCUGCAACGACAACCCGCAGGAACAACACGCGGCCACAACCCAGCCCCUGCAUGGCGGCGAGGUUGGUCGAGGACGAGGGAGACGAGGGGAGAGUGAGGGCGGCGGUGGAGGUGGGUGGCGGCGAGGUUCAGAGGGGUGGGUGGUGGUGACGAGGGGGACGAGGGGGAUCUGCAUCGGGGGAGAGGGGAGAGGAUCUGAGGGGGGAGGGAGAGAAAGAAAGAAAGAAUGGAGGGGGGGGUGGGUGCAAAAUGUCCAUGAGGACAGACCUAGGGUUACGGCUCGGGUGGGUUUGGGCCGUUGUAUCCGGAAGCAUCAGACGGUGGUUGAUGCGUGAUACGCGUGAUAUGCUCAUGGUCCAAUCAGAACGCAGCAAACCAUUUGAUGACCUUAUUACCAUAUAAAUUGGUCGUGAUCGAUUCAAGAUAAAAAAUUUCAUUCCAUUUUUCAGUGCUCAAAAUGAGUAUUUUUGUGAAAGUCCUAUCAAAUAUUUGUUCAAAUGAUAUCAUAUUUUGCACAAGUUUACAUCGUGGAUUUGUAAACAAUAUUGACAAAGGGAGUUUUUAUUUCCUUUGCACGAAAAAUCAACUUUCCAUUUUCGAGUGCCCAAAAUAAGUUUUUUGUGAAGGACCUAUAAUAUAUUUGUUGCAAAAUUGGACCAAAUCAUUUUUCUAAAAUACUAGGCCAUAUUUAAUGCACAAUUUACUAAAUGGUUGGGUGUAAAAAGUUUUGAUCCACCUCUCGUGAAAAAGACAAAUUUUCGCCGAUUCACCUGGAAGCGGGUCAAAUUUGAACUGUAGCUACCUUGUAGUUUGCUCUUUAUUUUUUCCAAAAAUAAUUUCUAGGUACAUAAGUAUCUUUUUAAUCAGAGAAACACAAAAAAAAUUCCAAGAUUCAACAACUAGCUAGGAACGGUUAUUCCCGUCGUUUUGACCGCAUUUUGAAACAGCAUAAAAAAUUCAAAAAAAAUCAAAAAAUUGGGAAACCUUCGCAUUGUGUCAUUAUAUGUGGCCAAGUUCCCAGGAAAAAUAACAAACUUGUAAUACGGCAAUUAUUUUAAAAAAGUAUUCUCAGAAACGACCUAUCACGUGUGGAGAUCAAUGGCUUUCAAGCAAAAUGAUCAAUCUUAUGGCCACAUUCAUGGCAUAGUUUGUUCAAAUGAUCUCAUAUUGUGCACAAGGGUGCAUAUUGUAAUAUCAAACAAUGUGGCCUAAGGAAGUUUUCAUUUUCUUUGGACGAAAAAACCAUUUUCCAUUUUUCGAGUGCCCAAAAGGAGGUUUUUUUGUGAAGGACCUCCCAAAUAAUUGUUGCAAAAUUGGACCAAAUCAUUUUUCUAAAUACUAGGCCAUAUUUAAUGCACAAUUGACCAAAUGGUUGGGUGUAAAAAGUUUUGAUCCACCUCUCGUGAAAAAGAAAAAUUUCCGCCGAUUCAGCUGGAAGCGGGUCAAAUUUGAACUGUAGCUUCCUUGUAGUUUGCUCUUUAUUUUUUCCAAAAAUGAUAUCUAGGUACAAAAGUAUCUAUUUAAUCAUAGAAACACUAAAAAAAUUCCAAGAUUCAACCACUAGCCAGGAACGGUCAUUCCCGCCGUUUUGACUGCAUUUUGAAAGGAGCAUAAAAAAUUCAAAAAAAUCAAAAAAUUGGAAAACCUUUGCAUUGUGUCAUUAUAUGUGGCAAAGUUACCAGGAAAAAUAAUAAACUUGUAAUACGACAAGUCUUUUAAAAAAAUGUUCUCAGAAAUGUGCUAUCAUGCGUGAAGAUUCAAGGCUUUCAACCCAAAUGAUUAAUCUUAUGGCCAUAUUCAUGGCAUAGUUUGUACAAAUGAUCUCAUAUUGUGCACAAGGGUGCAUAUUGGAAUGGCAAACAAUGUUGCCUAAGGGAUUUUUCAUUUUCUUUGGACGAAAAAUCAUUUUCCAUUUUCCGAGUGCCCGAAAUGAGUUUUUUUAUGAAGUACCUACCAAAUAAUUGUUGCAAAAUUGGACCAAAUCAUUUUUAUAAAAUACUAGGCCAUAUUUAAUGCACAAUUGACCAAAUGGUUGGGUGUCAAAGGUUUUGAUCCACCUCUCGUGAAAAAGACAAAUUUCCGCUGAUUCAGAAGGAAUCGGGUCAAAUUUGAACUGCGUCUGCCUCAUAGUUUGCUAUUUACUUUCUCCAAAAAUCAUUUCUAGGUACAAAAGUAUCUAUUUAAUCAGAGAAACACAAAAAAAAUUCCAAGAUUCAACCACUAGCUAGGAACGGUCAAGCCCGCCGUUUUGACCGCAUUUUGAAACAGGCAUAAAAAAUUAAAAAAAAAUCUAAAAAUUGGGAAACCUUCGCAUUGUGUCAUUAUAUGUGACCAAGUUACCAGGAAAAAUAAUAAACUUGUAAUACGGCAAUUAUUUUAAAAAAGUGUUCUCAGAAAUGAGCUAUCAUGCGUGAAGAUUCAUGGCUUUUAAGCCAAAUGAUCAAUCUUAUGGCCACGUUCAUGGCAUAGUUUAUUCAAAUGAUCUCAUAUUGUGCAAAAGGGCGCAUCUUGGAAUUCCAAACAAUAUUUCCUAAGGGAGUUUUCAUUUUCUUUGCACGGAAAAUUCAUUUUCCAUUUUCCGAGUGCCCGAAAUAAGUUUUUUUUGUGAAGGACCUACCAUAUAUUUGUUGCAAAAUUGGACCAAAUAAAUUUUCUAAAAUACUCGGCCAUAUUUAAUGCACAAUUGAAAAAAUGGUUGGGUGUCAAAAGCUUUGAUCCAGCUCUGGUGAAAAAGAUAAAUUUCCGCCAAUUCAGGAGGAAGCAGGUCAAAUUUGAACUGCAGCUACCUUAUAGUUUGCUCUUCAUUUCUAGGUACAUAAGUAUCUAUUUAAGCAUAAAUACAUGGUUUGGUGGUGAUAUGUUGAGGUUUGGACGGUGGCCCAGGGCCCCAACUCCAAAGCGCGUAGACUCGCAUGCCCGCCGCAUGGUCACCGCGUGACCGUGGUGCUGCCAUGCGUUCUGGGAAGCCUAGGCAUGUCUAGUAGGUUUGGCACUUCCCAGGUAGAUGCUUGGAAGAAAAUAACAACAGAAGAAUCUCACGAGGAGACCGAACAAUGCUCAAACAUGAAUUAGCACCCAAGUGUUUGAUUAGUGGUACGGGAAAUGCACAUGGCCAAUGGGCCUGAGUUUUGGCUGAGGAUGAUCAUCUACUAAGGACACUAUCUUGGAAAAUUUGCAGCUCAAAUGAAGGAGCCUAGGUGUCACUUUCUUUGCAACGUACCACACUGGACAUAAAUAUGAAUGUUGAAGCCACACUCACAUGUAUUGUUAGAUGGGGCUCAAAUUUUGUGGAGAGCAAUGAUUUGGGAAUAUAAAAGAUGUGGCAAAAAUUUCAGCUCAUUAGGAUAUGCCUAGCUAGUCUUCUCUUCACAACAGUUCGAGUUGAACAAAAACUUUGGAAAUUUGCCGAGGUAGAUUUACCAGGCAAAUGGAGUUGAAUAUUGUCACGAGGCAAUGAUUUGGAUAGUAAAGAAUGCCCAAUUUUUUUUGGGAAUUUUGGGAAUGAUAGAAAUAUAGGUUGCUUCACAACCUAGGGCAAAAAUUGACACAUGGACAUGACACAUAGGCAAAACUGAUGAGGUGGCGCCUAGUCAUAGAAAUCCACCACAACUUACAAGGUUAUGACCAUCUAUAUUGGUCAUGACCAGCUAGAAAUAAGGCAGCAGAUCAGUCUUGUCUGCUUUGUGACCAUUUCGUGUAAGGAAAUUACGACCUUUCUGACCAAAAUGGUCGAUAUAGUUUAGCGUUUGGAGCCCCCCGAACAACUUUUGACCAAUUGGUCUAAAAUGGUCAUAGAUCUAUGACCAAUUCUUCUAGGGUCACUGCCAGAAGGUCACUAGUUGUCAUAUUUCUUGUAGUGAUGAUAAACAGUUCGAAUUUACAUCUAAGCAUGCGAUAUAUUACAUAAAAAGCUGAUGAUGAUACAUCUGUUUCCAUAACUCCGAGAGGGUUCGCAUGAUUCACUAUCAAACAAAAGUAGCAAGUACCGCCCACACAAGACAGUGCACUAGCCCUAAGAUGGUUUGAUAACACGCAUCGUUCUAGUAAUGAAACACAGGGCAAUGCAAACUACCCUGAAGGAUUAGCACGACCAACUAUUUCUUGUCAUCGAUAUCUCAGGCAAUGACCACAACACAGACAGCGGCAUGGGAAUCGAUCUAUGGGGCGAUGUCCACAGGACUGACCGCGACAUCGGAAUCGAUCUCUGGGGCGCUGUCCACAGGAUGGACGGCGGCAUCGGAAUCAAUCUCCGAGGCGAUGUCAACAGGACGGACCACGACAUCAAAAACGAUCUCUGGGGCGUUGUCCACAGGACGGGGCACGACAUCGGAAUCAUCAAGGACGUCCACUGGCACCUGCACAACCCUAACAUAUUAGCAAGCACAUUGCAAAUAAUCAAAAACCACAACUACGGUAAGCCAUUAUUUUUUACCUUGUGCAGCUCACCAGGGGAUCCCAUCCCUCCGGGGGCCAUCUCCUCGUCCUCGGUGGGGGCCAUCACCUUGCCAGGAGAAUACUGCUUCUCAACGGCGACUAUCUCCUCAAACUCGGCCUUGAGCCUCGCAUAGGUGGCCAUUAGAGUUUCUGGGGUAGGCACGGUGGGGUCCUUGCUGUUCUUCCAACUUUCUUUGAGGAGUUUGUCCGCCAACGUCGUCAACUCUUUGGGAAGUGCUUGUUUCUUGGAGUUCUUCAUCUCCAUGGGUUGGCCCGCCGACAUGGUCAACUCAUUGGUCGGUGCUCGCUUCCUGGAGAUCGCUGUCUCCAGUGGCUUGUCCGCUCGCAACUCUUUGGCUAGUGCUCCAGGAUCCAUCAAUGAACCGAGAAACAAAAAGCAAUCGAAAGGAAACCACAAUCGCAAUGAAAACGGGAAAAGAAUAGGCUGUGAGAAUCGGUCGGUGCUUCUCGAAAAGAAGAUUCUUUGAAUGAAAAUAUAGCAGCAUCACUGAUUCGCCCACCUUUCCUUCGUCGGUACAGAAGAAAAAUGGCAGAAGUGAGUAGCCUGGAGUGAGGUUUUCUUCAAGAAAGGGGAGAAAGGGCUUCAACGAGCGUUCCGGUGAAAUGAUGGUUGCUUCGUCCAGUCCAACUUCGAGGCCACUUCGAGGCCACUUUACCACUGCUGGUAAAGGUGGGUUUUGUGAUAUGACGGGUCAUGACGGCCACACCGGGGUGACCGGUGAGUGUCGACUGUAGCACCUCGCUGUGAUUUGGUGGAUGGCACGCGGGUCCGGAUGCUUUGAUGUCCCGCAUGUAGAUAGAGUGGCUACAUAUAGGAGUGCUCAAUAUUGUGAACCGCGACCAAGGCGGAGAGGAAAACGAGAGAACUACGUAAUUAAUGCAUGAGUUUAAUUAGGGUAGUUUUGUAAAGUACGAGAUACAUUCCUCCAAUCACAAAAUGCCUUGGUUGAUGAGAUUUGAGAUUUGAGCCAGUACUGCACGCGGUGAAAUCUCUAGAAAGGCAAAUACUCAUUUCCGGUUUACAGGGCUAUACUAGCAAGUACUAGUACUACAAUAAUGGGCUCAAAUAGCAAUUUUGUCUCAUGCAAGAGCCUGGCUAUAUGCGUGCUCCAAGGCUCCGCACCACGCCCCACCCCUACACAAAGACUGCCACGCAAGCGUUUGCAACUGCGACGUUCGAGUUGCGCUUGGCUCUUCGCCUCUUCGAGAAGACAAACAAUGAUGUUACUACUACUUCUACAGUAGUAUCGAAUCCACUUCUGCAUGUCCGUCCAUCGCGUGCGGGAGGGAUAGCCACUGCGCGCAUGGGCGAGGGAGAAGGUGUGUAGUAGUAAAAUCAAGCUUCUCCUCAUUGUACGAGUUGACGCGACACGCCAUAGCACUGGCCCCAUAUUAUUGCCUCUAAACUUGGUUGAAAGACCCGCAUUGUAUAAUAGUCCAUUUGCUGCAACCUCUAACAUUUACCCCACCACAAAUUAAAAUAUAUAUUCCUGUCUUGACCAGAUUAGCGUGCAAACUAGAAUCACCAGGAUGACAGGUAGGGCCAGAAGAUUAUUUCAAUAAAAGAAAAAAACAUGGAGCCGACCCCAACGAUUUUAAGCUUACAGGCACGGUACACGCUAUCCUAGACUACUCUACACAUGAAACUACCACACGAGCGUCCGGGCUGCGCUUGGCUCUUCGCCUCUUCGGGAAUUCAAACAAUGAUGGAGUACUAAUGCAGUGGAAGAGUACUACAGUAUGCUUCUGGCCAUCUGACACCGAUUGAACUGCUGCAAGUCCACCGCCUGCGGGAGGGAGAGCAUGUAGCGAACGAAAGCUUCUCCUAGUCCUGCCAGCCACCACGCUCAUGGGCGAGGGAGGGACAUAGCUUCAUUGACUUACUGCUCCUGCCUUUGUGUCUAUGACAGGUGGGCCCAACAGGUGGGUGGCCCUCCUGUCAUGCAGCCAAAGGCAGGUGCAGUUAAGGCAAGAGGGCGUUGUAGUAAUCAAACUUCUCGGUCUUGUACGAGUUGACGUGACACAUCAAAGCACUGCACUCGAUAUAUUUCAAUAAUUUGCGUUUACCGAUGCAUUAGUUACUCCCUCCGUUCCUAAAUAUAAGUCUUUUUAGACAUUUCAAAUGGACUACAACAUACGAAUGUAUGUAGACACAUCUUAGACUGUAGAUUCACUCAUUUUGCUUCGUAUGUAGCCACUUGUGCAAUCUCUAAAAAUACUUACAUUUGGAAACGAAGGGAGUACAACGCAUGCAUGCAUGUCAUGACUUUCCUUUUGAUACUUGCAUGUGUUUAUUUGAUGCACCUUGCCAAAUUUUGACUAUAAAUUUAACUAACCAAAUGUUCAUGCAUGUGUUGAUCAUUGAAAACUAUGUUCAAAUACGAACCAAACGAUAUAAUUUUUGUUGACAUGCACUAACAUUUUCUCAGUUAAACAUUUGGUCAAAAUUUAGCACCAAUUACAAAGGGGCCCAAUAAAUAUUGUACUCCCACAUUUUGUUUUGAGGAUACUCCCACAUACUCCAUCCGUUCCCAAAUAUAUGUCUUUUAGAGAUUCUAACAAGUGAGUACAAACGGAGCAAAAUGAACGAACCCAUACUUUAAAAUAUGUCUACAUACAUCCGUAUGUUGUAGUCCAUUUGAAAUGUCUAAAAAGACUUAUAUUUAGGAACGGAGGGAGCGGAAAAUAUAAAUAAUAAUGGAUGUUGGGGCAGCCCACGUUUUCGAUAAUUUUAGCCGUGGGCUUGUUCACAAUUUUUACGAGGGGGUGGUUGUUCAUUUAAUGGAGGGUCUUGUACCAGACUUGAACGAUACAAAGUGCGACCUGGCACACCGUAAUACCACUUGGAAUAAGCGGGUAACUAUAUCAAAAAACAAUCAACAACUAAAAAAAACAGCGACCUGGCACGUCCACAAUUUUAGACGAUUGUUUUGAUGGAGUGAAAAAGGAAAACUACCCCACUACGUAUAUAUAGGCCGGAGCCUCCGCGCUUGCUUGCUAGGGUUGCUCUAUUCACAUACUCUCAUACUCUCCAGAUCUAAACAAGAUAGCGGUGGUAACACUGUUUUUCUACCUUCAAAAAACACUGUCUUUCUAUCCUCACCACUGGUUACAGAUCCGGACGUAUCCCCCUCCGCCGGUGAUGGGGAGGAGGGGCAGCGUUUAGGCCGUCGUCGACAGCGAGGGAGGAGACCCACUGCCGGCCGCACCGUCAUCUCUCGCCGAGCGCCGGCGCGGGAGGUCCUCCGAUCCCUUCGUCGUUGCCCUAGUGUGGGCGGAUCCGGCCUCCCACCGCCCACCUAUCCACAUCACGACGACCUUCAGGUAUAUCUUCCUUCGAAACCGCCGUAGCUCUACUUCCCCAGCUCGCUACGUCGCUGCAUGUGCAUCAUUUUCUGCCACUCAGCCCCUCUUGAUCGGAUGGUCCAACAUCACCUAUUUUUUCUUCUAUUGUUAGAGGUAAAGCUACUUCAUGGAGUCGAAUCUUGUACUUGGUUCAAACAAGAAAUAAAGUGGGGGUAGGGGAAUUUAGUAUGUGCAUCGAAAAUGGUACAAACAGGAAGGAUAGGGGGUAAAAGUAGUACAGACUGGUCAUCGAACGGGUCUCUUGGUCGAAAAAGGAAAUAUAGGGGAAACACUGUACAUAGUGGUAUGACCAGGACUAGAUUUGCUAUCCACACAUAAGAUGGCCGCAUGCAUCAUUAUGAUGCAGAGGCCAAGGGCACGCCUCCAUUUCCAAAAAAACAUAGGAGUAGGUGUCUAGAGUGAACAAAAAUGGGACCAACCCAGAUAUGUUUCUUGGAUGUUUGUUUCUCAGGGCAACAAACUCUGAAUCACCACUUUAUGCCCCGGUUUAGGUACAUGGUGCUGGACUGCUGGUGCACCCACUGUCCCAUGCUCUUAUACCAACUAUUUAGCUGUUCUUAAUCUAAUGCCCUGGUAAAAUGAAGCCAUGCCACUGUUAUAAGCCAUGACAAGUUUAGCCAAAUGUUUUUGCUUGUAAUUGUUUGAGACUCUGACUGUUUCCUCUGUUGCUAUUUGUGCAAACAGGGAUAUCCAUUUCACCUGGUUGCUGUUGUGACCUUUUGGUGCACUACACAAAACACUUCUUAAAAGAAGUGACUUUUGUGCUGUUUAACUGGAAUGUCAGAAUGGAAUAGUUGGUUCAUUUCGGUUGAACUGCACAAAGGGAGAUCUGUGUUCCAAUCCUCAUCAUCCAUAUUGGCACUAUAACCUUCCUUUAUAGGUAAGAAUGAUAUUUAAUGCAUGUGUUCAUCUCUAUUUUGCGACUGCCAUGAGGAAAUAAUGCAAUUGUUUACUAGUACACUUGUACUCCCUCACUGUCAAAACCAAUUCUGAAAUAGAAGGCCAAUCAUGUACUUGGUUUCACCAACUGGUGAGGAGAAAGAGAAACAGAGCAUGAAGGGGAAGAAGAAGAAGAAUAAACAGUGCCAAGGUGCUAUUGCUGAAGCCGAGGCCUCACUCGAGGCCAUUCAAGGGCUCCGGCAACGUCUACCUUACAUGUGAGACGAUCCUCCAGGGAGCCCUUCCACUUUUGCGUAUUGUCCAUGAUGAAUUUGAUGCUACUGUUAGAGUAAUAUGCUAAUGUCUUUCUAUCCUUUCUCACUAAGCUAAUGAAGGUUUCACCUUGUUCCUACUUGUGCAAACAGGGAUCAUGUUGUGCCAAUCAUACAUUUUAGUGGAACUACACAAGACAAUACAAUGAACUAUAUCCCAGGCAGUGCUUUAACUCUGCUGGAAGUUCUUGAUAAUCUUUCGAUAUAAUCUCAGUACUGGUAAACAAGAGUGAUUUCAACCAUACAUUUGAAGUGCACAAAAAUAUAUACUAUUGAGUGAUUCCAUUGAGUGCUUUAUCAUCUCUUUCGGGACUACAUGAAUAAGCUUUUUUGCUCGGGUUGGUACCGGCCUAAGGCCUUCAUCCAUAUUAGUUUGCUAUCAUCUCUAUUUGUAUUGUGCUACUGUGAUGAGAAACUCCUUUAUCUUUGCACGUUAAAGUUUUGCAACCUAUGAUACAUGGCAAUGCUUUGAGUGUUGAGCUAAUUGGCACUGAUUAAAUAAACAAAUACCUCUCUAUAAGCAUACUAUGUUGCUAACUUUACCCAUUAAGAUAAUGAGGGUGCUUCUAUUUGUUAGUGUAUGUUUCAUCAACUAGUCCCACUAUUAUAGUAAUCUCACUCUCUCAAUAUAUGUGCCAACAAGGAUGCUCGAUUUUGGUGGAACUGCACACAAACUUUGGGUGCUUCAUUGCCUCGACAACUUCCUUCCUUUCCUGUCAGUCGCUAAUCUCGGCUUGCAUUCUUCCUUUGCUGUCAGUCGCUUGGCUUAUCUCGGCUUCCAGUCAAAGGAAAUAGUAAUUGAUAUGCUACCUCACACAGGAUGGUACUAGUCUUUAUCCUGAUUAUUGUGCUUGUCAUAUGUAUUGGUAAUUUGGUAUUGUGCUACUGUUUCCCGAUUUCAUAAAGGAGUAACUUGGAGCCUGAACUCGCAGGCAAAUCAUUACAUUGGGUGAUUUCAUUAGAACUGCACAAAAAGAUCAGAUGGACAGGCACUUAUGCUGCUGCUAUGUACUCCAAAGUUCACUCAAACAAGCAUCGAUGUUGACAAGAAGAAGUGCCUAUAUUCAUUCGAGUAUCAACCGGCGUCAACCAGUUGUCAAACACCAAGUAUUAGGAGAGUGAACGCCAAAAAUAUUGCUUGGCGCAUAGCCCAGAAAAAAUGGUCCAGUCUUUGGUCCCAACUUGUGCCUUUUAGUUAUCGGCACAUCUGGUAGCGAACUGUAUGGCAUGGAGUCUAAAGAUUCCAGACAAGUUGGUUGACGCGUAUAUUCAUCUGGCACUUAAUCAGUCUGCACGCCAGGGAUGCUCCAUUUCAGUUGAACUGCACAAAAUUUUUGGGUGGUUCAUCUUCUCAACCGCCUCCUUUCUUGUCUGCAAUGUAGAAUUUUGGCAAGCUACAGGACGAAGAUGAGCCAGUAAACUAGUUGGAUGAAAGUAGUGGCCAAGUUGCUCAAACCUCCCUUGGUAAGAGGCCACUAUUUGAGGAUAAACCUACAAGCAAAGUUUAGAUUGUCUGUGCUGCGUCUUAUGUACUCGAAAGUUUACUCAUACAAGCAUUAAUUUUAGCAAGAAGUACCUCCGACUGAACACCAUUUACCAGUCCGUACCCUAGGUAAUUAAAGAUCGUCCAUGGAUGAUAAUUGCCGUGAUCUCAAUCAUUUGGAUGCAUAAACAUACUGAACAUAAUCAUAUGGAAUCAUUUUAUGAAUUAUCUAUGAAUAUUGUCGUGUGAUCUAUCAAUCAUUUGGAUGCAUAGACAUGCUGAACUUGUGUAUAUAUGAAUCUUUUGAGUUGUUGAUUGUGAAUGUUGGCUAUGAAUAUGAACGUGUCCUGUGAACCUGAGUUUGAUAUGAAUGUUUACCUUUUCUGUUGUACUUGUGUGUGAACUUGUUAGUAUGCCUAUUGUGGGAUUUGUGACGUGUGGGUGUCAACGGCACACCUUCUUCCUGAGAAGAACUGCACCUUCUUUGUUAGGGUAGCAACGGAGCAUCAGCUCUUUUUAAUAUUUUGCCCUGUCUUCUCCCCUCCCCCGCUCAACCCCUGCCGUAAUGUUUUCGGCCUCAAAACAAACAUAGUACUGCGUUGUUUUUGGGGCUUGAUGAAAAAUCGAGUGCUGGUUUCUGUAGGUUGGCCCGCCCAACAAAUGGGCUGCUGGUCCAGCACGGACUGGGAGGCUAAAAAUACAAGUUGUAUGGUGCAGAGACAAGUAAAAAAACGCCAUCGAGAGCCAUCCACUGAAGAAAAAAAAUCACUCCUAAUGUGUUCUUCAGUUACACCGCUGGCCCCCUCUUUAAUCCAGUUUGCUCGGGGAUCUAGCUGGUAUCAUUUCUUUCCAGAGGGCGAACAAGUAUCAGCUAGGCCUAGGUUUUGUUUUUUAACAUGCAUAGCCCACGACAUACGGAGACAGUGGCUUCAACUUAUUUUUUGAGGUCCAUACCCGCCUAUGGGCUUUUUCUUAAAGAUCGGCAGCCCAAUGUAUUUUUCUUAAUAAAACGCAGAUCUCUGUUCUAUUUAUCUAUAUAUAAGAGUAAUAAUGCUGUCUCCAAUUUAUGUUUUCCCUUCUAACCACAUUAGAUAUAUUUGUAUUAUUACUAUUAUCGUAUAUUUUAUAGAGACUUAUAUAUACAUUAUAAAAACAUCCCACGUGUUAUUAACUUAUAAAAGUAAAUGUUUAACAGAAGUUGGGAAGGAAAAAUCCUGGUUGUUAUUGACUCACAGGAAAGGAAAAUGCUGGUGAUUGCAUACAAAAGCUUGCGAAGAUUUUAAGGACCAAUGUAAUAAUAACGCGCUCACUUUUAUUUUGAGCAAUAACUCGCUAAUUUAUUAAUUAUAUAUAUAUAUAAUGUGUCGCUUCAGUUUAUUUUUUGAUAUUACUUGCUCCUUCUAACCUAACAUUAUAUAUAGAAUGAGCCCAGCUAAUUCGUGUAUUUCAAGAAAGUGCAAAUGGACUGGGAUUUCUUAGAAAAUAUAAAUGGGCCGCAUUGACACGAAAUUAUUUGUUCACCCAGCCCAGCAAAUGGAGAAAACAUGGGUUAAAUAUAUGCCACAUUUUUGCAGGCUAACAUGUGGGCCAAUAGGUUGAAGCCUACGCAGGGCGUUGUCAACUUGGUCAGCAAAUGAUUAUGACAUCCACAGCCAUUGGAUUUAUAUCCAACGGCCGGCAUGCACCUUCAAUCUCUCAUCUUCUUCCUCUAGCAUCGCCGGGACCGCCUGGUCCAGCCUCCGGCGGCUAGCGGCUCUGCUUAGCGCGCAUCGCUGCGAAGCGCUACCCCACCGCCGGCCAGGCUAUCCCUCCACCCCUCCACACCUCCUGUUAUUCUCCACCGACUGCAGCCCCACGCCGCACCAGAACCAGUUAUAACCCUUCUCCUCCUCUCAAUCUGUGACUCCACUGCCGCAUCAUCCCAUCUCCGUGCGGCGUGGUCAACAAACGAGACUCAUCAGAAGAGGACUGUACAUGGAGAGCCUGACGGCUGGAACCCACGAGGUCCAUGGUCGCACGCAAGGAAAGUUCCUCCUUAUUAAGCUGAAAAAAAUGUUUCCUCCCCCUGACAGCUGGGACCCACCGGCUGUAUCUUCGCACGGAAUGAAGUGCCUCCUUGUUAUGCGAAAAAAAUUAUUCCUCUCGUUGACAGCUGGGACCCGUCAGAUUGGGUGGCUGACUUGUGGGCCUACUAAACGGACGUGUACACAGGGCUUUGUCAACUUAAUCAACAAAUGAUUCUAGCAGCUGGACCGUUGGAUGUUAAUCCAACAGUCGUGCUCCUUCUUCAACCUCCGUUCUUGCUCCUGUCUCCCGUGGGCGGCAUCGCGGCAGUGCUGCCGCGCACCCGAGCCAGUCAAGUUUCCCACUCCUCUCCAUCUGCGACUCAACUACCGUGUCUUCCCCAUCUCCGGGUCGUUCUAGUCUGGGGCCUCGCCGUUGUCCACUGGCCUUGGUGCGCUCAGCAUGGUGUGGUCAACGUGGUCAACAACCGAGAGUCAUUGGAAGAUGACUGUACGUGAAAGGCUGAUAGUGGGGACGCACCACGCCCAUGGACGCAUGCAUGCAACUACAUCCUUUUUACCCUGAAAAAUAAUGUUUUCUCCCCAUGACUGCUGGGACCCACCAGCUACAUCUUUGCAUGCAAGGAAGUGCAUCCAUAUUAUGGGAAAAAAUGAUUCACCCCCUGACUACUAGGACCCACCAGCUACAUCUUCGCACGCAAGGAAGUGCCUGACAGUCGGGACCCACCUGGUCGAAGCGUACGUAGCGUUGUCAUUCUGGUCACGAACGUGUACGUACAUACGAUCGGUCUAUCUGCAGGUUGCAGAGAUGAACCGUGGCCGUGCAAGGAAGGGCACAUGUCGUAGUAGAGGCGUGCACGUGUCGUAGUAGAGGCGCGCACGUAGCAUGUACACGUACGUACAGCGGCCAGGGUGCAGGAAAGUAAAUACGGCCCCGUACGUACAUACGGGCGGGGUCUCAAACGCCCACUCGCGCAUACAUACGGCCAGGGCUCGUGUACAUGGCUGUGGCUAGGUCGGAACAGAGAAACUACGUCGUCGUCGUGUUCAUGGGGAUACAAUAGAAUGCGUCGUGUUCAUCGGGAGGCAACGGAACGCGUGCUAUUCAUAUGGAGCCAACCGGCUUGGACGGAACAGCCGAUGGAAACAAGGCCUGGCGUACCGCAGAACGAAGGAAACGACCUUGUGUUCGCCCGGCCACGGUGGAAACAGGAUCCUGUUCAUCGGGAGGGGUCUGGCGUACCGCAAAAUGGAGGAAACGGACCUCCUACGGUCGAAACAGGGUCCUGUUAAUCGGGAGGGGUGUGGCGUACUGCAAAACGGAGGAAACGGAUUUGUGUUGGAGUGCUACGGUCGAAACGGGGGUCCUGUUCAUCGGGCGGGGUGUGGCGUACUGCAAAACGGAACUCCAUGGGAUACUGUUCAUCUCCACCGUCGACCUCCUCCAGCCUCCACGGGCUACUGUUCAUCCACCGUCGACCUCCUCCAGCCUCCACCCGUGACUGUUCAUCCACGGGCUCCUGUUCAUCCAACCUCCACCGCACGCUCCUCCACCGGCUACUGUUCAGCCAUCCCUCUCCACGGGGUCCUGUUCAAUCACCCCUCCACGGGCUACUGUUCUUCCAGCCCUCCACCGGCUACUGUUCAACCAGCCCUCCACCGGCUACUGUUCAACCAGCCCUCCACGGGGUCCUGUUCAUCCACCGGCUCGAUCGAUCGGGGUACUGUUCUCCAGCGGCAACGGCCUCUACUACCACGGGGUCCUAUUCAUCCAACCCCCCACCGGGGACUGUUCAUACAAACCACCUCAACAACGCUCACUGUUCAUCCAGGGAAGGAGGCAGUAGUGUUCGAUCGGCUUCAGUUAGCAGCAGUAGCGAAGGAAUCACUCGGGUUCAGUUAACAGCAAGGGAUUGAUCGAUCGCUCGGGUUCAGUAACGCAUAGACUGCAGUGCAAUCGCUCGGGUUCAGUUAGAGCCCAACGCCUCGCUCGGGUUCAGUUAGAGCCCAACACCUCGCACACACGCGUGUACGUACGAGAGAAACGUGCAUCGCUCGGCCCCCGACCAUCCACCGUAAACGGGAACUCCCCGAUAUUUUCCUCGCCCUCGCUUCUACCAUGAUUUUUUCCAGUCAUGGACAAUCCAAAGAAUGUCAUGCAGCUACGUCUCCGGCCCGCCCAGGACGAAAAGCCCAUUUUCUGUCAUGAUUUUUUCUCACAGAAGUAGGACCCCACCACAUCUAUGAUGAUACCGGGUUUUGUCACAAUUAUCGUCAUAGAAGUGUCAUAAGUAUGAUAGAAAUUUUUUUCGUUCGGCUCAAAAUGUCACGGAUGUGUCUUUUUUUUGUAGUGAAGACCGAAGAUGCCCACUCCGAAGCCCCAAGGACUCCAGAUCUGGCCUCCCGAUGAAGAAUAGGAGACGGCGACAGCUUCGUCUCGUGGAACGUGAUAAUUCUUUCUCCCUGAUUUUUUACAGGAAAACAGGAUUUUAUAGCAUCAGUUUCAGGGUCUGCGGGACCACCAGGUGGGGACAACCCACACCUGGGCAUGCCUGGAGGGGGGCGCGCCCUGGUGGGUUGUUCCCACCCAGGUGCCCCCCUCCGGUGAUUCUUGGCUCUAGAAAUUCUCAAAAUUCUUACAAAGUUUCGUUCCAUUCCGAGAACUUUUAUUUUUGCACAAAAACGACACCAUGGCAGUUCUGUUGAAAACAUUGUCAGUUCGGGUUAGUUUCAUCCAAAUCAUGCAAAUUAGAGUCCGACACAAGAGGAAAAGCGUUAGGAAAAUUAGAUAUGACGAAGAUGUAUCACUAUAGUCUUUUCAAUGUCCUAUUUACCAGGCGACAUAUUGUAGUUGACAACAAAAGUUUCAAACUCUUUUGGCAGUGAAGCCAUGACUAGGUGAACAAGGAGUGCAGGCUUGAGCUCCAAAUCCUCAUCCAUGGGUUUAAGCUUAGCUGCCAUGUUGCUCUGAGGAUGUGCUCUCUUAUGCCAUGUCCACCUCCUGUGUACUUUUCUGUCACCAGCUGCUUUAGCAACUGGGUAGCAUAUAUCUUUGAAGAACCAGUGAACUGACACCUUAUCUUUUCAAGAAACUCCCCUUGGAAGUACACUCUGCAAUUGAGCCCACAAUAGCGUUCUCAAUUGUGCUCUUUAUGAAAGCCAUGCACUUUUUAUUGGCGUUGAGCCACUUUUGGUUUUCGAGGGUAUAUGACAUCUCCACUGGAGCAUGAUCCCUUUUCUUGUUCUCCCAAGCAGCAUCAUCAUAUUUUGCACCUCUGACUGGCUCUGUUGGUUUGACCGGCUGUGGAGUGUCCACAACCCAAUCCACCUCAGCACAAACAAAAGCCAAGUCAACUUUCUUUCUCCAUUCAAUGUAGUUAUCGCUUCUGAGGGUUGGAACAUCCUCGAGGCAACUCAUCAAGUGGUACCCUCCUGAAACCACAAUGAAGUGAGAUCAUAACAACAAUUGCAUGCAUUAAUCCAACGUUGGUCAAAAUUAUAACAUACAACUGUUUAUGCAAUUAAAUCUAUAUCACCGUUGGGCAAAAGUAGAAAUAAAUGCACCUUUUAUAACAAUAACAAAUCAUGAUCAUGUCAUUAAUAGCGUUGGUCAUAAAAUAACAGAAUCAUAAUUUUUUCAAUAAUUACUUUAACAUUCUCUUAAAAUUUAAUUUUCACUUUAGUUUUAUUUACUUUUAAAAGAGCACUUUUAUUUAUUUGCAGUAGAAAAACAUGAAUAAAAAUUCAUGAACUUUAUACUUUUCAGGAGCAUUUCUUUUACUUUUCUAUUUUCUAAAUAGAAUUUUUGUUCGAAAAUUUUGAAUAGAGAAAACUGUAUAAAUUUUUUCCCAAAAAACUGGACAAAAAACAAGCACCACAUGUUGGAGGAUCCAUAACAAUAUAACUUCUAUACAAAUAUACCCAAGCCUGACUCAUUAUGUUGUCUUCCUUGUCCAACUUCAUCUAAUUUGGUCAAGUUUGAAAAUAAUUAAUGGAGCUCACAGUCAUAGAAGAUGUCCAAGAUAGUAUAUUUAUAUGUGAAAUAUCUCUUCCUUCAAUAUUCUUACAUGAAUUGUUCAAGUGACCAAUACUAUGUUUGCUAACUUUCAAUAAAUUUACCACCUCUACUUCUUAUAUGUGAAGUCAUUACUCCCCAUGGUAUAAGGAUAUGAAGCAUAUAUAAUUUCAGAUUUAGGAUAUUCAAUUCAUUCAACCAUUAACUCAUAGGAUAUAAGUGAAGCACGAGAAUAAAUGACAAACUAGUCCAAAAAGAUAUAAGUUAAGAUUAAUGUGUAGUCAAAUAAUUAAGUAGCUAUGUGAAGACUCUCUCUCAUAAAGAAAAUUUUGAUCUUAAGAUUUUUAUUCAAACAGCAAGCAAAACAAAAUAAAAUGACAUUUCAAGGAUAGCACAUAUCAUGUGAAGAAGCAAAAACUUAGGCUCAACCAAAACUGACUGAUAGUUGUUGAAGAAGAAAUGUGGGAUGCCAACCGGGGCAUCCCCAUGCUUAGAUGCUUGAGACUUCUUGAAAUAUUAAUUAGGGAUGCCUUGGGCAUCUCCAAGCUUGAGAUUUUGUGUCUCCUUAAUUCUUUUUAUAUCACGGUUUCCCUAAAUCUUAAAACUUCAUCCACACAAAACUCAACAAGAACUCGUGAGAUAAGUUAGUAUAAAUCCAUGCAAAACCUUAUCAUUCUCUACUAUAGAAAAUCACUAACAUUUCAAGAAGCAAACAUUAUCAUUCUCUACAAAAACCUUGACAUUGCAUACUAGAUGCCUCUGUAUAUUUAAUACUCCUAUCCUCAAAUAGAAUCAUUAAGCAAGCAAACACAUGCAAACAUAACAACAAUCUGUCUAAACAGAACAGUUUGUAAAGAAUGCAAGAGGAAUCAUACUUCCCUAACUCCAAAAAUUCUGAAAAUUACCACACGGUAGAAAAUUUGUUGUUACUGACUGUGUAAAAAUGUCAAGAUCUAAUCACAUUCUGACUUUCCAGAAGAAUUCAGACAAUGCUAGAAAACUUCCUGUUUUUAAAACAACAACAUAUGGACUUGCAAAAUAAGCAUGGUAAAGGCUAUACUUGACCUUUUUAUUGAACUUAAAUAUAGAAAACAUGUCUCUGAAUAACAGAAAGAAAAUAUAAACAAAAGAAAAUGAUGCUCCAAGCAAAUCUCAUAUCAUGUGGUGAAUAAAAAUAUAGCCUCAAGUAAUUUUACCGAUGGAUUGAAGACAAACGAGGGGAUGCCAUCCGGGGCAUCCCCAAGCGUAGUUGCUUGGGUAUUCCUUGAAUAUUACCUUAGGGUGCCUUGGGCAUCCCCAAGCUUAGGCUCAUUCCACUCCUUAUUCCUAGUCCAUCGAAACUUCACCCAAAACUUGAAAACUUCACAACACAAAACUCAACAGAAAAUCUUAUGAGCUCCGUUAGUACAAGAAGAUAAAUCACCACUUAGGUACUAUUGUGAACUCAUUCUAAAUUCAUAUUGGUGUUAUAUAUACUAUAUUCCAACUUCUCCAUGGUUCAUACCCUCCGAUACUACUCAUAGAUUCAUCAAAAUAAGCAAACAACACUUAGAAAACAGAAUCUGUAUAAACAGAACAGUCUGUAGUAAUCAGGGAACUUCCUAUACUUCUGUAACUCCGAAAAUUCUUGAAAAAUUAGGAAAACCUGGGAAAUUUGUAUGAAAAACUUGUGUAAAAAUGUCGGAUGAAAAUCACGCUUCUUUGAUUUUUGAAAAUUAUUUUACUAGGCGCAAAAGUUUCUGUUUUUCAGCAAGAUCAAAUCAACAAUCUUCCAAACCAUCCCAAAGGUCUUACUUGGCACAAACACUAAAUUAAAAAAUGAAAACACAUCUAACUAGAGGCUAGAUGAUAAACUUUGGAAAAUAGUAACAAAAAAGUAGAAGCAAAAUAAAAUUGGGUUGCCUCCCAACAAGCGCUAUUGUUUAACGCCCCUAGCUGGGCAUGGUGAUUUUAAUGAUGCUCACAUAAAUGAUAUGAAUUGAAACAUGAUGGGAGCAUCAUGAAGCAUAUGACUAGCACAUUUAAGUCUAGCCCACUUCCUAUGCACUGGGAUUUUGUGAGCAAACAACUUACGGGAACAAGAAUCAACUAGCAUAGGAAGGCAAAACAAGGAUUACUUCAAAACUUUCAACACAUAGAGAGGAAACUUGAUAUUAUUGCAAUUCCUACCAGCAUAUGUUCCUCCCUCAUAAUAAUUUUCAGUGGCAUCAUGAACGAAUUCAACAAUAUAACUAUCACAUAAAGCAUUCUUUUCAGGAUCCACAAGCAUAUAAAAUUUACUACGCUCCACAUAAGCAAAAUUCUUCUCAUGAAUAGUAGUGGGAGCAUAUUCAACAAAAUAACUAUCAUUUGAGGCAUAACCCAAUUGAAAAUUAAAAUCACUAUGACAAGUUUCAUGGUUAUCAUUAUUGUUUAUAGCAUACAUGUCAUUACAAUAAUCAUCAUAGAUAGCAACUUUGUUCUCAUAAUCAAUUGGAACCUCUUCUGAAAUAGUGGAUUCAUCACUAAAUAAAGUCAUGACCUCUAGAAAUCCACUUUCAUAAAUAUGAUAAGAUUCAACACCCUCCAAAAUACUGGGAUCAUUACCUAUAGUUGACACUCUUCCAAACCCACUUUCAUCAAUAUAAUCAUCAUAAAUAGGAGGCAUGCUAUCAUCAUAAUAAAUUUGCUCGUCAAAACUUGGGGGACAAAAAAUAUCAUCUUCAUCAAACAUAGCAUCCCCAAGCUUAUGGCUUUGCAUAUCAUUAGCAUCAUGGAUAUUCAAGGAAUUCAUACUAACAACAUUACAAUCAUGCUCAUCAUUCAAAUAUUUUAUGCCAACCAUUUUAUGAACUUGUUCUUCUAACACUUGAGCACAAUUUUCCUUUCCAUCAUUUUCAUGAAAGACAUUAAAAAGAUGAAGCAUAUGAGGCAACCUCAAUUCCAUUUUUUUUGUAGUUUUCUUUUAUAGACUAAACUAGUGAUAAAACAAGAAACUAAAAGAUUCAAUUGCAAGAUCUAAAGAUAUACCUUCAAGCACUGACCUCCCUGACAACGGCCCCGGAAAAGAGCUUCGUUCACGGGAUGUGAGUGCCACUUACGUAGCCUCCCUGGCAAUGGCGCCAGAAAAGAGCUUGAUGUCUACUACACAACCUUCUUCUUGUAGACUCGUGUUGUGCCUCCAAGCGCAAAGUUUUGUAGGACAGUAGCAAAUUUCCGUCAAGUGUAUGACCUAAGGUUUAUCAAUCCGUGGGAGGCGUAGGAUGAAGGUGGUUUCUCUUAGACAACCCUGCAACCGAAUAACAAAGAGUCUCUUGUGUCCCCAACACACCCAAUACAAUGGUAAAUUGUAUAGGUGCACUAGUUCGACGAAGAGAUGGUGAUGCAAGUGUAAUAUGGAUGGUAGAAAUAUAUAUUUAUAAUCUAAAUAAAUAAAAAUAGCAAGGUAACAAUAUAACGCUCGGGACACACUCGCCGAUGGUCGUUACUCCUGGCGGGAUCUCGACUGGCCCCACAGAUCAAUACUAGUCUUUUCUGUGCACUUUGUCCUCACUCGUGCGCACCCGGGAGCAACUUCCCGGUCGGUCACCCAUCCUGAAACUACUCCAAGCCGAGCACGCUUAACUUUGGAGUUCUGUCCGAAUGGGCUCCCGGAAAAGAAGGGUUUCCUUAUUGAUAUGAGUUGUCUAUCAUCCCUAAUAAGCCAGGCUAUCACAAACAAGUGAUAAAAGUGAGUAAAAACGGUAUUGCAAAGCUUGGAAACAAGGCCUAGGGUUCAUACUUUCACUAGUGCAAAUUCUCUCAACAAUGAUAACAUAAUUUCAUAUAACAAUCCCUCAAUGUGCAACAAAGAAUCACUCCAAAGUUUCUAUUGGAGAACCUAGGACGAAAACGUGCAUCAACCCCUAUGCAUAGAUUACCCCAAUGUCACCUAGGGAAUCCGCGAGUUGAGUGCCAAAAAAUACAUCACAUGAAUCAAUAGAACAUCCUAUUGUCACCACAGAUAUCCCAUCGCAAGACAUACAUCAAGUGUUCUCAAAUCCAAUACUCAAUCCAACAUAACGAAACCUCAAAGAGCAAGACUCAAUUCAUCACAAUAAGGUAGAGGGGGAAGAACACCAUAAGAUCCAGCUAUAGUAACGAAUCUCGCGGUACAUCAAGAUCGUGCCAAACCAAGAACACGAGAGAGAGAGAGAGAGAGAGAGAGAGAUCAAACACAUAGCUACUAGUACAUACCCUUAACCCCGAGGGUGAACGACUCCCUCCUAGUCAUGGAGAGUGCUAGGAUGAUGAAUAUGGCCACCGGUGAUGGUUUCCCCCUCCGGCAGGGUGCCGGAACAGGCUUAGAUUGGUUAUUCAUGAACUCAGAGGCUUGCGGCGGUGGAACUCCCGAUCUAGGUUUUUUUUCUGGGGGUUUCAUGAUUUAUAGGAAUUUUUGGCGUCGGUUUCACAUNNNNNNNNNNNNNNNNNNNNNNNNNNNNNNNNNNNNNNNNNNNNNNNNNNNNNNNNNNNNNNNNNNNNNNNNNNNNNNNNNNNNNNNNNNNNNNNNNNNNNNNNNNNNNNNNNNNNNNNNNNNNNNNNNNNNNNNNNNNNNNNNNNNNNNNNNNNNNNNNNNNNNNNNNNNNNNNNNNNNNNNNNNNNNNNNNNNNNNNNNNNNNNNNNNNNNNNNNNNNNNNNNNNNNNNNNNNNNNNNNNNNNNNNNNNNNNNNNNNNNNNNNNNNNNNNNNNNNNNNGGGACUCUUCUGGCCCAACUCUUUUACUCGGGGGCUUCUUCUGGUCCAUAAAAAAUCACCGUAAAUAUUCAGCUCAUUUGGACGCCGUUUGAUAUUCCUUUUCUGUAAAACUCAAAAACAAGGAAAAAACAGAAACUGGCACUAGGCUCUAGGUUAAUAGGUUAGUCCAAAAAAUAAUAUAAAAUAGCAUAUAAAUGCAUAUAAAACAUCCGAGAUGGAUAAUAUAAUAGCAUGGAACAAUAAAAAAUUAUAGAUACAUUGGAGACGUAUCACACUUUGCCGGCGAGCUCGAGGCCCUCUGCCGGUGAUGUUCUUUCCCCUGAGAUUAGUGUUCUUCGGGAGGGAAUUUUUUUCUUUGAUUUCUGUUCUACCGAAAUUUUAAACCAACUCUGGCUCUGAAACCAUUGAUGGAUCCUUUGGAUCGCGUAGGCUAGAGAUUAGAUCAGUAGUUUAUCUUCUUUGACAGAGAUAUACCUUCUCCUUGGCUCGAGGAGCCCGAGCCAGUGGCCAUGGUGGAGGGACGGCGGCAUGGGUGUGCGUGGGCAGUGGUUGUGCUUCCCGUCGGCCUACGCUAACCCUAGAUCGGUAGGGGUGUCGGUGGGGGGCUGCGGCGCAUGGUAAACCUCAUACCAUGUGCGUCCGGCUCCCCCACCACUUUAUGUAGCGCGGCGACAGGGGCCCACCAACCAGAGUUUGGUUGGGAUCCCCCGAUCAGGGCGGGAGUCAAGGGCCCAUCGAACCAUUGGGUUCGAUCCGGAGGAGAUCAACCUAACAUGAUCAUUAUAGCAAUGGCCUCCACCAACAGCUGGACCCAUGAGAUUUAGUCGUCGGUCGCUACAUCGCGCCUCUUCCGUGCCGGCGUCAUGGACUGGCACACCCUGGCCACCGAGCUCGCGCCAUAGAUCGUCGCCAGCGCCCACGCUGUCGAAGGAGAAGGCGGCAUUGGCAGUGUCAGGCAGUUCAACUGCACCUCAGGUACGCAUCAUAUACAACUCAUAUCACCUGCAAUCUGGUACACAUGGUCAAAGCAUAACACAGAUUUGAUCUUGCAGCCAUGCCCUUCAACCAGAUGAAGGAGGGGCUCGAGUUCAUUGACGCAGACAAGUGCAAGUGCAAGUCAACUCUCAUCGAGGUGGUGGCAUUGGCACGGCGAUCGAGACAACCACUUCACACAUCAAGGUGGAGCCGGUAGCGAAUGGUGGUGCAUGGUGAAGGUGGAAUCGACAUACAAGCUGUUGCCAGGCGUGGAGGUGAAGGAUGAGAUCACCAAGGCCAAGGACUCUGUCACAACCAUAUUUAAGGUUGCUCAGGCCUACCUUAUUGCCAACCCGGGCGCCUACAACUAAAUUAGUUGAGAGGGAUCAUAUAUGAUUAUGCUUUCACUAGUUUGAUUUUUGUGUGCUUUCUUCCUGUCUAAUAAAGUUGCUCCAACCUCCAAGUAGUACGGUGUGGACUUGAGAAGUUUAAAAUUUGCGUAUUUGUAACUAUCGAAGGGUGCUAUUGUUUGAUGAUGUUGCUGCUUGCUUAUGUAUAAUCCUCAUGAUUUUGUACUGGAAUAAAAGGAAGUAUCUGAUUCACAUAAAGAACUUGUAUAUAUAUUUCGAAUUGGAAGUUUGUGAGCCAGGGAAGUCUUAUGCUUGCUCGACUGGACAUAAUUUCAUUUUCUCUUCUGAAAUAUAGGAAGAGACAGUGUUGAAUGAAUAUGCCAUUGCAUUUUGACAUCUCUUUCUCCGGCAAGUUCCCCUAUUAGCCCAUGCAACUUCUGUUGUAGCUUUGUUCAGUUUCAAGCUUUAAGAGCACAACCAAUGCCCAGGUUCUCAUGAGAAACUAGGGCUUAAAGGUUGGCCAAAGAUAUACUCACUCUGUUGCUUUAUCUAAGGUGUAUUACUAUUGGCAUGGUGACGAAAGCAUGAAAUUAUGGAGCAUUGGAAUAAAAUUACAAACGAUUAUUUUAGUGGUUAGAGCAAGUAAAUAAAUUAGGUGGACCUCAUCUAGCGAUUUGAGCGUGCGUGCAGCUGCUCGCUUUGCAUGGCCCAUGCAAUGGUCCUAAGAAAUCAGCAGCGAAUGAAAACAACUUGAACCAAUGACGCGAAAACGAAAAAGAACAGAUCAAAAAAACGAAAAGAUAAAUUGGAGGGAACCAGCAGGGCACCAAUGCUAUGCAACUUUAAGAUUCAUUUUUCGUUAACACAAGUAGUCAGAUCCUCAAUCCACCGUACUAUUUUCCGUUCUGAAGAACGUGGACAUAAAAAAAUGAUGGGUCAUCCAGACUUACAUUCAACACCUAAUUGAGAUCCAAUCGAGGAGAACGACAACUCGCCAUCGGAUAUUGGGUACAAUUAUGACAGGAUAGCUUCCAACGACUCCGCCAAAGGUAUGUUCUUGUGCGACAUGACCUUGAGUAGGGAAAUUCAUUGGUGAUAGCCGAAAAAGGUUUAAUUGUUGGCUCGGUGAAGAACUCGAAAAUAACAUAGCUGGCAGAGAAGACGGCGAUGGAACAUGUCCAGGCCCUCAUGUUUUCAAACCGGAUAAGAGAGUGCACUAGUGCAAAACAUGGCUUUGGUUCGAGCCAGAUCAGAGCCUUAGACCUGGCCGAGUUACGAACCGGGACUAAUGGGUGCAUUAGUCCCGGUUCGAGCGGCUAGGGAGCCGGCCGGGCCUCGGCAGGUACUAGUACCGGUUCGUCUGUCCCCUUUAGUCUCGGUUCCAGACAUGAUCCGGGACUAAAGAUCCUCGCUCCUGGUGUAGCCCCUUUAGUCCCAGUUGGUGGCUGGAACCGGGACUAAAGAUUUGUAUUCUGUCCUGGUUCUAGCCACCAACAGCGACUAAAUAGAUGCCUAUAUAUAUGCUCGCCCAUGCCCGCUCACUUUUUGGCCGGCCGGCGUGUGCGAGGUGUGUCCUCCUCUGCUCUCAUCUCCUAUGCAUAUGAGGUGUUCGAUGAAAUGCCCGAGCCACACUUCAUCUUUCUCCUCUCCAAGCUCGACCUCCAAGCUCCAUUUUCCUCAACAUUUGUCUUGUUUGCCGGUCCGUCCCGUACCCGUACCCGUCCCCGUCCUCACCGCUGUCGAUCGCCCGUGCAGAUCUCGUCACUGGCACCAUCGUGGUGAGCCUCUUGUUCUUAUCUUCUCUUUAAAACGAAAACAUUCUUACUUGUAUGAUUUAGAUAGCUACUUGUAUAAUUUUCUUACUUUUAUUAUAGUUUGUUAUUAUAUAGUGCCAUGGUUUUGGUAUCCACCCCCGUCGGCUCUCGUUCAGUCGAUGAUUCGGAUGUGGUAUAUUAUCUUUUAUAACUAUUUGUUUCAUUUAGUGUUUAUGACAAUUAUGCCGAACAAUGUGACAUAGAUAUUUUUAUCUAGGAGGUAUGUGAACCGGAAAUUCCAGCCGAUCCUCUUGUCGAGAGGUUAAAUUUGGUUGUAAAAGAAAACAAUUAUUUGAAAGAAAAAUGAAAAGAAUUGAAGAGGGAGAAGAUGAAAUUGGAGUUGCAUGUUGCCUAUGUCGUCGAUGAUCACAAGUUCCAUAUGGAUGCAAUGCGCUUGAAGCUUAGAAAAAUUAGGAAAUACGCCAUUCAUAACGUGGCUUGGUAUCAUUAUGGUGUUGAAUCAAUUGUUACCUUAGUUGCGAUUUUGAUCACAUUUGUUGUUGCAUUUAAAUGUUUUACAUAGUUGUGUGUUAGUUACAAUGCAUGUUUUAAUUAGAUGCUCUAGAGAGCUGUAUGUUGUUCUAUGAGAACUAUGUAUGAAAUUUAUUUAUUUAUUUUUUCAGUAAUAACAUUUGAUCACGACUCUACUUUGGUUUAAUGUGAUGAUGAACUUAUAUUAAUUUGGUCACUUCUCUAUUCAUGAUGUUCUAUAAUGGUUUUUGAUACACUUAAUUAUAUAAUACACAUAGAUGAACCGGCAAUGGAUGUACGGUGACCAAUGCACCUCCGACUACAUUGACGGCGUGCAUAAUUUUCUCGAGGUGACUGAGACAAACAAGCAGAAUGGUUUUAUGUAUUGUCCAUGUAUUGUCUGUGGGAAUACGAAGGAUCACUCUUCCUUGAAAACCCUUCACAUCCACUUGCUUGAGAAGGGUUUCAUGCCACACUAUAAUGUUUGGACCAUGCACGGAGAAAGAGGGGUUAUGAUCGAAGACAACGAAGAAGAAGAGGAUGAUGACAACUAUCCUAUACUAUCCUAUGUUCCCUGAACACGGUGAUACUGCAAUGAGGGAAGCUGAAGAUCAAGAGGCACCGGACAAUGUGCCCGAGGAUGAUCUUCACCCGGUCAUUGUUGAUGCACAGAGAGAAUGCUAAAGUGAAAGGGAGAGGUUGAAGUUCGAUCGCAUGUUAGAGGAUCACAAAAAAAGAGUUGUACCCAAGUUGCGAAGAUGACAACACAAAGCUCGGCACCACACUGGCAUUGCUGUAAUGGAAGGCAGACUGUCGGUGGGAACGAUACCUAUGGAAUCACUGGGAUCCCUUCUACAGUUGGUGGGCGCGAGGUUGUGCAAAGAGCGGGGUUGACAGGAAGCACACGGAUCAUUUACCCAGGUUCGGGCCGCGAAGAUGCGUAAUACCCUAGUCCUGCUUUGGUGGGUGUAUUGACUCUUCUUGUGUUCUUGAGCAAGCUACGGGGUGCAACUUGCCCAAAAGAGCCGAACCCCUCUCUUGGUCGACUCGGGCCUCCUUUUAUAGGCAAAAAGGGGUUGCCACAGUGGCACACAAGAGUUGGAAAGGUCUACAGUUGAUAAGCCUAUCCUCUGGGACCGUCGGACAAACGCAUUUAAUGCGCUGCCGACGUGUCCCCCUUGCUUUAUCGGGGAUGGCAAGGAAGCACGUCCCAGCUGUCGCCGCCUCGCCUGGCCUUGACAAGCGUCCGAGCUGACGAGGCGUCGUGGCGCCACGUUGGAUGGUUGCUGGGCUGGCGCAGUGGUGGAGCUUUCACGAAGGGUUUCCUGCCACCACGCAGGUGCUUGCUGAGUCGGUGUAGAGGCCGCCCAUCGCUACGCAGGUGCGUGCCCAGCUGGUUGAGCUAGCAGCUGCUUGGGGACGGCGGUGGAGUCUUGGCUGGCGCGGGCCUGGCAGUGGCCCCGCUGAUGCCUUCGGCAAGGGUCUGGCCGGGGGCCCGGCAUGGGUCUUGCCAUGGCGUUGCAGUCGUCCCCGGAAAGGCGCUUGCCGGGGGUCUUGUGGAUUUCCUCGGCUAGGAUCCCACCGAAGGUCGCCGUCUUCUGGUCCUCAUCUGAUCUCACAUGUUUAUGAUCUUGAUGAAGAUCUGCAUGCCACCUCAGAGGCGCCUCCCGAGCCUUGGUUCCAAUGUAGUUGGUGGUGUUGGGACCCAUGGGCUCAAGGGUGGCUUGCUCCGCUGGCAUCGGGCAGGUUGCCCCGGCAAGGCUCUUGCCGGGACUACGGAGGCUGCCUCGGCAAGGAUCUUGCCGAGGGAACCUACCUUGCCCUCUUGCUCUCCUGUGUUCCUGGUCUUGGCGUUUCCUUGGUUGUCUUGUGCUUUGGCUUCUCUCCGGCUUCCCUCCUCUACCCUGCUAAGUGUGGCCGCGGCGCGUGGCUUUGACUGCCCGUGCACAAGUAAAGGGGUCAAAAGGAGAGCCCCUACUUUUGUACACCGACAGGAGCCCCGGGUCUGGGCCACACAUAAGCGCGACGCAUUGUUGGGCCAGGCCCAGAAUGGUGCGCGGGCAGGUGGGGCGGAUUUUUACCAUCGUAACUAUUUCGUACACUGUGCUUCCCCACGACCUGCGUUGAAUGCGCAACGUGGAGGGUCAUGUGUGACGUGGGGGUCAUGCGUGGGGAGGUUCCCGCAUGCAUGCGUUACAUCACAGUAAAGAGGCGGCCCACGCCUUCCACAUAAGAAAAAGAGGGAGGCGCAGAGGCGCGGCUUAUUUACUGAGUGGACUCGGGUUGCAGUCUUCAAGGCGCCCGCGCCCCCACGAUCACGGGGUCGGGAACGGUCGCCUCACCCGUCCCCUCGAUCCUGGUCCCUCGCCACGCGUCCCCCAUGCAGGUUGCACGCGGUGGAGGCGGGAAACCGGGCCGUCGCCGAUUGGGGCAGCGAGUCGGUCCUGAUUCCCUGCGCCUCCGAUGGCUGGAUUGGUCCAGUGGGGCGGCCGAGCCUCGACCCGGCGCCUUUAUAAGGAGGGGGAGGGGUAUGUCAUCCCACGUUCUCCCAGCAUCCAUCUUCUUCCACUUCCACUCCUUCCUUCCACCCGUCAUGGCGAGAGGGGGCGCAGGCCCUUCAACGAUGGGGGCGAGGGUCGCUGCUCGACAGCGCGUUCCUCCUUCCCACGAGCUCUCAGCGGAGGAGCCGGCCAUGAGAGGAAGGGGGAGGGCGCGAGGCCGAGGUCGCUGCAGCGGUCGGGGGACGAGGCGGCGCGAUGGCCGUGCCUCCGCCAGCGAUGCCGCCCGUGAUGGAGGGCCACGUCGGGGACCAGCCUCGGGAGUUCUUCAUCAGGCUGCGCCAGCACCCGCGUCGUCGUCUCCGUCUCCCUACCCCAUUUUCUCGGGAAAUGGAGCUCGAUCCGCCCGAGACCCUCAGAUUGCACAUGAGGGGCUGCGGGAACGGCGGCACGCGGGUCGACGUCGACUUCCCCGCUCCUCAUGUUAUGUACCUCCGUCGCGGAUGGAAGACAUUUGCGCAUCCAUAGCCUGACGGCGGGGCUCGUCCUCUACUUCAAGUUAAUGGAGGGCGGCCUGCUCUCCGUCAAGGUCUUCGGAGAUCUUGGAACUCGCCUAAAGUGCUACGUGGAGAGCUCCUCCGACGAUGAAGAUUCCUCCUCAAGCGGGAGUGACGAGGAGGACAGCGAUAGCGGCGAUGAGGGAGUCGAGCGGCGGGACGCCGACUCCGACUGACCGUGUCACCCUUCCCUCGGCCACGCGCCCUGCCGAGGGCCUUCCUCGUCAAGCUCUCCAUCGGGGCGCUCCCCGUCGUCUCCUUGGGCGGCGGGCGUAGGAGGGCCGGAGAAGGCAAAGAAGGCGGGUGGCGGCCGUCAAGUCGGAGUACGCGGGCACUGAUGUCUACUACGCAACCUUCUUCUUGUAGACGUUGUUGGGCCUCCAAGUGCAGAGGUUUGUAGGACAGUAGCAAAUUUCCCUCAAGUGGAUGACCUAAGGUUUGUCAAUCCAUGGGAGGCGUAGGAUGAAGAUGGUCUAUCUCAAACAACCCUGCAACCAAAUAACAAAGAGUCUCUUGUGUCCCCAACACACCCAAUACAAUGGUAAUUUGUAUAGGUACACUAGUUCGGCGAAGAGAUGGUGAUACAAGUGCAAUACGGAUGGUAGAUAUAGGUUUUUGUAAUUUGAAAAUAUAAAAAUAGCAAGGUAACUAAUGAUAAAAGUGAGCGUAAACCGUAUUGCAAUGCUAGGAAACAAGGCCUAGGGUUCAUACUUUCACUAGUGCAAGUUCUCUCAACAAUAAUAACAUAAUUGGAUCAUAUAACAAUCCCUCAACAUGCAACAAAGAGUCACUCCAAAGUCACUAAUAGCGGAGAACAAACAAAGAGAUUAUUGUAGGGUACGAAACCACCUCAAAGUUAUUCUUUCUGAUCGAUGUAUUCAAGAAUCCGUAGUAAAAUAACACGAAGCUAUUCCUUCGGUUCGAUCUAUCCUAGAGUUCGUACUAGAAUAACACCUUAAGACACAAAUCAACCAAAACCCUAAUGUCACCUAGAUACUCCAAUGUCACCUCAAGUAUCCAUGGGUAUGAUUAUACGAUAUGCAUCACACAAUCUCAGAUUCAUCUAUUCAACCAACACAAAGAAUAUCAAAGAGUGCCCCAAAGUUUCUACCGGAGAGUCAAGACGAAACCGUGUGCCAACCCCUAUGCAUAAGUUCACGAGGUUACGGAACUCGCAAGUUCAUCUCCAAAACAUACAUCAAGUGGAUCACGUGAAUAUCCCAUUGUCACCACAGAUAAGCACAUGCAAGACAUACAUCAAGUGUUCUCAAAUCCUUAAAGACUCAAUGCGAUAAGAUAACUUCAAAGGGAAAACUCAAUCCAUUACAAGAGGGUAGAGGGGGAGAAAAAUCAUAAGAUCCAACUAUAAUAGCAAAGCUCGCAAUACAUCAAGAUCGUGCCGAAUCAAGAGCACGAGAGAGAGAGAGAGAGAGAUCAAACACAUAGCUACUGGUACAUACCCUCAGCUCCGAGGGUGAACUACUCCCUCCUCGUCAUGGAGAGCACCGGGAUAAUGAAGAUGGCCACCGGUGAGGGUUCCCCCCUCCGGCAGGGUGCCAGAACAGGGUCCCGAUUAGUUUUUGGUGGCUAUAGAGGCUUGCGGCGGCGGAACUCCCGAGCUAGGUUAUUUUCUGGAGAUUUCUGUAUUUAUAGGAAUUUUUGGUGUAGGUCUAACGUCAGGGGGGUCUCCGAGCCGUCCACGAGAUAGGGGGCGCGCCCAGGGGGGUUGGGCGCGCCCCCCACCCUCGUGGGCAGCCCGGGACUCUUCUCGCCCAACUCUUUUACUCCUGGGGCUUUUUUUGGUCCAUAAAAAAUCAUCAAAAAUUGGCACGUCAAUUGGACUCCGUGUGGUAUUCCUUUUCUGUAAAACUCAAAAACAAGGAAAAAACAGAAACUGGCAGUGGCUCUAGGUUAAUAGGUUAGUCCCAAAAUUCAUAUAAAAUAGCAUAUAAAUGCAUAUAAAACAUCCUAGAUGGAUAAUAUAAUAGCAUGGAACAAUAAAAAAUGAUAGAUACGUUGGAGAUGUAUCACUCACCGUUAGGACAGAUGUCAUCCAUUCAUUGGACGGUAGGCGCCUAUGAUACGUCGACACGUGGCACGACCCAACAGAGGCCCAUUCACUACUGGAAUUUGCUUAUUUGCCGUCUGCCUAUUCUUUGCCGUCUGCUGGCGGACGGCAAAGAAGGUCUUUGCCAUCAGCUUGCAAAAAAGGGACGGCAAAGAACUAGCUGAUGGCAAAGAAUGUCUUUGCCAUCAGCCAAUUCUUUGCCGUCUGCUAGCGGACGGCAAAGAAUCUUUGCCGUCUGCUGGCGGACGGCAAAGAGAGAGGUGGGCCCCACUAACGAGCUGUUUAGAAAAAAAAACCUAACGGCCCCCCUCUUUGCCGUCUGCUAGUAGACGGCAAAGAGCAAAAAAACGGACGGCAAAGGGGGGCAGACGGCAAAGAGAUAACCUAACUAACGGCCGUCCCCCCACCCCGCUCCCUCCCUCUCUCUCUCUCUCUUUCUGUCCUCCCCACCACGAUGACCACCGCCACCCGCCGCCGCCCCGCCACCAGCCACCCGCCGCCACCCCCACNNNNNNNNNNNNNNNNNNNNNNNNNNNNNNNNNNNNNNNNNNNNNNNNNNNNNNNNNNNNNNNNNNNNNNNNNNNNNNNNNNNNNNNNNNNNNNNNNNNNNNNNNNNNNNNNNNNNNNNNNNNNNNNNNNNNNNNNNNNNNNNNNNNNNNNNNNNNNNNNNNNNNNNNNNNNNNNNNNNNNNNNNNNNNNNNNNNNNNNNNNNNNNNNNNNNNNNNNNNNNNNNNNNNNNNNNNNNNNNNNNNNNNNNNNNNNNNNNNNNNNNNNNNNNNNNNNNNNNNNNNNNNNNNNNNNNNNNNNNNNNNNNNNNNNNNNNNNNNNNNNNNNNNNNNNNNNNNNNNNNNNNNNNNNNNNNNNNNNNNNNNNNNNNNNNNNNNNNNNNNNNNNNNNNNNNNNNNNNNNNNNNNNNNNNNNNNNNNNNNNNNNNNNNNNNNNNNNNNNNNNNNNNNNNNNNNNNNNNNNNNNNNNNNNNNNNNNNNNNNNNNNNNNNNNNNNNNNNNNNNNNNNNNNNNNNNNNNNNNNNNNNNNNNNNNNNNNNNNNNNNNNNNNNNNNNNNNNNNNNNNNNNNNNNNNNNNNNNNNNNNNNNNNNNNNNNNNNNNNNNNNNNNNNNNNNNNNNNNNNNNNNNNNNNNNNNNNNNNNNNNNNNNNNNNNNNNNNNNNNNNNNNNNNNNNNNNNNNNNNNNNNNNNNNNNNNNNNNNNNNNNNNNNNNNNNNNNNNNNNNNNNNNNNNNNNNNNNNNNNNNNNNNNNNNNNNNNNNNNNNNNNNNNNNNNNNNNNNNNNNNNNNNNNNNNNNNNNNNNNNNNNNNNNNNNNNNNNNNNNNNNNNNNNNNNNNNNNNNNNNNNNNNNNNNNNNNNNNNNNNNNNNNNNNNNNNNNNNNNNNNNNNNNNNNNNNNNNNNNNNNNNNNNNNNNNNNNNNNNNNNNNNNNNNNNNNNNNNNNNNNNNNNNNNNNNNNNNNNNNNNNNNNNNNNNNNNNNNNNNNNNNNNNNNNNNNNNNNNNNNNNNNNNNNNNNNNNNNNNNNNNNNNNNNNNNNNNNNNNNNNNNNNNNNNNNNNNNNNNNNNNNNNNNNNNNNNNNNNNNNNNNNNNNNNNNNNNNNNNNNNNNNNNNNNNNNNNNNNNNNNNNNNNNNNNNNNNNNNNNNNCAGCACCCCGACCCCGACACGGUACCCCGACCCCGACACGACACCCACGACACCAGAGGCCGACGGGGUCAUAUAUUUGGGAAUUAUGAGUUAGGUCAUAUAUUUUUCGAUUUUGUUAUGAAAAACAUCAUAUAUAAUUGUGUUGAUCGGGUAGAUUUAAAUGUGCAAUUGUUUCAUCGCUGUGAGGUUUGGUGUUCGACGACCUCCCUGUGCGUUUGACGAGCUCUGCCCCUUCGUUCGUGGGUGAGCACAAAUGACAUGUCCUCCUCCCCCCUUAAUUAUUUGCUCUGUUCCGGUGUUCAUGCCGAUGAAACUUGAUAGCUAGCUAUAUAUCUGUGUUGAAUCAUCAGUAUGCGUAACCAAUAUGUGUCUCCCGUUCGAAAGCGUUAUAGUUAUAAAUAUGCAUGCAUUUGCAUAUUUAUAACCGUGAUUCUUUCGAAUUGUCCAACACUAUCCAUGGACAGCCCGAGUAUGUGUAGAUUGGGUUCGUUUUCCCAUAUGCUUUGCUCCGGAUCCGACGCAUAAAUUUUGUCAGUGCCUCCCCUAUUGUUCUCCGGGUACACAUCCUCUCUGUUUAUUGCAGAGACGUGUAUCAUGAGAACAGCGGGGAGGUGCUGCCGAAAUUUUGCGUCUGAUUCGGAGCAUGGCAUGGGAAAAUGAACCCAAUCUACACAUACUCGGGUGGGAUUAGGACCUAUCAUUACCUAUUAGAGUGUAGGUUGCAUGGACGUAAUAAAAUUGACAAAGUAGAUCAACUGAUGAAUAUAUACAUGGUGAAUUAUAUAUAUAUAUAUAUAUUUGUUGUGUGUCCAGUAGUUCUGAAAGUCAAGAUGAGUGAUCGUGCGUGGAUGUACACCGGUCACACUGGUCAGAAGAAAUGGAGCACUGAAUGGUUCACAAAAACCAAGGGGUUUGUGCAAGCCGCAUUUGCAAAUGGCCAGAGGAAAACCUGGUGCCCCUGUUUACGGUGCGGCAAUUGGGAAAAGAGGACAGAGGCUGAAAUGGGUAAACACCUGCAGAAGAGUGGUUUUACGCCCGAUUAUACGGUGUGGACAUAUCAUGGUGAGUCUGCCCAACGUGACCGAGCUGAGGUGGAUCGUCGUCGCACCGACGAGGAUGGUACCGGGAUGGAAAACAUGGUGCAAGACUUCGAUGAUGCUCGGGAUUCGGACGAGGAGAUGGAGGAAUCUGCAAAGGCCUUCAAUGAAAUGUUGGAGUCUUCAAAACGUCCACUCCACGAGCACACUGAGCUUUGUCAGUUGGAUGCCAUCUCAUAAGUAAUGGCUCUGAAGGCUCAGUUCAACUUGGGCAGAGAAUGCUACGACGCAAUGAUGAUAGUGUUUGGACGCUUUCUACCCAAAGUCCAUGUAAUGCCUGCAAACCUGUACCAGUCGGACAAAAUCCUCCAUGCACUGAAGAUGCCCUAUGAGAAGAUACAUGCCUGUGAGAAAGGAUGUGUCUUAUUUAGGCUUGACCAUGCGGACCUGAACUAUUGUCCCAUUUGCAAGUCUUCCAGGUAUGUUGUGUUAGACAACGGUAUGGGUGAGAAGACACAGAUCAAAAUCCCCGUUAGUGUUCUUCGGUAUAUGCCAAUCGUACCAAGACUUCAACGUCUUUUCAUGGUCGAAGAGACGGACAGAUGACAUGGCACAAAACGGGCAAAAGAACCAAACUAGAUGCAGAUGGGAAUCUGAUGAUCGUACACACAUCGGAUGGUGUUGCGUGGAAAAAGUUUGAUGAAAUACAUGCUGACAAAGUGGCAGAUCCGAGGCAUCCUCGAGUCGGCAUCAGCACGGAUGGGUUCAGUGUAUCUGACGGCAGCCCAAUACAGUUGUUAGCCCGUAUUUGUCUUUCCACUCAAUCUCCCCCGGACAGAUUAUGCAAAGAAAGAACAUUUUCCUGACGUUGAUAAUUCCAGGGCCCAACUAUCCGGGGAAAAAUAAGAAUGUGUACAUGCAGCCGCUUAAGGACGAAUUGCAAGAAGCCUGGGAUAAUGGGUUCAAGACAUACGACACCUAUAGCAAACAGAACUUCAUAAUGCGUGUCUGGUACAUGUACUCGACGCAUGACUUGCCGGCGUAUGCGCUAUUUGUUUGCUGGUGUGUGCAUGGAAGGUUCCCGUGCCCCACAUGCAAGGGAGCUCUUGAGUUUCGUUGGCUUCAGGUCGGUCGCAAGUUUUCUUGCUUCGACAUGCAUAGAUAGUUCCUGGAUCCUCGCCAUAAGUUCAGGAAAGACAAGAAGAACUUCAUCAGAGGUAGAGUUGUCAAAAAGUCUGCACCACCUGCGUUGACAGGCCAACAGACCCUGGAUCAGUUAAACGUUCUCAAGCCAGAUCCAGAGCGUCCAGGGUACUUCAAGGGGUAUAAUUCUAAGCACGCCUGGACUCACAAGACAUGCUUAUGGGAUCUGCCUUACUUCAAAGACAUGCUUAUAGUCAAGACCAGUAUCUUUGGAUAACGAAGAAUGGCGGACCAUUACGUUGUAUAUCUUCAACAACCUGACAGAAGUGCGGCCGUACAUCGAGUAAGUUCUCGGUACAUUGUUUCGCAACUUCUAUUUCCUUUGAACUGCUCUUAUUCCUGGAUAUUUCAUACCGUCGAUACGUCGCCAUAUUCUCGUAUGGAGCGGUGAUCCAAAAGGAUUCCGUCGAAGAGUAUGAGCUUGUCGCAAAGCAAGGAGGCGGCUAUCCCGGUUUCAUCUAUUGGUUCAAACAAACGGUAAUUUCUAUUAGACCAUUUCAUUUCAUUUGCUAAUUUCUGCCUAAUGCAACAAUCCUUUCGUAUUAAACUUGUAGGCUAAUUCAGAGUCUAUGGACGCCGAAUUGAGACAAGUCGCUAAUGGUUUUGACUAUAAGGUCCGUUCAUUUGACAAAUACGACAUCAACGGGAAUCGUUUUCGUACCUAUGGCAAAGAGCUAUCUAUGGCCGACUGACAGUCUACAAAUUGUUGUGUAUCUGCUAUCGGCGAAGGAGGUACCGAGUAUUAUGGGAGAGUUGAAGCAAUUUAUGAACUUCUAUUCUAUGGUGACAACCCACCGAAUGUCGUACUCUUCAAAUGUUAUUGGUUUCAGCCGAAGGAGACUAGAAGGACUCAUGAACAUGUAGGGCUAGUUGAAGUCAAACAAAGCACCCAUUUAGAUGUUCCUGAUGUCUAUAUUAUGGCUCAACAGGCGACCUAAGUAUUCUAUCUACCGUGGGCCUGCCAAACUAAUCCAAAUUUGAAAUGUUGGGAUGUCGUUUAUGAAGUGCCGCCACGUGCUAGACUAUCUCCACCAAAGGAAGAGGAUUAUGAACCUCACAUUAACCCAGACACAAAUGAAGGAGAAUUCUUCCAAGAGACACGUCUUUCCAAAAAGCGUUUCAAGAACCGCUAUACUUCACCCCAAAACAUUGAAGUAGACAGCGACAGUGAAUCCGACAUCAACCCAGAGGAGGAACAAGAAGAGCCGGAACAAGAAGAGGUUACUGAUGCGGAUGACUUGUCAAUGCUUGACCGAUUACGUCAAGGUGGCCUUCCACAUGUUGAUGCCACUGAACCCUAUGAGCCCGUCAUUGAUUAUAGUGAUGAUGAUGAUUAUGCAUUUAUUGAUGAUAGUGAUCGAGAUUAUUAGUAGUGUCAGAUAUUCAAUUUUUUUAUGUUGUACUUGAUGAUGAUACACUUAAGUGAUAUACAUAUUAUUAUUCAUGUCGGUAUUUUUUUAUGUUGUACUAAUUUCGUUUACUCUUUGUCAUGGCAGGUGUUGAAAGAUGGUGGGCGCUGGUAAGUUUCUUCUAGUGUUUUGCUUAACAAAUGCAUAAAGACCUAGACUUAGCCUUAUUUCCUGCAAUAUGCUUACCACAAUGACCUAGAGUUAGCUUCUUUUCCUCCAAAAUGACUUAAUAAGCUUACUCACCUCCAAAACCAUCCAUUUUACCUAAGUUAGCUCUAAAACGAUCUAUACUUAGCUUUGUUUCCUCCAAAAUGACCUAAGUUAGCUCUAGUAUGCUUAGUUAACUAGGUUUGCUCAAUAAUGACAUGUACUUAGCUUACUUAUGUCAAAAAUGGCAUAAUUAGCUUAGUUAGCUCAUAAACAAUCCAUUUUACCUAAGUUAGCUCUAAAAUGACCCAUUAUACCUUAGUUAGCUCAUAAAUGAUCCAUUUUACCCAAGUUAGCACUAAAAUGACCCAUUUUACGUAGACUAACUCCAAAAUGAUCCAUUUUACCUAUGUUAGCUCUAAAAUGACCCAUUUUACCUAGGUUAGCUCCAAAAUGACCCAUCUUACCUAGGUUAGCUCCAAAAUGAUGCAUUUUACCCAAGUUAGCUCUAAAAUGACCCAUUUUACCUGGAUUAGCUCAUAAAUGAUCGAUUUCACCUAGGUUAGCUCACAAACGAUCCAUUUUACCUAGUUUAGCUCCAAAAUGACCCAUCACACCUAGGUUAGCUCUAAAAUGAUGCAUUUUACCAAAGUUAGCUCAUAAACGAUCUAUUUCACCUAGGUUAGCUCAUCAACGAUCCAUUUCACCUAACUUAGCUCAAAAACGAUCCAUUUCACCUAGGUUAGCUUCAAAAUGACCCAUCUUACCUAGGUUAGCUCUAAAAUGAUGCAUUAUACCUAAGUUAGCUCAUAAACAAUCAAUUUCACCUAGGUUAGCUCAUAAACGAUCCAUUUCAACUAAGUUAGCUCAUAAAUGAUCCAUUUCACCUAAGUUAGCUUAUAAAUGGCACAUACUUCUUCUUCUAGUCACCUUUUUCUAACUUUCUUAUUUGCCUUUUUGUAGAUUUCAUUCACUUCACGGAAGCUAGCUUGCUAUGAUGGAGUGCUUGUUUUUUCUUUCAUUCUCCUCUAGUAUUCUUCUAGCUUGCUAUGAUGGAACUUGCUAUCUUGAUGAAAAUUUGCAUUGUAAUAUGUAUGGAUGGAACAAUGUGUAGGUGCAACUUGCUAUGUAUGAAUGGAUAGAACUAUAUAUGUAUGCAUGAUGAAACUUAUGUGCUGGAUAUGUCAUAUGUUUGCUGUUAAAUAGCCCUGUUGUAACAUCCCAAAUUUUCAAUUUGGUAUGUUAUACAUAGAACAUCAUUGCAUAUCAUAUUUUAUUGCAUUUUGACAAUCCUCGAUAAAUCCAAAGCAACUCAAGGACCCACGGAGAGAGUUGGGGAUUUUCUCGAAUUUUCAUAUUUGAUUUCCAUCAAAUAAUAAAACGAGGAUUUUUGGUUUUAAUUAUUUUUCUCUCCGAAAAAAAUUUCUUAUUAAAAUAAAUGAGAGGAGAAAAUAUGACUUCUCCAAAACAAUUGAAAUAUUGGAGGAAAAGUGUUAAAAUCAUUUAUUGGAUUUUAUUCGGAUUUUGUUUGCAUUAAAAAAAUAUUGCAUGUUUUCGAAACUUUAUUUUGUGUUCAAAAAAUGUUCACCCUAUUCUAGAUUUUCUAACUAGACGGGGAAAAUUUGUUUUAUCUUUUUUGGAUUUUAUUUAUUUUUCUACGAAUUUUUCGGCGGAACGUUUAAAAAAAAAGAGAAACCCGCGCCCGACUGGGCCGAGGCCCAGCCGAGCCAGGCCGGCCCGCCCGAGCCGUCUCCUUCCCCAGCACGCCGCCGCGCCCGAGUCCAUGGCGAGCACGGGAGCCGCCGCCGCCUUUGCCCCUCCCCCAAGCCGCCGCCCCCCUCUCAUAUAUAGCCGCCGCCCCGCCUCCUCCCUCUCACCCCGCUGCCGCCCCNNNNNNNNNNNNNNNNNNNNNNNNNNNNNNNNNNNNNNNNNNNNNNNNNNNNNNNNNNNNNNNNNNNNNNNNNNNNNNNNNNNNNNNNNNNNNNNNNNNNNNNNNNNNNNNNNNNNNNNNNNNNNNNNNNNNNNNNNNNNNNNNNNNNNNNNNNNNNNNNNNNNNNNNNNNNNNNNNNNNNNNNNNNNNNNNNNNNNNNNNNNNNNNNNNNNNNNNNNNNNNNNNNNNNNNNNNNNNNNNNNNNNNNNNNNNNNNNNNNNNNNNNNNNNNNNNNNNNNNNNNNNNNNNNNNNNNNNNNNNNNNNNNNNNNNNNNNNNNNNNNNNNNNNNNNNNNNNNNNNNNNNNNNNNNNNNNNNNNNNNNNNNNNNNNNNNNNNNNNNNNNNNNNNNNNNNNNNNNNNNNNNNNNNNNNNNNNNNNNNNNNNNNNNNNNNNNNNNNNNUGCCGGUUUUGUUUAAAAAAAACCGUUCGUUUAAAAAAAACCCUAGAUCGGUUUUUUUUCGGUUUUGUUAUUUUGUGAGCGUUCACCGACUCGUUGGUUUUAACGAACGCGUUCGUCGGAUUUUCUCUGUUAACGAACGUCCGUUCUUUAACCGUUCGUCCGUUUUUCUUUUUCGUCGGAUUUUUUUCCGCGAUUAUCUCAGAUCUCGAUUUUUGAUCGAAUCUUCGUUUUUGUUUAACUUUUUGCUCGUUUAUCGGAAUCAGGCGAUUCAAGCGCCUAGAGUUUCGUCUCGAAAUUCUCUUUCCGUUUAACCUACUCAAACAAGUUUUUGCUACUGUAAAAUUUGACCUAGAUCCAGAUUAGUAAACGAAGCUUGUUUCUUUCGCCGUUUGACUUUCGUUGCUUCGUUCGAGUUGAUUCUUUUUGCAAACCGGAGUUCUUAAGUUGAACUUUCUGGUUGGAUAUUUCAUUCGAGUUUUACCUGUGCAUUAGAUGAGUACUGAUUGUCUGCUUGUUUGUUUGCGAUAGAGUACCCGGAGUGUGCCGCUUGUUACUUCGAAUCGCUAGGUUUCGCGGAUCAUCAGCAAGGCAAGUAACACUUUGAUCAUACUUUCCAAACCCAGUUUUUAUUGCAUUAGAUCUUUUUUCCUCAAACAUUGCAUGAUUAGGAUCUAAUUAAAUUGUGGGUUUUGGGAAGUAGUUGAGGUAGUACCUAUUACCUGUUUUCUUAUCAAACCCCUGGGAGUUACUUCUACGUUGCUAUUAUAUUGCCAUGCUAUGCUCGUAGACGUGGAUUGGGUUUGAGUGACAUUCAUGACAGAUGUGAGAUUGUUAAUAAUGGUUUACCUAAGGUGGCAACUAAAACUCACAUCUGGGUGGAUUGAGGCACCUGGAGAAUCCAGUGUUGUCUGUUUGUAUAAGGACCGCCACCCAGGCUCAAAGGGAUCAUAAGAUUAUUCAUGCUAGAAACUUCCGUGUGCAGCCACAAGCUAUUAUGGGCUCUAGCAUAGUUGAGUAGGUUACAUGAUCUCUUGAAGAGGUGGGCUAGCAGAUGUAGGGGAAAGUAGGUGUACCGGUCCACCCAGAGUAAAGAGUGAUUGUUCCUGAAAGACUGUGUCUCGGUCAUCCGUUUCUCAAACAUCAUGCAGUGCGAGAAUCAAGCGGAGGCGAUCGAGUCUUGUGGGGAAAAGUGCGCAAACCUCUGCAGAGUGUACAAACUAAUCAUGGUUAGCCGUGUCCCCGGUUAUGGACAACUUGAGUAUCUAGUACCUGGAUUAUCAUUUUAAUCUCAUCACCAUGUUACUCUUAAUUAAUUUUGCUAGGUUAAUGAUGAUUCUUAAUUGGGAUUGAGAUGCUGUCAACCAUCUCAAUGUUUCACAACCACCAUGAUAGUUAAAUAAAUUUAUUCCUUUGAAGUAGGGAAAAAUUGGCUUUUCGCAAAAACUUAACCAUAGAGCUUUCCACCAGCCAUAUAUGCAUGUAGUAUAGCAUUAUUAUUGUUCAUUAUUUCUCUAUGUGUUACAUUGCCAGCAUAUUCCAUGUGCUGACCCGUUUUCGGGCUGCAACGUUUCAUGUUGCAGACUUUUCAGACGACGAGUAAGGUGCCUUAGGUUGUGGUCUUAUACUCAGUGAUGCCGCUGGAGUUGAUGGACUCACUUAUCUUCCAAGUCUUCCGCUGUUAUCAUUUUUAGAUGGCCUUAAGCCAUAUUCAUCAUACUUAAUCUCUUUGGAGAUAUUCGAUGUAAUAAGUGUGUGAUUGCUACUCUGUUAUAAAUCCUCCAUUUGUACUGUGCGUGUCAGCAUUACUGAUCCAGGGAUGACACUGGUGCACAGCAGCACAGACCAUUUGAGGUCUGGUCGCUACAAAGGUGGUAUCAGAGCACACACUGACUGUAGGACACGACCACUAAGCUUAAGCCCUAGAACACUUCUCUCUUCUCAUUUCUGACCCCUCUCCUUUUUCUACUCUAUUAGGAAUGGCGGAUGCAAGGAGCAAGUUCAUGCAACCAGACGAAGACACGCCUUUUGGUCGACACUUGAAGGAAGUCACUAAGUAUUUGAACAUAGGAACACCAAGUAUCACCGGAACCUACAACGCCACAUUACCCGAAGAGGAGAGCUGGAAGAUUCAAGUUCACAUUCCAGGAAGGACGUUUGUGCCAGUUACUGAACCCAUAAGAUUGGUUUUCGAAGCACCAACCUGGAGUUUAGGGAAGAGCAUGGCCGCUCACAUCGCUAUGGGACGCAUUGGAGAAGUCUACCACCAGGAGCUUAAGGAUACUAUUUAUCAGAUUUGUGGACGCCGAGACGCGCAAUGGGAGAUGAUCAGAACCAAGAAGGAUGGAUCAAUUGCAGCUUUCAUCCAGGAGCAAAACCAACAUAUUCGUCGCCAGGAGAACCAGAUGUGCACGGACAAGGAAGAACUGAAGAAGGCAUUGACGAAGAUCAAGGAGCUAGAGGAAGAACUCAAGGCUACAUGCGAGGAUUAUAUGGAGGAAAUCAUCGCACUAGUAGGGAAGAAUGACGACCUGGAGAAGAAAAUUGGAGUAUUCAUGGGAAAUCCAGUGCCAAAGGCAAAGGAUGACGAAUGCACUUGUCCGGAUAACUACAUCAUCAUCGACGACACCGACUCGGAACCAAGUGAAGAUGACUUUGUUGAUGAAGCUGGAGCAGACAUCAUGGAGUCUUCAACGGAUCAGAAUUUCUAGUAGACCACCAUACCAGUAGUAGUUUUUCCCCAUUUAAUAGUAUAGUUCAAGCACUUUGUAACGCUAGUUAGAUCGACUGUUAUGCCUUGUUUGAAUUGAUUGAGUGAUAUUGAUUGUAUUUGUCUCAUGAGCAUAUGGGUAGUGUUUUCUCUCUAGACCUCCUUCUCUUCUUAACUCUCAUCUUUUCUAACCUAUCAGAUGCCUCCGAGACGCGACACCGGAUUUGUUUUCCCACCAGAGAUCACCCAGUUGAUUCAGCAACAGAAUGCCCUGAUGCAAGUGUUAGUGCAGAACCAAGGCAACAACAACAACAACCAACGCCACCACCACCUGUUGAUCACGUAGCCCGUUUCUUAAGGCUAAACCCGCCGGUGUUUUCCAGUAGCACCGAGCCGAUUGUUGCAGAUGAUUGGCUCCACAAAGUUGGAAGGGAGUUGACCACUGCAGGAUGCACAGAUGCGGAAAGAGUGCAUUUUGCCGCACAUCAGCUUGAUGGACCCGCAGCAUCAUGGUGGGAGAAUUAUACAGCCACGCACCCUAUUGACACUGUCACAUGGGACCAGUUUCAGCAAGCUUUCCAUACAGCACAUGUUUCAGCAGGAGCUAUGGCUAUGAAGAAGCGUGAGUUUCGUAAACUACGCCAAGGAGGACGCACCGUAGGCCAGUAUGUGGAGGAUUUCAGUAAGUUAGCACGUUAUGCACCAGAUGACGUUGCUACAGACGCUGUCAAGCAGGAGAAAUUUUUGGAAGGACUGAAUGAUGAACUGAGUAUGCAGUUGAUGGUAGCAACCUUCAACAACUACCAGGAGCUGGUAGAUAGAGCUCUCAUGAUUGAAGGGAAGCAACAGCAGAUUGAAAAUCGUAAGAGGAAGUAUGGACAAGGGAAGUACAAUUCUGGAGCUCAGCAGAAGCCACGAUUUGCCCCGAAACCGGGAGGACAGUUUCAGCAUACCCAUGGAGGAGGUAGUUCGCACAACCAUAAUGGCUCCAAGAAUGGUAAUGGGAAUGGAGGAACCAACGGACAGAACCGCACCAACCCAUCUACCCCAGCCAAGAGGGAUCUAAGUAAUAUUACUUGUUUCAAGUGCCAGAAGACUGGACACUAUGCAACUGAUUGUCCUGAAGCCCAAAAUGGAAAUGGCAAUGGAAGCUCUGGGAAGAAGCCGAACCCCUUCAACAAAGGACAUGUGAACCACGUGAGCGUGGAGGAGGUUGAAGCUCAGCCUGAUGCAGUAAUAGGUAAGUUUUUGGUUAAGUCAUUUACUGCAACCGUUCUUUUCGAUACUGGUGCAUCGCAUUCAUACAUAUCAAGGGGAUUUGUGAAUAAGUUUAAGCUGUCCACCCAAGUUCUCAAAACCCCUAUGUUAGUAACCUCGCCAGGAGCAGAGUAUAUGGCAAGCCAAGGAUGUUUUCAGAUACCAUUGGCCAUUGGUAGGCAUGUUUUCCCCUCAGACCUCAUAGUUUUGGAGUCGCAAGGUUUGGAUGUGAUUUUGGGAAUGGAUUGGCUAUCGUUGUAUGGAGGAAACAUCGAUUGUGCCAGCAAGACGAUUUUGCUUACCACCCCAGAAGGAAAAAGGAUCAAGUAUGUAUCCCGGCAUAUGCCGAAGAGGACUCAAGUGAAUUCCUUAUCAGGAGUUGUACAGGAGGAAGUACCAGUGGUGAAGGAUUAUCCGGAUGUAUUUCCAGAAGAGUUGCCAGGCAUGCCACCAGAUAGAGACAUUGAGUUCUGGAUUGAACUUUUGCCAGGCACAGGGCCAAUAUCUAAGAGACCGUACAGGAUGCCCGCAAAAGAUUUGGCGGAAAUUAAGAAGCAGAUCAAGGAGUUACUGGAUAAAGGCUAUAUUCGCCCAAGUUCGUCACCUUGGGGAUCACCAGUACUUCUAGUGGAGAAGAAAGAUGGAUCGCUGAGGAUGGUUGUUGAUUACCGUGGAUUGAAUGAAGUGACCAUCAAAAACAAGUACCCACUGCCGAUGAUCAAUGAUUUGUUUGACCGGCUACAAGGAGCUAAAGUAUUUUCCAAGAUCGAUCUACGAUCAGGAUACCAUCAGUUAAAGAUUCGAGAGCAGGAUAUACCUAAGACGGCUUUUACCUCCAGAUAUUGAUUGUAUGAGUAUACCGUUAUGUCAUUUGGUCUGACUAACGCACCUGCCUAUUUCAUGAACCUGAUGAACAAAGUGUUUAUGGAGUUUUUGGAUAAGUUCGUCGUGGUGUUCAUUGAUGAUAUUUUAGUCUUUUCCAAGAAUGAGGAAGAGCAUGAGGAGCAUUUGCGAUUGGUACUUGAGAAGCUCAGAGAACAUCAGUUAUAUGCCAAGUUCAGCAAGUGUGAAUUUUGGCUAAAGGAAGUUGGAUUCCUCGGACAUGUUAUUUCUGGAGAAGGAAUAGCAGUAGACCCUGCCAAGGUUGAUACAGUGACAAGCUGGGAAUCACCCACGACAGUUGGAGAAAUCCGGAGUUUUCUUGGACUUGCAGGAUACUACCGGAGAUUCAUCGAGAACUUCUCGAAGAUUGCUAAGCCCAUGACUGAGCUAUUGAAGAAGGACACCAAAUUCAAUUGGACUGAGGAAUGUGAAGCUAGUUUCCAAGAGUUGAAGAAACGAUUGGUUACAUCACCAGUGUUGAUUCUACCAGAUCAACGCAAGGAUUAUGAAGUUUAUUGCGACGCUUCUCGUCGAGGACUUGGAGCAGUGCUUAUGCAGGAAGGAAGAGUUGUGUCAUAUGCUUCACGACAACUUAAACCCCAUGAGAAGAAUUAUGCUACGCAUGAUUUGGAAUUAGCAGCCGUGGUGCAUGCAUUGAAGACAUGGAGACAUUUUCUCAUCGAAAACCAUUGUGAGGUGUACACGGAUCACAAGAGUUUGAAGUAUAUUUUCACGCAGAAGGAGUUAAAUCUCAGACAGAGGAGAUAGUUGGAGCUCAUUAAGGAUUAUGAUAUGAGAUUGCAUUAUCACCCAGGAAAGGCUAACGUAGUAGCAGAUGCGUUGAGCCGCAAGAGUCAUGUCAACACCCUCAUGACAGGAGAGUUACCUCAGGAGUUAGCCGAGGACCUUCGCGAGCUAUGUUUGGAGAUAGUCCCAAGAGGCUAUUUAGCGACAUUGGAGAUUCAGUCUACCUUGAUGGAAAGGAUCAGAGAAGCUCAGAAGACAGACAAGGAGAUUGAAGAGAUAAAGGAGAAGAUGAGCAAAGGAAAAGCCAAGGGAUUUCGUGAGGAUGAGCACGAUACCUUAUGGUUUGAGGACCGCGUAUAUGUGCCAAAUGAUCCGGAGAUCAGGAAGUUGAUUUUGCAAGAAGGCCAUGAUUCACCGUACUCGAUUCACCCAGGGAAUACCAAGAUGUAUUUGGAUCUGAAGAAUACUUUCUGGUGGACCGGAAUGAAGAAGGAUAUUGCAGAAUAUGUAGCAGUUUGUGAUGUGUGUCAGAGAGUGAAGGCAGAGCAUCAGAAGCCAGCAGGAUUGCUACAACCAUUGCCGAUACCCGAAUGGAAGUGGGAUAAAAUAGGCAUGGAUUUUAUCACGGGAUUACCCAGGACUCGUUCAGGCUAUGACUCAAUAUGGGUUGUAGUCGUCCGUUUGACGAAAAUGGCUCAUUUCAUUCCAGUGAAGACCACUUACACCAGUGCUAAGUUGGCAAAGAUAUACAUGACCAGGAUCGUAUGUUUGCAUGGAGUUCCGAGGACCAUUGUAUCAGACAGAGGAACCCAAUUUACCUCGAAGUUUUGGAAGCAGUUACAUGAAACAUUGGGAACCAGGCUAGAAUUUAGUACAGCUUUUCACCUACAGACAGAUGGACAGACCGAGAGAGUCAACCAGAUUUUGGAGGACAUGUUGAGAGCUUGUGCACUAGAUUAUGGAUCUAGUUGGGACGACAAUUUGCCAUAUGCAGAGUUUUCGUAUAACAACAGUUAUCAAACCAGUUUGAAGAUGGCCCCUUUCGAAGCCUUGUACGGAAGGAGGUGUAGAACACCGUUGUUAUGGGACGAAGUUGGAGACCGUCAGUUGUUUGGACCAGAUUUGGUUAAGGAGUCUGAACAGAAAGUAAGGUUGAUUCGCGAUAGGCUCAAGGUAGCCCAGUCCAGGCAGAAGAGUUAUGCUGAUUCUAAACGAAAGGAGACAGUUCACGAAGUCGGAGACCCAGUUUAUCUUCGAGUAUCACCACUUCGAGGAGUGAAGCGCUUUGGAGUUAAGGGAAAGUUAGCGCCCCGUUUUAUCGGACCAUACAGAGUUGUGGAACGUAUGGGAGAGGUUGCCUACAAGCUGGAAUUGCCCGAAGGAUUGUCUGGAGUUCAUGAUGUAUUUCACGUCUCCCAGUUGAAGAAGUGCCACGCAGAGAUGGCUGAGAUACCACUGAGAGAUACUGUGCCACUGGAAGCAAUUCAGCUGGAAAGUGAUUUGACCUAUGAGGAGAAACCAGUUAAGAUUCUUGAGUAUGCCAGCCGAGUUACCCGCAGUAAGGUUAUCAAGUUUUGCAAAGUCCAGUGGAGUCACCACACGGAAGAUGAAGCCACCUGGGAGCGAGAGGAAGAUCUACGGAAGGACCACUCCCACCUGUUUUCUAGCCAACCCGAAUCUCGAGGGCGAGAUUCAUCUUAAGGGGGGUAGGUUUGUAACAUCCCAAAUUUUCAAUUUGGUAUGUUAUACAUAGAACAUCAUUGCAUAUCAUAUUUUAUUGCAUUUUGACAAAUCCUCGAUAAAUCCUAAGCAACUCAAGGACCCUCGGAGAGAGUUGGGGAUUUUCUCGAAUUUUCAUAUUUGAUUUCCAUCAAAUAAUAAAACGAGGAUUUUUGGUUUUAAUUAUUUUUCUCUCUGAAAAAUAUUUCUUAUUUAAAUAAAUGAGAGGAGAAAAUAUGACUUCUCCAAAACAAUUGAAAUAUUGGAGGAAAAGUGUUAAAAUCAUUUAUUGGAUUUUAUUCGGAUUUUAUUUGCAAUUUUAAUUGCAUUAAAAAAAUAUUGCUCGUUUUCAAAAAUUUAUUUUGUGUUAAAAAAUGUUCACCCUAUUCUAGAUUUUCUGACUAAACGGGGAAAAUUUGUUUUAUCUUUUUUGGAUUUUUAUUUAUUUUUCUACGAAUUCUUCGGCGGAACGUUUAAAAAAAAAGAGAAACCCGCGGCCGACUGGGCCGAGGCCCAGCCGAGCCAGGCCGGCCCGCCCGCGCCGUCUCCUUCCCCAACACGCCGCCGUGCUCGAGUCCAUGGCGAGCACGGGAGCCGCCGCCGCCUUUGCUCCUCCCCCAAGCCGCCGCCCCCCCUUUCAUAUAUAGCCGCCGCCCCGCCUCCUCCCUCUCACCCCGCUGCCGCCNNNNNNNNNNNNNNNNNNNNNNNNNNNNNNNNNNNNNNNNNNNNNNNNNNNNNNNNNNNNNNNNNNNNNNNNNNNNNNNNNNNNNNNNNNNNNNNNNNNNNNNNNNNNNNNNNNNNNNNNNNNNNNNNNNNNNNNNNNNNNNNNNNNNNNNNNNNNNNNNNNNNNNNNNNNNNNNNNNNNNNNNNNNNNNNNNNNNNCCCGCCGGACCAUGCCCCCGACGAGGUAUACCUCGAGGCCGUUUGCCGGUUUUGUUUAAAAAAAAACCGUUCGUUUAAAAAAAACCCUAGAUCGGUUUUUUUUCGGUUUUGUUAUUUUGUGAGCGUUCACAGACUCGUUCGUUUUAACGAACGCGUUCGUCGGAUUUUCUCUGUUAACGAACGUCCAUUCUUUAACCGUUCGUCCGUUUUUCUUUUUCGUCGGAUUUUUUUCUGCGAUUAUCUCAGAUCUCGAUUUCUGAUCGAAUCUUCGUUUUUGUUUAACUUUUCGCUCGUUUAUCGGAAUCAGGCGAUUCAAGCGCCUAGAGUUUCGUCUCGAAAUUCUCUUUCCGUUUAACCUACUCAAACAAGUUUUUGCUACUGUAAAAUUUGACCUAGAUCCAGAUUAGUAAACAAAGCUUGUUUCUUUCGCCGUUUGACUUUCGUUGCUUCGUUCGAGUUGAUUCUUUUUGCAAACCGGAGUUCUUAAGUUGAACUUUCUGGUUGGAUCUUUCAUUCGAGUUUUACCUGUGCAUUAGAUGAGUACUGAUUGUCUUCUUGUUUGUUUGCGAUAGAGUACCCGGAGUGUGCCGCUUGUUACUUCGAAUCGCUAGGUUCGCGGAUCAUCAGCAAAGCAAGUAACACUUUGAUCAUACUUUCCAAACCCAGUUUUUAUUGCAUUAGAUCUUUUUUCCUCAAACAUUGCAUGAUUAGGAUCUAAUUAAAUUGUGGGUUUUGGGAAGUAGUUGAGGUAGUACCUAUUACCUGUUUUCUUAUCAAACCCCUGGGAGUUACUUCUACGUUGCUAUUAUAUUGCCAUGCUAUGCUCGUAGACGUGGAUUGGGUUUGAGUGAAAUUCAUGACAGAUGUGAGAUUGUUAAUAAUGGUUUACCUAAGGUGGCAACUAAAACUCACAUCUGGGUGGAUUGAGGCACCUGGAGAAUCCAGUGUUGUCUGUUUGUAUAAGGACCGCCACCCAGGCUCAAAGGGAUCAUAAGAUUAUUCAUGCUAGAAACUUCCGUGUGCAGCCACAAGCUAUUAUGGGCUCUAGCAUAGUUGAGUAGGUUACAUGAUCUCUUGAAGAGGUGGGCUAGCAGAUGUAGGGGAAAGUAGGUGUACCGGUCCACCCAGAGUAAAGAGUGAUUGUUCCUGAAAGACUGUGUCUCGGUCAUCCGUUUCUCAAACAUCAUGCAGUGCGAGAAUCAAGCGGAGGCGAUCGAGUCUUGUGGGGAAAAGUGCGCAAACCUCUGCAGAGUGUACAAACUAAUCAUGGUUAGCCGUGUCCCCGGUUAUGGACAACUUGAGUAUCUAGUACCUGGAUUAUCAUUUGAAUCUCCUCACCAUGUUACGCUUAAUUAAUUUUGCUGGGUUAAUGAUGAUUCUUAAUUGGGAUUGAGAUGCUGUCAACCAUCUCAAUGUUUCACAACCACCAUGAUAGUUAAAUAAAAUUUAUUCCUUUGAAGUAGGGAAAAAUUGGCUUUUCGCAAAAACUUAACCGUAGAGCUUUCCACCAGCCAUAUAUGCAUGUAGUAUAGCAUUAUUAUUAUUCAUUAUUUCUCUAUGUGUUACAUUGCCAGCAUAUUCCAUGUGCUGACCCGUUUUCGGGCUGCAACGUUUCAUGUUGCAGACUUUUCAGACGACGAGUAAGGUGCCUUAGGUCGUGGUCUUAUACUCAGUGAUGCCGCUGGAGUUGAUGGACUCACUUAUCUUCCAAGUCUUCCGCUGUUAUCGUUUUUAGAUGGCCUUAAGCCAUAUUCAUCAUACUUAAUCUCUUUGGAGAUAUUCGAUGUAAUAAGUGUGUGAUUGCUACUCUGUUAUAAAUCCUCCAUUUGUACUGUGCGUGUCAGCAUUACUGAUCCAGUGAUGACACUGGUGCACAGCAGCACAGACCAUUUGAGGUCUGGUCGCUACACCUGUGAAAUAUAUAUAUAUAUGUCAUAUAUUUGCUGUGAAAAUUGCUGGAUUAAAAAAAACAGAAAAAAG